rnacentral:lncRNA from 1 species
UCUCGAUCUCUGGUUGAUCAAUCAUCAAUGCGAGGCGAACGUAUGUGUUUUUGUUUUGCAUAGAAAAUUUGAAGUUCAACAAAUACUCAAAAGUCUAUUGCUAUGACAACUAAGUUUAUUUAAGAAAUCUGAGCUGGGGCUAUGCCUAUGCACAUCCAUAUAAGUCAGUCAGUCAAGGAGUUGCUUAUAAUUUUGGUUGGCACGGGAUACACUCUUUUGAAGGGCACAAGAUACACUUAAGAGCCCCGAUCCUGCUUAAGGUGUAAAUGUGAGCAAGUUGGAGGCUAUACGGAUGAAUAGGUGCAAAGCCACUUGGGGAUGACGCUAGGUCAACUCUAUUAGAACAAUGAUCGAGCUUAGAAAUGAACAUACUCUCUCCUCCAUGAAAAAUACACUUUUCAUGAGAGGGAGGAAGUAUUUUGUUAAAGAAUCUUAGAAUUCCAUCCGGAUAAAAGGUCAAGAUAAAACUAACUAUAAGAAAACCAAACUAGCUGAGACAAAUGUUUUUUUUAAACCAACCUGGCCGGAGAGCUGCCAAUUAUAUUAAAAAGAAGGAAUCCAGACUGGAUAAAUACAAUGGAUCAAAAAUGAAAUGAGGCAAAAAUUGAACCAGGAAAAUAAAACAACACUAUGAACUCAGUCGCAAUCAGCAUCGUGCCAGUAGAGCGGAGAGAUGUUUCGCUCCCACCAGAAUCCACACGGCGGCCUCAUCUUUGAUCCUCUCGAAAAUCAUGUUGACAGUAGACUCCUUGCUGUUAAAUAUUCUCAUAUUCCUUUCCCUCUAGAUUGUCCAUGUAACUAGCAUCAUCAAAGUUCGCAUGCCUCUCUUAGUGUAGGAAUUUGCUCCCGCUCUCAUCAGCCACCAAUGAUGCAGCGUAUCGGCCUGUUGCGAAGCCCUCGGGUGGAUUGCUGGCGCCGACAACUAGUCCGCCACCAUGGCCCAGAUUCUUAUUGUAACCUGGCAUUCGGCGAGGAGGUGUAGCGCCGAUUCUUGUGAUCUCCGACAUAGUAGGCAGGUAGCUUCAUUUGACCAUCCUCUUUUCUGAAGUUCAAAGGUGAUUUUGGAUUGCGAGCUUGGAGAAGGUUUCACAGCUUCUAGGAACAAAUGUUGAUCUUAUAACGUCGGAAACACUUGUUUGUUGAGCGAUUCUGGCUUGAAUCAUGUUUCGGUCGGCCGGUGGCUCCUGCGUGGCGCGGUCGAGUCCGCUAGGCCGAGGUGGCCGAGCCCAUCUGCGCACGGCCCGACGACACCUUCCGCGGGUCAACUUGAAAGGAAGGCCGGCGCGCACGCGUUGCAGCUUCGGGCUCGUUCCGUCCCCACACCAGGGCCACACCGCCACAGCUCGAACCGUCCUCGCCGUUUUCGAUCUCAGCCCUUAAAGCCGCCACGUCGGCUUCCCACGGCCCAAACGAGCACAAACCAAACCCUACGUACCGGGGCGGGCGGCGCGCGGCGGCAUGGUGGGCAUGGGCUUGGGGAGCGCCGCGGCCGCCGACCUGGUCCUGAAGGCGGCGUGCGAGCGCUGCGGCGCCGCGAAGGACCUCUACGGCACGUCGUGCCGGCACACCACCCUCUGCACCGACUGCGGCAGGGCCGUGGCGCGGGCCCGCGGGCGCUGCGCCGUCUGCGCCGCCCCCGUCACCAGGCUCAUCCGGGUACCCACCGCCCCCUCGCGCCGUCUCGUGAAUGCAGAUUUUUCCUCCGCGCGAGCAAUGCAGCUCACCUGGGCAUCGUUCGUUCUCCCCCUCCGGGGAUUUUCUGCAAUCCCUCGUGGCGCGCUGCGCAGGAGUACGAUGUUCGGUUGGAUACCUCCGCGGAGAAGGCCAGCUUCAUCGGCAGGUUCUCCACCGGCUUGCCGCCCUUGUCGAAGAGGAGUAGCGGCGGGAACAGGUGGUCUCUUCGCAAGGAGGUCCCGCAAGGACGGCAGCUUACCGGGAAUAUGCGGGUACUGGUUUUUGAUCGUGGAUGAUCAUCAUCACCAUUGUUGUGUUCUGUUUUGGUACUACCUGAUAAUGCUGUUUUCGAUUAAUUUCCCUCACCCCUAAAAAAACAGUAUGUAUCAUCCUCUUAUUAAUGUAGCAAACUAAUCAUAAUUGAACUAAAAUCAUUCUGUAGUUGCUAUUAGGUGGUUGUGCUGCGUCAGACCUCUGGUAUCAGUAGAACAGUAACAGUAUGCAGUUGGCAAUUGCACAUACUAGAAUAUCCUUAUGCAGUCACUUGUUCUGGGCUUACCAACUUAAGGACAAAUAAACUGAUGUUGCCCCUGUUAAUGAGCACACAUUUGACACAAGCAGGAGAAGUACUACAGCAGGAGGCCAUGGAUUUUGGAGGAUGAGACAGGUGAACAUCAGUAUCAAGGCCAAACUGAGGACCCACAGGCUACAUACUACUCGCUGACGCUCAAAGGCAAGGAUAUCACUGCUGUUCCAGUUGGUUCCUGGUAUUCUCUAGGCUUCCCUCUUUAUUUUGUUUGUAUUUAAACAAACUGUGAUCAUCCAUCAUCUGAACAUAUUUACCAGCAAAAUUUGAAGUGCCGCUAGAGUGGUUUCCUAAAAACAUUACUUAAUUUUGUUAUUUAAUACAAGUCAAGCUCCAUGCACUACUUUUCCUUACAGUUUCGUAUUUCUUAGGUACAACUUCGGUAAAGUUGCACAGUACAAACAGCUGACCUUGGAAGAAGCUGAAGAGAAAAUGAAUAAAAGGAGAAGUAGUGCAUCUGGGUGUGAACAGAGGCUGAUAAAGGUAGCUAUAAAUGGAGCUUCUGCCUUUAGUUCAGGUGUGAAGAAGCUUGAGGAUGUAAAUGAAGGGGCAACAAAUGGGGUUCACCCCAAGAAAGGAGAUAGGAAUGAGAAUGGGAAUCAAUCUGUCAAAGUUGAGGAGGACGAAGAAGGGAAAGCUGCAAGGAAAAACAGUCAUGGGCUUACUACGAAGGGCAUGGACGAGGAUGACGAGGAAGGCGGGAAGGACAAGGACUUCGAUUUGGAUGAUGAAAUUGAGAAAGGUACAUGUAAAUACCAUCUUUUGUUAAUUCUGAGAUUUUCUGAGAUCCUGCAUGAUGAAAUUGAGAAAGGAAUAGAUGCCAAACACCACCUUUUGUUAAUUCUGAUAUUUUCUGAGAUUCUGCUUGCAUUUUAUACAGUAUAAGCACAUUCAUAUUGUUAUUCCUCCGAACCAUUCACAGUUUCACACCAGAAAGAACAAAAAGGCCAUAUACCAUAUUUCCAUACCAUGUUCUUGGCCUUCAAUCAAGUACUCCCUCCAUCCCAAAUUACUAUUCGUUUUGGCAUUACUAGAUACAUAGCUUUUGUUAUGCACCUAGAUAUAUAUUAUAUCUAGAUACAUAGCAAAAGUUAUGUAUUUAGAAAAGUCAAAACGAAUUGUAAUUUGGGAUGGAAGGAGUAUGCAUCUUAGCUUAUUCUGUAACUUCGUCUAUCAGGUGACCAUUGGGAGCACGAAGAGACCUUCACUGAUGAUGAUGAGACUCUGGACAUCGAUAUAGAGGAAAGACCUGACUUAGCUGAUCCUGAGGCUGCUCCUCCUGAAAUUAAGCAGGUAAGCAGAGAUGAUCUACCUGCUGCAACAUGCUUCUAGUAUGCUAUUUACUUGAUCUGCAGAUGCUGCCACCUUAACCAAAGCUACCACUGAUAGAUGCCAUAUCUGAUUUCUAUCAUAAUACUCACAGGAUGAUAAUGAGACUGAAUUAGGCAGCAGCAGCAGCAACUUGAGCAAGUCUGGUCAGGAGCUUAAAAAGCUGCUCCGCCAAGCUGCUGGGGAAGAGUCUGACACUGAUGACAAAAACACAGACGUAAUGAUCACAAUUGUUCUUAGAACUUGCAUAUGCUUUUGCAUUAGCACAAGCAAUCUUGUGGAAUAGAAUUCAUCUUUGUAUUUGUUUCAUGCAACAGGAAGACGAGCCACCAUCGCCAGAAUGUGCUCCAAAACAACUGCUUGAACCCAAAAGUGAACCAGUGGAUAGCAACCCUAGUAAACUAACGCCAUCAGCGCAAGCUCAGAACCCUACACCUCCAUCUAAAUCCACUCAAAAAAGGAGAUCAGGGGGUGGUGAUGCAAAUACUUCUAAUGGUGCAGCCUCCAAAAAGAUAAAGACAGAACCUGUAUGUAAUUUCUUCCUUUCGCACUCUACACGUGUGAAAUUUAAGUUUCAACCAUCUGUGAUACACCGCACCAGAUUCUUUGAAUUAAAAUCGGCAUAUUGUUGGUAUAGGAAACCCGAACGAUGUCUGUCAAGGACGAAACUCCAUCUUCUUUGGAGCCAACUUCAGAAGCAUCUCUUCCAGCAAGAAUGACAGAAUUAUCACCUGUUACAGAGGAGGAAGUCAGGACAGUGCUUCGUGCAAUUGCACCUGUCUCAUCCCAAGAUCUGGUGUCAAGGUUCAGAUCUCGUGUACUAACUCAAGAGGUAGGCUGCUUCGGUUUUUUGAUGAUGUGCUUCGUUUUUAAUGUGUUCCAGUGCAUUUUAAGUUUCAUCGCAGUAAUUUGUGACCACAACCCAUCCAUUUCAUUCAGUGAUCUAUUGCCAUUACAUGUCCAAGAUCUUAUGCCUUUUAUUCUCUCUUUCUGCAGGACAAGAAAGCAUUUCUUAACAUUGUGAAGAAGAUCUCUCACAUGUAUAAGAACAACGGCCGUAGCUACAUCGUUCUUCGGCAGGAACACAAGUGAACAGACAACUUACCCCACCUGUAUAUGGCCAUAGUGUCAUGCCAUUCUUUCAUAGUAGCCAUCUGAAUACUGUAUAUUGUUCUGAAAAUGCAGAAUACAACAGUGUAACAGAUCCGUUUGUGCCUCGAUGCAACAAAAUAGAUCAUUUUUUUGCUCUUAUCAUACGGAACUGAGUAACUGUCUGCAUUGGCGACUCAAGAUGCUCGGCAAGAGGCAUCUCUUAAGGGUUUUUUUUUCACUCGACGUCCUGCUCACUCUUUUUGCUCCUGUAUCGGGUUAACUGAGGCAGUCCAUGCAACCCUAUUGAUAUACAUUUUAAUGCUAAAUUCUCUUUGCUCGUUCAAUUGAUACCUUCAGAGCACCUCAUAAUUGAAUGAUAAAUGAUGGUGAUAAACGUAAAGGUUGCAAUUUAUGAGCUGCUCAUAAUUGAUGGUGAAUUACAAUGUCCAUGAGUUCAUUGCAAAAUAUUUAUCGAUGAAUUGCAUGGGGUUCUAGGAGGUCUUUACAAGCUUAGACUUUUCGGUAGCUGCUUUAAAACAUAACCCAAGAUCUAAUUCCAGGUUCGGGCUUUAGAGUUCAUAGUGCAGAGAGCGAAUCUCAAUUAGGGGUAUAUGCAUAAAUAUUGCUUUGUUGUAAUGAACCAAGCCCACACUAGCAGGACUGCCAAUUGCCAAAAGAUCUUUUCAGAUUGUACAGUACUACAGUGGUCAUCUUGAUGUUUAUUUUUCAAGCUGUUCGAAACUAGGUAGAAUAUACUUGCUGGAGAAAGUGAAAGUGCCAUCUCAGUGCUAAGGAAAAGUCAAUCUCAGUGGAAAGAGAAAAGUGAAAGGGAACUGUGAACGAGGAAAGCUUGAAAGUUAAAACCAUCAAUACAUAGCUGGGUGUGCAUGUUUAGAAGCAACUGGUUCGUCUCAAAAACCGCAGAGGGCCUGGCAGAGCACUACAUCCAAAAAAAAAAAUCCAAAGCAUGUCCAAAAGCAACAUGCUUCCCUAUCUCCCAGCAAAAAGAAUAGGGGGGAAGUUCCCAAACUUAUGUGGUCGCGCUAGUACCAAAUCAACCAUUCAAGCAUCGCACUCCAGUUAAGUAUGUGGUUAAUAGGAACACCGUUCUUGUUAAUUUGAACGGAAAUUCAUACUUGUUUCCAGUCAAGAGAUUGACUGGAUUGGAAGGAAUUUGCGCAAAGAAUAACUGAACUAUGAUAAUCUAAUUGAUUAAUGGGGCAAAACAGUUCUUGUCAAAUCUGAACCCAAUUGGCCACUGUUUUGUCCCACCAAGAUCUUUACACAUCAAUAAAUUAAAAAGAUGAAUUAGGAGUGGUGUACAAGACGAAACAAGCAUACGGACAGAAGACUAAUACUACAUUUUGCAUCUAACCAACAAAGUAAACUCACCGGCCUUUCCUUCGGGACUUGAAGGGGAACCCGCCAGGAGGCGAAGGCGAGAACUCUAUCGGAAGAGGUGGUGGCUCACCCUCACCAGCGAGCAUAUCAAGCACCUCUGUGCUUGAUGGGCGGCGAGCUGGUGACCGCUGGAUGCAAAGGAGUGCAACUGUAAUGCAUAGCAGUGCUUGGUCCCGAUCAACAUCCUGCAGUGCAGGGUCUACAAGAUCGAGCAACCGGCCAACUUGAGCAAGAUGCCUUGCCCACGAAAUGAGACUCGCCUUCUCAAACUCUGACAUUGGUGAGGUUGCCAUUUGGAGCGGGCGGCGUCCAGAUAUAAGAACUAACAACAACACUCCAAAGCUGUAAAUGUCACAUUUCUCUGAUAGAGGCCCUCCGCCACCAUAUUCGGGAGCCACAUAGCAGACCGUGCCUCGCAUGCUUGGUGUGCUGCUCACUGCUCCACCACUCUUGGGCACAAAUUCCCCACUGGCCCAAUCCCUGCUGCUCCUUCUCACACCAUCCACCCACGAACUGAUGCUGGCAUUGCCAUUGCUGCUCCUCCGGCUCCAGCUUUUCAUCAUCCUCCAUCUUGAAUGUCCCUUCUCCUCUAAAUCACAAUCCCUCUCCCACCACUGCAUACCAGACAUGGCACCAGCGUCACUCUUCGACUUGGCAAGGGCCCGCCGUUUCUGCUUCUUAGUGAGCUCCUCUGCAUACUCCUCACGCCACCACUCCCGCGCCCUACGCUUUGGUUUCUUCCUCUCCGUUGAAACAACAGGGGUGAUUGCAGAUGAUCCUGCAAUCCAAUCAUUCUUCGGCCGCUCCUUCUUAAUCUCAGACCUAAUCCAUUCCAUCACAUAGUCUUUAACGCCGCCGCCGCCGCCACCACCACCGCCAUUGUCCUGACGCCACCACCAAUCACUCCCAGUUCCUGAUCCUGCAGCUCCUCCACCAUUGCAGCUUCGGGCAUUUAAUCCGCUACCAACACUAGUCUUGUCGCAUCCAGAAGUGGAUGCGGCCUCUGCAGGAGAUGCUGUGGUGAACGCCUCAUCAUCCUCCGGCGACUUGGCAGCAUUGUCUUCCCCGUUGACCACGAUAGCAGUCACGCUCUCGCCGGCUACUGACACAUCCUCGUCACAUCCACCGCCAGGAUUGCCAUUCCCAUCCGCAUCGGCCCCAAUCGCACCGCUCUCCAGCUCAUCCUCCUCUUCGGACCUGAUCCGCGCGAGGCCAAAAUCUGAGAGGCGGGCGCGGAGGUCCGCAUCCAGCAACACGUUGCUGGGCUUGACGUCCCCGUGGAUCACGGGCGGCUGCACGACGGAAUGCAGGUAGUGGAGCGCGGAGGCGAUGUCGCGGGCGACGGCGAGGCGGCGCGGCCACUCGGCCACCAGGUCGGGGCACCUCUUCCCGAGCAGCGCGUCCUGCAGCGAGCCGUUGGGCAUGAGAUCGUACACGAGCAUCAUCCUCCGGCGGCGCGGCUGCGCGGAGAGCGAGUAGGCGAACGGGAGGAGGAUGGAGGGCGGCGCCCCAGGGACGGCGCAGCCGAGGAGGUGGGAGGCCAGGGAGAGCUCGUUGUGGAACUCGCGCUCGCCCUGGAGGGACCCCGCGGCGUCCAUGACCUUGACGGCCACGGGCUGGCCCGACCGGGGCAGCGCGCCGCGGAAGACCGGGCCGAACCCGCCCUGCCCCAGCUUGCUCCCCGCCGCGAAUCCCCCCGUGGCGCGCCGCAGCUGCUGGUACGACAGCCUCCGCAGCUCGGCCGCCGGCUGCGCCCCCGCCGCCACGGCCAGCUUCCGCCGCCUCCGCCUCCGCCUCCGCCACAGCAGCAGCAGCAGCGCGAUGGCGACCACCAAGAUCAGCGCCGCCGCGGCCGAGCCCCCCGCGGCGGCGGCGGACGCGGGGCGGCGGCUCCCCCCGCGGGAUCGGAGGUCGGCGACGACGACCGCCGCGGCCGCGGCCGGGGUCGGCGACGGGGCGGGCGGCGGGGGCUGCCGCGAGGGCAUCGCCGGGUGGGCGGUGGGGGUUUACGGGCCGGGGAGGCCGGCGGCGGAGGCGGAGGCGGGGAGAAAAGACAAGCGGGGCGGGGUGGAGCACCGCAAAGCGAGGCAGCGGACUGGGGCGAAAAGUGUGUUGGCUUUCCACCAUCUCCUCCCCAGAUGCGUGCGCGCUUCACUCCACUGGCUGCUGGGGCUGCGGGUUCGAGGCCGGGCUGGGCGAGAGGAUCCUAUGCCGGGCCGCUGGGCAGUGGGCCCGAUGGAUCCCCAGUCCUACGGUCAGUGGGAGGGGUAGGAGCGUCACCGAUCCGCGCCGCGUCUCGAGGAGGGUGGCGUGGAUAGAGAGAGGGAGGGGAAGGGAGAAAGAGAUGGUUGGAGGCGGAGCCAGCUGGCGCAUUUGUAGGUGGGAAUGUAGGAUCGGGCUGCGGAGGCCGGAGGGGAUUUAAGAGCGAAUUUAAUGAAGGGGAUGUGGGGCCGCAGGUCAACAUUGGUCAACGCACAUUAGGACCCGGCCGGAGGGGUGUGGCCAAGGAGCCACCACGAUCUGCUUCUGCUUCUGCUCCGCUGGGAGCGUUAGUUAUGUCAGUGGCCCUAGGGUUAGCAACUUUUAUGGAGAGCAGAGUGUGUAUCCACUAUUCGCAAAAAAAAAAAGGAGAGUGUACAUCCACAAUUCCGCAUGCCCUACAUCAAUCAAUAAGAACGACGUCUCCCACGACCACGAGGUACACGCACAUUUAGGAAGGUCAGUCGGACGGUUUUGACCCGAAACCCACGAGUGGAGCGGGGGCGGGUCUGUUGUCCCCCAUGGGAUUGUGGGUUCAGUGAUCCGAAAUUGGGUGGGGAGGGGACGGAUUUCUAAUCCCCGCGGGUAACCUACAGGGUCUCGAAAUUUACAUUCCAGCUCAAAAAUUAGAUGUAGCCAAGCUUAACAAGUAAUUAAAACUUUAGAUAUAUAACUCUCCCAACCCUAUCCUCUUUCACCCACUCCACCAUUUGGCCAUCUUACACUCUCCUUGCAUUGCGCUGCAAGCCUGCACUCACUCCCGCACGGUCGCACCUCACCCGCGAGCGCCGCCGGCCACCCGCGCCCCUCGCUCGCGCGCGUCACCGACGGCUCGCACCUCGCCUGAUCCGUCACUGUAUUUGCUCGGGUUUUGAGGGCGGGUGCACAUUGUUUGGGGCGGGUUUUAUUCUCAGAUUUUGGGGGCGGGUCCGCGGAAGCUCCACCCAACCCCAACCCGCCCCGUUGCCAUCCCUACGCCUUGGAACAGCAGCAGCCGCUGCGCUGCGACUGCGCAACAGUCACUGCACGCAGUCAGCAGCCAGACAGCAGCAGACAGAGGCUGGGCUGAUGCUAGACCUGAUCAUGGCUGCCCAAUCCAUCCGAAAAAAAUCCGACUCGACCAUGUGACGGGUCGGGCGCGAGCUAAAAUUUUUUAUUUAGAACCCGAAAAAAUCCGAUCCAACUCAAAAAUUACACACAAAAAUCCGAACCCGACCCCACCCAACCAUGUGACGGGUCGAGCGCGGGCAAAAAAUCCAACCUGGCAACCCAUAGAACCCGGCCCGACCUGACAAAUGAUCAGGUCUAGCUGCGGCGGCAGCUGGUCUAUUCGCUUCAGCUUAUUCAGCUGGCUUAUCAGCCAUCAAACAGUGUUUUCCUCUCACAAUAAAUCAGUCGUUUCAGCUUUUUAGCCGGCUUAUAAGCUGAAGCGAACAGGUCAUUAGCUCGGAGCCAAGCGGCUGGGCUGCUGGACGCAGCUGCAGCCGCAGGUACAUCCGCUGAAGAGGUGCAGCGAGCAGGCAUACAUGAAACUUUAUAUCUUUUUUAAUGGAAUCAAAGUGUAUUCUAUAAAAUCCAUAUGUACAGCCAGCAAGAGUUACUUGAAACUGUUCGCCAGACUUGGGCGUGGAAGGAGGGGAGCGACCAUGUUUAUUUCCGGCAGAGCAAUUCUGUUUUCGCUACACUACCUAGUAUCUUCAGACUUUACUGGGGCCUCGGGUGAUAUCUUCUUGCUCUGCACUUUUUCUACAGGCCUGGCCAGCCGAGCAAUACUCCUCAUGUAGGCACCUGUACGAUACAAAGCUUGCUUUUGGAUAAACUAAAGCACCGCACAAAUAGCAAAUAUAUAGAAGCAUUCGUAAAAAUAGUUUUACGGAUGGUAAAUAGUUCAAUAUCCCAAAAGGAGGAAGAACAAGAUGAAUCUCCAUCUCCUAAACAUGCGGGCUAGGGAGCUGUGCAACAACAUGAUGUCACAUAAUACAAUACAGUAGUGUUCAGUGGACACUUUACAUGCAGCCUUUCCUUUCUGGCUGGGCAUGUACCAACCAGCAACCUCCUCCUCCUCGUAGGAUCAGUGGCAAUUUGUUCUCUCCUGAUUCCAGCCCAAGCAAUGCCCUUUUACUCUUUUUCCAGCAAAGUGUAAAGGGUCAAUGAAAGCAAAGGUUCUUUUUGUCCAUGUCCCAUGAUCCUUUCCUUUUUUUUCUUUUCUCUUCUUUUUGGUCAACUUGCUAUUGGCGGUAUGUUAUGUAGACUCUGAUCCUUCAUCCUUUUUUUCGAGCUACCAGUCAUUGACAAUGCGGGCCCAUGUCCUCCGGGCCCAUACGUCAGUGACCACGUCACCGUGCUUUCUGUCAUCAGAGGAUUUCCCCUUCCAACUGAAUUCCGAUCUUUAGCCACAUAGCCCAGGUGUGUUACAUUGACAAUUGGACUCUGCAUUGGCCGGUUUGCACCCGUGGAAUCGAAGGCUCACCAAGCACGAAUCUCUAGGGACGAACGCGUAAAGGCAUGCACAGAUCCAGCCAUGCAAUGUUCGUCGUGGCAACUUUCACCGAUCGGACGCCAUUGCACGUCGCCCUCCCUCCCCCCCCCCCCCCCCCCCCCCCCCCCCCCCUUCUCUCUCUCUCUCUCCACACACACACACACUUUAUAUUGUUACUAAUUGCACGCGAAAAAAUCGGCCCCAAAUGGAGGGUUAGCAGUAAAAACAAUCUGAAGAGAGGAUCGCCAUCGAUGUGAUCCAAGAAUUUCCGUACGCAAUUGCCAAUUUUUCACUUGAUCCUUUUCUUCCUCCUCUGUUCCUGGCACGUUGAGAGGGUAGAGGCGGAAUGGGGUUCAUAUCGGGAGUUAUAAUGGGGAUGAUCGUCGGCGUCGCCCUGAUCGCCGGCUGGGCCCGCACCAUGGCUCGCCGCGCCGCCAAGCGCAGCAACAAGGCAAGUGCUACGGCAUCAUUCCGAUUUGAUCUAUGCAAAAGUUUUUCUCUUCGUAUCCUCGCCUUCCGUUAACCGUUCUCGAUUUUCUCUCUGAUCGAUUUGUCAAUGGAGAUAUACCUUUAGUUUUGUAAAUGCCGAUUGCUUAUUGUAAGAAUCGGACAACCGGUGUACAUCUUCGAUUUGCCGCAAUACGAUCGAAUCGACAUAGCCCAUAGAUUGGGACUUCAGACUCAAGAACAUUGCUUGUGUUUUGUUGUUGGUGAUUUGUCUUGAAAGCGGAUGUCUCUUCACUGUAAAUUUUGUUUCACCUGAGUUUAUGGGGUUAAAUUUGUACGUCUUAGUUUACAAUAAAUUUCACAGUGAUACUUUUUGAACCAGGCUGCAGAUAUCAAUUCACUGGGAUCUCUCAACCGUGAAGACGUGAAGAAAAUAUGUGGAGAAAAUCUUCCCCAAUGGAUAUCAUUUCCAGAAUAUGAACAGGUGAAAUGUUACUUGACGUUCUUUUGAUGUAGCUAUAAUCAUGGCACUGCAAAAUGCCGUUGCUGUACUGGCUACAGUGUAAAUUUGACCAUUUUCUGUCCCAACGAGUACAGCAAAAGUUCUCUGAACUUUUAUUGUUGUAAUUGAUAGAUAGCUAGAAAAUGAAACACACUCUAUUCCAUAGCAUGCAAUUGUUUCUGCUAGAGCUAUGCCCUCUUUGAUCUGUUGCUUGCAUGCUUACCUUGGUACAUUUUUUGGGUUUUGCUCUCAGGUCAAAUGGCUCAACAAACAAUUGAGCAAGCUUUGGCCGUUUAUUGAAGAGGUUAGAUAACUCCUUGGGAUGAAGACACUUCUAUGUUAAAAAACAGACAGAUCUGACCACUAUGCUAUUUUUAUUGGCCAUGUUGCUCUCAAGAACUGUUCUGAUUUGCAGUCGCAUCUAAUUACAGGCAGCAACCAUGGUCAUCAGGGAUUCUGUUGAACCUCUACUCGAUGAUUAUCGACCGCCAGGGAUAUCCUCACUGAAGUUCAGCAGACUCUCCCUUGGGACCGUCCCACCGAAAAUAGAAGGUCCCUGAGACAAAUGUUAUAGAUUUCAGUUUUCAGAGCUAUGUACUCUCACAAAAUCUGACAAAAUCUCGCUAUGACAUAUCCUAUUCUGUGUUCAGGCAUUCGGAUUCAGAGUUUUAAGAAAGGGCAGAUUACAAUGGACAUGGACUUCCGGUGGGGUGGGGAUCCAAAUAUUAUUCUUGCAGUCGAAACACUUGUUGCUUCACUUCCCAUUCAGGUUUGUUUGCCACAAACCCCUGGCCAAAAGCAAGAAUAUCAUUAAUUUCCCAUAUUUUUUAUUUUAAAUAGUGAUCAAAUUUUUUUCAUGAAAGGCACAUAUAAAAUAAUUUACCAUGUGGACUGAUAUUCAUAGUGCCAGCUUAAGGAAACCAAGUAAAAAAAAGGGAUCAUCCAAAUUCCGUUUUGCCUAGACACUGGUACAAUUAAUUACCUGCAGUACAGGAAUUAUGUUACACUUAAAAACAGGAACUCAUGUUUAAACUGCAACUUUUAUUUUCAGAUUUAAUCUUAAUUAGUUAACACUUACCCUUUUUAUUUGUGUGUAUAUGUAUACAGUUUAAGAACCUUCAGGUGUACACCAUCAUCCGUGUGGUCUUCCAACUGUCGGACGAGAUACCAUGCAUCUCUGCAGUUGUUAUUGCACUUCUGGCAGAUGUGUGGUUCUUUUGACUACUCAAUAGCCAGGCUUAACUUUUAAAUUCUAGUUCGAAGGCCCUUCUAUGAGAAUUUUUUUUGUUUCAAUAACAAAGAACUGGUUUUAUUUCUUUGCAACAUAUUUGUUUUUGACAUGCAAGGUUUCCCUGCAAUUGCAGCCAAAACCGAGAAUCGACUACAUUCUGAAAGCUGUGGGAGGAAGCCUGACCGCAAUGCCUGGGCUUUCAGACAUGAUUGACGUAUGACAUGAAUUUCCAUUCUUUUUGUUCCAUUUCUAUCUACAACAGGAAACAAAAUUCACAUUUGCCUGUUAUUUUUCUGUAGGAUACAGUUGCGUCAUUGAUCACUGACAUGCUCCAGUGGCCACAUAGAGUUGUUGUUCCGCUGGGUGGAGUCGACGUGGACGUCAGGUUAACACAAUCUGCUACCCUCCUAAUCAUGUCUACCGAACUAGUCACAGGAAGUUCUUUGAUGUGUCUGAGUGACUGAGUCGAAGAACAUGUUGGGAUGACGGACAGAAUCUUGGGCUCUCUUGUGCAGCGAUCUUGAGCUGAAGCCACACGGGAAGCUCACCGUCACUGUGGUGCGUGCGGAAUCCCUCAAGAACAAGGAACUCAUCGGCAAAUCAGACCCCUACGUGGUCCUGUUCAUACGCCCAAUGUUCAGAGAGAAGACCAGCGUCAUCGACGACAACCUCAACCCUCAGUGGAACGAGACGUUCGAGCUGAUAGCUGAAGACAAGGAGACGCAGUCUCUAAUUCUUGAGGUAUCUCACUUGUUUCCUCCCAGAUAGAAAGCAAGUAGAGGAGGUGGCCAGUGGUCUGAGUUCUCUAUGCGCUUUCAGGUGUUCGACGAGGACAAGAUGAAGCAAGACAAGAGGCUGGGCAUCGCCAAGCUGCCCCUGACUGAUCUGGGGAUGGAGACCGUUCAGGAGGUGAACCUCCAGCUGCUGUCGUCGCUGGACACGACCAAGGUCAAGGACAAGAAGGACAGAGGCGUGCUCACCAUCAAGGAAAGAUCCGAUCCCCUCGCCAUUGUUGGCACGCUCGUGUUUAAUUCGCAGGCGCACGUCGCGGCACGCCCGGUUUUCUGACGUUGCUUGGCAAGCUGGUGCAGGUGGUGUACCACGAGUUCACCAAGGCGGAGGCGAUGGAGGCCCUGGAGCUGGAGAAGCAUGCCGUGGAGGAGCGGCGGAAGGUGAGGGGCGAGACGGCGGCCGCCAGCGGCGCUGCGGACGCGACCGGCGGCGUGGCGUCCACGGUCACCAACGUGGCCGGCACGGGCGUCGCGGCGGCCGGCACCGUGGCCGGCUCGGGCAUCAGCGCGGCCGGCUCGGGCGUCGGGAUGGUGGGCACGGGCAUCGGCGCCGUGGGCUCCGGAAUCGGCGCGUUCGGCAGCGGGCUCAGCAAGGCCGGCAAGUUCGUCGGCCGGACCGUCACAGGGCCUUUCAGCAGCGCCAGGCGCAGUGCCAGUAGCGUCCCCAACAUCGAUGAUUAGGCUGCUAGUUUUGUCGUCAGGUUUCCAAAACCUUUAGGCUUUGCUUUGAUUUCAUUAUGUUACAAGUUUACAACAGCAAUCGGCAGUCGUACGAGUUUAUCAUAUGCAUGUAGCGUUUAAGGUGUACUUUGGGUUUAGAUUAUGCAAACAUAGAGCCAAUUAACCGAGCAUAUAAAUGAUACCAAAUCCAAGUAUCGACAUGCUUCCAGUUCCAGGUGCGGCCAAAAGAAGAUAAAAAUGACUGGGUACAUAACUGCAGGAGAUUAAUCGUAACGUAAAUAGCACUUUUUAUUGGCAAUGGACACAAUGGAAUGUUCAACCUUCGAUACAGUGCUUAUUUAUAUCCAACAUACACAUCGCCCAAUCGGCAACUACUUAUUAGCAUCAUACAAGGGUGAUAUCACCCCAGAUGUGUUGCCAACCAACCCAAAAAUCCCCCUGCACUCUUCGUAGCUAAUAAUAAGGAAGGAAAAAUGAUGCAGUUUCAUCCCACGCUUAAACAAGGGACUGGAGGUUUAUGAUCCUUCCAAGACAACAGAUGAAAAAAUGAUUGUUCUGGGAACAAAGGCCACCCAAGAUUUUACAACGGCUACAAUAAAUACAAAUGUUCCGAUGAGCUCAAUCUUCCUCCUCACGGAUCAGCGCGAAAGAGAAUGGUGCAAACUUGUAACCAUCACCUUCGUAAAACUUGUUCUGGAACUCCACCCAGUGAAGCCUCAACGCGUGAAGGAAUGCACUCAGAGUCUCCAUAACAAGCAAGACACCAAUCGUGGCAAAGAUGAAGAUGAUGACGCCAAGAAUAAGGGCAACAACAUUGUUCAUCCUACAAGAGCAAACAGUAAAAUUUUCAGAGCGAGAAUUUUUUUAAAGAACUAGAGAGGUGCUCAUUUUCUAGAACUCAAGACAGAUAUUCCUUUGCUUACCUCCACGUUAACAUGAGAACUUUAUCGUAGAAUACAGUGGACAACUCCGAGUGUGCAAGACUGCAGGGAUAAUAUCAGUUGCUCGUUAGCAGCCAGUGCGGUAAAUAAUGAAGUAUAGGAUGGUGAGUAGGUGAGGAUGUGUUUGAAGAUACUGCUUAAAGCAGCAUUACCUCAGAGCCCAAAGACGAAGGUACGAAGCUGUGUUUGAGACGGCACCAAGAACAAAUUCGAUUGUGUGGAUCAGUUGGUGAACGAAAACUUCACUAAACUCAAACUCCUCAUGGUCAUGUGAUUCAUCAUGAUGUUCCCCCAACUCUGCUCCCACUGAUUCAUCGGUGCCCUGAAGCAUAGCGUAUUGGUGACCUUGAUGCCUCUGAUUGAAAAGAAACAGAAAAACAGUCAGCGAACUGCAGCCACAAAGCAACAUCAGAAUGUGGGAUACUAUAUAAACAUACUCGCUCAUGUUGCUUCUUCAAUAGAACUGGCUUUGGAAUCAACAUCCAAGGCACGGACACCAAAGCAAGUAGAAGCAAAACAAGCUGCAGAGGAAAAGGCGAAUUAUUAUGCACAACUGGUUUGCUUCAGGGAGGGGCCUUAAAAUAAGGAAAAUAUAUAUACCUGCACCGUCUUCUGGCCACUAAAUAACUGGUUCUCCCCAAGCUCAUCUGUUGGGCUAAGGAACAUAUAGAUCAUAACAUGGUACAGAUCUGCUUUUGACCCCGUGCACCACUUAAUAAUGAUAAGCAAGGACAGGUAACCAAAUAAGCUGUUCAAGAAAAUCAGCUGGGGAAUGAACUGGUACCUGUUUCAAAGGAAUACAAUUAGAAUAAUCAUAAUCUAGUGAUUGUACCAAAGACUAUGAAUGGAUAAACUACUUCACAAUUGUUAUAGAUCCUCAUCUCAAAAUAGAAUGCCAUAUUGUCUGCCACGGCGAAUAAACUUACCACACAUUAAUACUGUUCCUGAAAAACUUUGCAUUGAAGUAGCUCAUCACAAUUCCAAGGUUCAUUUGUGCAACUCCAAGAAGGAUUGACAUCUUCAUCUUCAGUGAGUUCAGAAAUGGCAGCUCACUGCGGCUACCAUGCCAGACAGGGUCCACACCAAAAGGGUAUGUACCCCUUACCUUAAUCAAUCCUUCAGUAGUGGAAUCUCUAUAACCAAAGUGGGGAAAUAAAUGAGCUAAAUUUUAUGCAAUUUAUAAGAAUAUGGUUUUACUUAGGUCAUUUUCCUUACCUACAAGACGGAUCACGGCACGCAUAGGCAGAUUUACCGAAAAGCUCAAAUGGGACAGAGAAAAAUUCGUUGUAUAUUAAUCCCGUGUAGAUUGAAAAAAUGGACAUCAUCAUAAUUACAUAACGCCCACCAAACAUCAUCUCCGUUAUAUCUCCAAGUUUCUGUGAUAAAAAUCAGAUGUCAAGCACAGAUUACCACAGAAUUAUUAACAAAACAUAGUUCUCCCAAAUUACAAAUACUAAAGGGAAAAACUGUAAUCAAGACCAGUGAAGAAAAUAGUUCUCUUGGUCUUAGGGAACACGGCUAUGCAUUCCAAGUCUAAAUAGGUCUUAGAAUUGUACAUUCAGCAUACAGAUAAGUGAAGCAAAAUGCAAUCAAGACUAGUGGACAAACCUGUGAAGCUAGUUUCUUCUCCCGGAUUAUCAGAAAUAGUGUCCCAAGUAACAAGCAAAUUCCAUGGCCCCAAUCGCCAAACAUGACAGCAAAUAAGAAAGGGAAAGUGACAAUGGUGAAUACUCCAGGAUUUGCUUCUUGAUAUUUGGCUACCCUAUUGGCAAAUAAGGGAACACAAUGUUAGCACUUAGUACUGACAAAAACCCCAAACAAAACGAAUUCCACUUUAUUUCUCAAAAUAUGUACAUGUUAGAUUUAGUCAAAUGAAGUAUAAUUGAUAGAAUUUCCCGAACAGCUGGUUGCGAAAAGUUUGAUAGAAACAUUGGAGGAACAAUUCUGUAUUUAUGCGAUUGACACUUAUUUUAUCAACAUGCACUAUGCAUGCCCAAAUAAAAAAAAAAGCAUUCAAGAACAAUGACGGGAAAUACAUUUUUAAGAACAGUUUGUUGGCAUUAGUUAGGCUGCAGUUAUGCCUCCUGAUGACUAACACUAAGGGUUUGUGUACCGAUCAUGGUUUCGCUAUCUUGCAGGAAGUAGGAUGGAAAGAGGACGAUUUGGUUAUGUCGAAGGAUAAGAGAAGAUAUUUAAGACAAUCAACGAAAAUAUUGCGCAUAUGUAGCACCAACACAGUCUGAGACACGUCUUGUAAUAGAGGGGGUGCAUUUUUCUAAUCCUUUGGUGAAUAAAAAGUGAAGUUUCUCAGGAAACAGAUCGGUAGCAUGCUUAAAACAGGAAUGAGGAAGAGAUUAUAGUUUCUUAAAAUAAACGAGGGAAAUUCGAAGCAUAAAACGAAUUAUAUUGAAACCCAUAAUAAGGACAAUAAAGAGCAUAAAAUCAAGCUACCAAUUCAUAGCCAAAGUCAACUGCACUAUAGAAUUUAGCUCCUCAUAAAAGGGCUAUUGUAGGGGUUGCAAGGGUAGCUAGAGAACAUACCCAUACGCAUCAACAAUUUCCUGGAACGCUGUUGUGAACUUGUUUGUCUGGAAAUAUGUUGGAGGGGAUUCUUUUGUGUUGAGAAUUUGAAAGAUUGAGCCAACUUGGGAUUUGCUAUCAACAGUAGCACGCUGGAGAGCAUCUUGAAUCUGCACAGAUCCAUUGUAAAUCAUGAAGGCGGUUUACGAUGUGGAAAGGGGAAUCAGGAAGGAAGCAGGAAAACUUUACAAGAGACCAAUGGAUUUUAACUACCUGAACGCUAGCAAAAACAGGACUCCAGCCCUCGGCGACUAGGCAUUUCUUCGUUACAUCAACACUCAACAUAUUUAAAGUGUGAUAAAUUGCUUUUUCCCUCUUUGCCUGUAGCAUUGAUAUUACAAUUCAGUAAGGAAACUGUGGUACAAGAGAAACAGAAUACAAAGUAAUAAAAAACAAUAGAAGCUUACCAGAUGGUUCCACUGCUCAAAAUCAGAUGCAAUACUUUUGAGUAUACUGUCACGAUGAGCUAGGCCCAUGUCAAUUGUUGCCUUCAACUCUGAGAUCCUUCCAGAUACCUAUAAGACCUCAGAAAUUCAGAACACAUAUAUGUUUAAAUACUGAGAGAGAAAAAGGUUCUCCUAAACAGUGCUCAGCCUUAAUUCAGAACUUUCACAAAUACAAGCUAAGCAUGCAAAGUCAACAAAUCAAUUUCUGCAAUCAACAGCACCAUCAAUAAUUAGGAGCAGAACGAAAUUUAGAUGUUAUCUUCACUUAGGGAAUUAAAUGUUCACCAAGCAUUAAAAAUUGAUAUCAUUGCAGUCUUAGAACCAAGGCAGAUUCAUUUUGUGACUGGAAAUAAGUAUAACUGUGACCUAAUACAAUUAUUUGCACACCCAUACCAGAUGCAAAGAAUGUAUAUGUCCAAAAGAACAUUUUUCUUCAUAUGUUGAAUUUUCUAGCUUGAAGUUAUCAUCUACCACAAAGAAAUCAAAUAAAGAACAUCAGCAAACAUUGUCUUUCAAGUGCUGACCUCUUGAACAGCAUGAAGUUGUUUGGUAACAUCUUCUGGGAAUGGGUAACGAUUUGCAUUAAAGGCAUCACAUAUCUUCAGAAUUUUGGCUUUUGAUCUCUCUCCAGAGUAGAAAAUAACAAAUGCAUUUUUCGCUACCUGCAUUACCAUACAAAAGAUUGGCAGCUAAGUCCAAGCAAAGAAUAAACAAUAAGCUGAACAGAACAAGCAUUCAGAGUGAUUAGUAAGCAAUUCCAGAAUCAAUGUGCUGAUAAAUGGGAAACAUUAUCAAGUGUAGCAAUCAUCACUCAUGAAUUAAGCACUUAAAUACCAAAAAAAAUCAUAAGUAUCAGUGUUAGCGCAAUCAGAGUUGUCCAAGUACUUGCCUACCGUUUUUGUUUAGUAAAGGGAAUAGUUAUACUGUGACCAUUCUGGUUUUUCUUCUUAAUUGUGCAAAUAAAUGGGAAACACUACCAAAGUAGAAAAUUUUGAAAGGGCUAGGAACACAAAUUUUACAAAGAAUCGCCAAAAUAAAUAUAUUUCCAAAAAAACAUAUGCCAACCUUCUCCCCAGAAACUGGAUCUGUGACAGGCUCAUCAAUAGGCUCUUGUCUAAGGAAUAUGUUACCCCUGGUGGCACGGAAUAAGAUCCGCUCAAAAGCCAUCGCCUUUUCCUUUGGCACAAGACCACUCAAUGAGCCAAGCUUCACUUGUUUUGAUGGAUCUGUUGACAUCUCCUAAAAGGAUACAACCAAUAUGGAAAUAUAGUAUUAAAAAGACCAGACAAUAAAACAAAGAUAAGAUAAGAAGGAAGGAGGGUGAUGCUGCUUUAUCAAAGCAAUCAUUGUACCUGUUCCAACAGGGGGCUCUCCAGUGAAGUUUGACUAGAUUGAUUUGCCUCCAUUUCCCUUUGUUGUGCUGCAGCGCUUCUUUGAGCUGAAUAGAAAAAUUCACCAGCCUGGGGGAAAAACAAUUAAACAGAAGCUUAGUAGCAGAUAUCACACAGGUAGCUUGGCCACUACAUUGGCUCUCACUUUAAAGUAGUUCUUUACUAGGAUAACAAUAAAACAUGCACACAAUCAAAUGACAACAGAAGAUUCUGGUCAUUAACUUAUGUGUCUAAUGUGUUGCACAUUGAACAAUGAAAAAAACAAUUGGAGCUUAGAUGCUAGAGCACAAAGCAGGAGUGAUUAGUGGCACAAAGCAGGAGCGAUUAGUGGAAAAAAUAUAUGCCAUGCUUCCUUCAUUAAAUUGACAUAUUACUAUUGUACCAGAAACAAUUAAGGUUGCUGAGGGAAUAGGUGUAGCUGUCAAUAUUUACCAAGAAAACAUACACACCAAAGGUAUAUUCAAUGCAAUAGAAUGAUUUCAGAAAAAGGUAUACCUUUUGGAGAACGGUAUUGUACUCUAACAGCUCAUUAUAGGUCCGCUGUAACUUUUCGUUGUUUGCAUUAACUUCAGUUAGCUCAGCUUCCAGUUCUCCAAGCUUUAUCUGUUAUUAGGCAGUGUUAAGUGAGCAACUCAAGAUUUAUAAGUUGUGUACAAUUAGGGAGCAACCCAAUGACUAAAAUACCUCCAAGUCAUCAAAUUCCAGAUGAGCUUCAUUUAGUUGUGUAGGAGAGGGUGAUAUGUUAGCUUUUGACAUCUGCUCCUUAAAAAACCUCAACUUGCGAGCCAUUUCACUACACCUUUUGAUCUGUACAGCAAGUAAAUCAGAGCAAGAAAACAACAUCGUGAAAACCACAACAUUAGAACACAUGGUUACAUAAUACUAAUCACCCGUGUUCGCCUAAACGGCCGUUUAAACAGCAUCUAAACAGUGAACGGAGGCCAACUGUUUUGUUUAGGCUGUAAACGGUCCAUUAAACGAAAACGGGUUUAAACGGUCAAAAACGGGAUUACACGGGCUAAACGGCCUAAACCGAACGGAAUUAAACGCCAUUAUACAGGCUAAACGGCCAUUUAACACACUGUUUAGGCAAACACUGUCAAUUCCACUAGAAUUCUUACUUCCAUAAAUAUAUAUACUCAAGUUUUUCCAUAGAUAAAUAUUUAUAUUUGGUUUGUUCCAUGCAUGAAUAUAUGUACUUGGUCUUUUAUAUGCAUAAAUAUAUAUACUUUCUAGAAUACUUAUCUUUUCUGAGCAUGAUUAUGUAUAAAUUAGUUAUAAAGUGCAAAACUGUUUAGACCGUUCAAUUUCGUCUAAACACCGUUUAAACUGUCUAAACACUAAACAAAGAGUCCCCGACUGUUUACCGUUUAGUGUUUAGGAUAACACUGCUGGUCACACUAUAUAUAGUGAACAAAUACAAAUGUGAUAUCAACUAUUAUUUAGGAAAAUGAAAAGUUAUAUUGCUUGCUCAAGGUAACACCCUAAGUUAUCGUGGGAACGGGCUAAAAAUCAUUACUAGCAAAAGAGAUAUUCUGCGACCAGAAGGGACUAGCACAUUGGUGAAGAUUUGAAGUUAAUGCUAACGCGAAAUUCAGAAAAAAGUUGAGGUCAAAGUUAAAAAGGGAAGUACCUGGGCAGCAUAUGUCCGUUGAAAUGGGCUCUUCUCUGCAUUAAGCUGAGGUGAAAAAAUAAUAAUCAGAUUAACAGAAAAUACAACAUAGAAAAGCAGCACCUAGUUUUGAAGCAUCAAAAACACACCCUUCACGACCUACUAAUCAAGCUCAAUUGCAUAAUAACAGUAACUUUUUUGCAAGGAACUGUUGCUUUCAUUGAAAGCAACUAGUGCAUAUGUGAUAUAGUUCCCAAUCAAAAAGAAUUCCUACUAUAAACUACCAGCUCUGAUUGCAACCGAUCACGCCAAUGCGAACCAUUAUACCACAACUUCCGAUGUAGUAGUAUUAAACAGCAAAACAAUUGAGCGCUGUGGCUGCAAAAUCCCCAAUUGCGUAAUGCCGACGGGGAUCCCUAGUUCCCAGGAAACCCCGAUCACAAAGUCCAAUCACCCAGCCACCACCUUAGAUCGAAACGUGGGGAUUCGGCAGGGGCACCAACGAGAUCCCCCACACCCAGCAGAAAAGAAGACUCUAAAUACCUAAACCCGGAACAGCGCAAUCGAAGGGACGAGCAGGGGCAGGCGUUCUUACGUCUUUGAACUGGAUGAGGCCGAGGUCGCCAAGGUAGGAGACGGUGAGGUGCGCGGACUCGGCGGGUAUGAUGACCUGCACCAGCUGCAUCGCCUCCGACCGCAUCAGAUCCAUCGGCGGGCAGCACCCGCCCCCGCCACCGCGCGCCAUGGCCGGCGUCCGCGCGUGCCCCGCCGGGUCAGCAGCCGGCCCGCUGCGCCUCCGUCAGAUCCCUGGAGAUCCGACGAGGGGUUUCGGAUCGGGCUCGCGCGGGCGGAGCGGAUCUCCUCCGGCGGGCGCGGCGGUGGUCUGAUCGGUUCCUCGCGUCGUGAGGAGGUGGAAGGCGAUGGGGGAGGAGGUAGAGACAGCGGGGGGGUCGUGGACCAUGUGGUAUUAUGCGGAGACGUGGCGGGACCGAGCACCGAUCGGGAGUCUGACCGCUGGGCCCCAGGUGCCAGAGUUCGGAUCUGGGGACGGGGGUCUCUGGGAUUUUGUUUGCCCCGGCCCGAAGAGAAGAGUGUGGAUUUCGCGGGGGAGAUUGUUAGGCUGGCUGACUUGUGGGGUCGGAUGCAAUCGUAGCUGUGGAGGAGAGAAAAGAGUUCUCGCGGGGGGUUGGUUUACGUGUCGAAACUUGACAGGUACGUAUCGUGUUGGCCCGGUCGGCAUUAAUUGAGGAGGGAAGGCGAGGCGAGAUGGGCCAUAAAUUCUGGAGCCUUCUUACCUGGGCUAAUAUGCGGCCCAUAUAGAGGAGCGCCAGAUGCGGCCCAAUUUCAGCUGCAAACCACAACACAAUCCUGGGCUUUUGCUUCGUAUAUAACUGGAAAAAUAAACCCAAGGCCCCUGGAAUGCAGAAAUUUUCACAAGAGUUUUGCAAAAAAUUCAGUUCAAAAGAGGAACAGCUUUCUUAAUUUUCACGGAUAAUUGGAAUCUGCAUCUUUUAAAAUAAAUAAAUGAAAUGGCGCUGCAAUUUCCUGCAGCUAAGUUGCAGUGGGGACAGCGUGGAGAGCAUUAAUAUAAUUUGUUAAAUCUUGAAAAAAUUCUGGUCGAUUGGUCCCAAUUCUCAUCAUGAUCGAGCAGCUGCUCAGCGACAGCGUCGGUGUUGGGGAGGAGAAACUACAGCCGGUGCCGUGGAGCAGAUUUAGAUUUUCCCUCGAUGAUCGAUCUAGUUUAGCGCCGGAAUUUGAGAGGCUGCGGAACUUCGAGAACGGAUAAUACCCAUAUCCGAAAAGACCAAGCCUGGCCACGAACGCCUGCUCUCCCGAUCUCCUCUUCAUCUUUCUCUUAUCCGCAGGUACGGGCCAAAACCAAAUCAGCGACCAUUUUCACAGCAGAUCGCGUGGACAAGGCUCGCGUCAGUGCGACAAAAGAGAAGCUGAACUACUGCUCCCCCUGCUAAUCCUGCAAUUAACGGCGUGUAUGCUGCUUAAUCCAGUCGGCAAUCAUGGUCGCCAUUUCCCUUUUCUAGCUGAAGGAUGAGUAGCCUCUUAUCUUUCUCCACACGUGGAGAUUUUAACCACGGAUUAGCAACCUUAAUCACACUGUGUGUAAUGGAUUUCUGAAGGUAAUUAACUCUCCAUCUGCAGCAGCAACCACGCACAUUUACGGUUGACAGUGCAGAGAGACAGAACUAUAUAUGAAGGUGCCGAGAUUACUUUUUAGCUAGGCUCCAAGCAGCCGAAAAUGACGACUGCUUUCAGAUAUGCAAGGUCUCCGUCUACUGCACGAUUUUUUCAGCCCUAUGGGGCCAACAACCCCUGCUCAUAAGAAAGUGGAGCUUGCCAUUUUGCUCAGGCUUUGGCAGCGGCAGCUGGGAGAGCCUGGGACUGGCCGGCCGGGAGGAGGCGGGGUCAUCGCUAGCUCCUGCUUCCGAUCUCCAUGCUGAAGAGCGUCUGGGUGGCGCGCGCGGUUGCUGUGCUGAAGGAGCUGAGAGGAGCUCACUACUCCUGUAAGAAAGCUUGAUAUAAGCCGACAGUAGCCACCUCAAGUUCAGGCACAAAGGUUAGUCUGAUUUGCCUUCAGGUUGAAGUUCAAGCUCGAUUUUGCUGCUGCAAAGCAUUAUGGAUCAUGUGUGUUUCUUUUCUGAGAUCUAUCCGUCAUUUGCUUUGCACAAGAUUAUUUUCUUUUUUUAAGUUUUCUGCACAAAUAUGACAAACUUAUGCAGGCGCGCGCCUGCAUAAAUAAUUUAUUUUCUUGCCUCUCUUUCCUAAGUGGAGAUUUGGUUUUCUCCUUGUUUCAAAAACAAAAUCGUUUCUGUUUCUAUUUGGUCAGUAUAGCAUUAGUUCAUUUUUUUUCUUUGUUCAUUGCUUUGUCAUUUAUUACUAUUGCUCUUGAAUGCUCCUCAUGGACAAUGCAUGGAGUUUUUGCCUUCUGAAAGGGAACAUGAGUUCUUGUCCCAACUCGAUCCAAAUCACUGAACAUCACAUGUGAUCUACAAUCGAGAUCGGUUCUUUUUCACCCCCUUUGGUUUAAAACUAUGGUAAUUUGAGAACGCUCAUCGGCACAUAUAGCAUUCUACAUAUAUCAACAAAAAAGAAUUAAGGACUAGCAACUAUUUCACAAGAAAACCUUCUAUAGCCCCCAAAAUUGUGCAAAUAUUAUAGGGCAAUAUAUGCAUAUAUUCGAUGUGAUUUAGUCGAGAGAUCGACAAGUGGGAGCUACCUUCUUCGAUCUGUUUGCUUAAAUAAAUUUUGUCAGAUCAGUUCGUAUGUUUAGUUUCACAAUAGAUACGGAAAAGCCUCUCCCAAGAACAAUAUAUGCAGCAUGCAUGCGUGAUAUAAUUAGCACGUAUAGAUAAGUAGGUCCCCCAUGUCUGCACUCCACCACCUAUAGCGCGUCUCCCCUCCUCAUCUCCUGAUCCGUUUGCACUUGCUGAUGAGACCUACCACCAGAAUUCGGAUACUGCUUCGUUCGCAUCCGGUAACUCUCAAACCAUGCUACACGCUACAGAUAUGGUACUGGAUGAAAAUGCUUUCUCCUCGAUCUAUCAACAACACUAAUUACUGAUCGGCCCGUUUCGCUUCAGGACAGAAAUACGUCUGCACGUUGCAUGAAUUGUGAACUGCUAGCCAUUUGCUGCAUACUACGUGGAACACGUUCAGAUCAUUCAUUUGCAGCGCUACGUAACCUAAAUAAUCUUCAACAUCCAUGCAGCUAUCAGCUACAACGCCGAGCAGGCGAGAAGAAGCAUCGGAACGGCCACAAGUAGCAACCAAUUGAAUCCAUGGACAACCAGCCGCUGCCCUACUCCACUGGUCAGCCCCCGGCGACCGGCGGAGCCCCGGUGCCCGGCGUCCCUGGCGCGGCCGGGCCGCCACCGGUGCCGCACCACCACCUGCUCCAGCAGCAGCAGGCCCAGCUGCAGGCGUUCUGGGGGUACCAGCGGCAGGAGGCGGAGCGCGCGUCGGCGUCGGACUUCAAGAACCACCAGCUGCCGCUGGCCCGGAUCAAGAAGAUCAUGAAGGCCGACGAGGACGUGCGCAUGAUCUCCGCGGAGGCUCCCGUCCUGUUCGCCAAGGCGUGCGAGCUCUUCAUCCUCGAGCUCACCAUCCGCUCCUGGCUGCACGCCGAGGAGAACAAGCGCCGCACCCUGCAGCGCAACGACGUCGCCGCAGCCAUCGCGCGCACCGACGUCUUCGACUUCCUCGUCGACAUCGUGCCGCGAGAGGAGGCCAAGGAGGAGCCCGGGAGCGCGCUCGGCUUCGCGGCGGCCGGGCCUGGCGCCGUCGGGGGAGGCGCGGCGCCCGCCGCCGGGAUGCCGUACUACUACCCGCCGAUGGGGCAGCCGGCGCCGAUGAUGCCGGCCUGGCAAGUUCCGGCCUGGGACCCGGCCUGGCAGCAAGGGGCGGCGCCGGACGUCGAUCAGAGCGCCAGCUACGGCGAGGAAGGGCAAGGGUUUGCCGCAGCAGGCCAUGGCGGUGCCGCUAGCUUCCAUCCUCCUGCACCUCCGAGCUCUGAGUGAUCUGCUGCGCUCCUUCGUGCUGGUUUAGCUACAUGUGCAGACGCGCUUGAAGUGAAUGUCGAUCGUUCAAUGUGUCACGGUGUAAGUGCAAACAUGGUAAUGGAGCUACAUACAGAACGAAUAAGUGCGACGUGAGUAAUUUGUACAUGCACGUGAUGUGCUGAUCAAUCAAAGAUUAACAUGCAGUUUAAUUAAUUACUAGCCAGCUGUUAUUCUCACGGCUCUAGUAGUCUAGUGCUUGAGAUCUCCAAACUUUUAAGUCGACUUCAGAUGAGCCGUAAGAGUGGUAAACUUUAGUUUCGGGAUUUGAGAUGACUUUCCAUGGAUGCCUGACCCUGACCUAGAAAAGGCCUUGCGAGCAGCAAGCUAGGGAGAACGAUGCAGGGAGCGGUAUGGUGAGGCGACGGGAAUUGCCUGUCGCGGGUCGUAGGACAAUCGGAUGGGCCCGUGGGACUGUGGGAGGGCGUAACAACAUCUUGACCGACUUGGCGAAAGAACGAUGGGAAGCGGAAGAGAGACAUAUAGCAUCGUAGCAUGGCAUCGACGGCCGCGGCUACCAUGAUCUAUAUGAGCUGAGACAUCAGAAAUGGGUGCUGCCAUGAUGGGCCAAUCGAAUACUCCGUGGUUGGCAGGGGCUCCCUGUGCGGGGCUCCAUUUUGUUGCUGGGCCAGGUUCAGAUUCAGUUAGCAGCGCGUCAUGCGUCCCCUCCUCCAGACCCUGAAUCACAACGGACAUCCGGCAGUGUGUGGCCAACGGGCGACGUACGGACAUCGAACGUGGAACUCGAAAGCAACGCGGAGAGGUCACGGGCACGGGCGGAGAGGUCACAACUUUAAGGGUUGGCCGAACAACGAUAAGUUUGCCAUCGGUGGACUUGAAGGGUUGCUGCUUCCAUCUUUUUCUUUCCCAAAUCAAGAUCACAACCUUCAAGAUUGUACGUAACGAUGACGCAUGUCCAAUAACUUUUACUGUGACUUCGUCCAAGAUAGCUAGCCUAAACUGAUAGUGUAUACUCGAUCUGUUCUAAAUUAUAGGUUGUUUUGGAUUUUCUAGAUCCAUACCUUUUUGCUGACAUAAUAUAUAUCUAAGUGUAUAUAUAGUAAAAUCUAUGAAUCUAAAAAAGUUAAAGCAACAUAUAAUUUGGGACGGAGGGAGUAUUUGCGUAUACGUCUACACAUGCUAAGAAUCUCCAGGUAAUAUCUGCUAGGAAUCAGAAAAUCGGAGUGUAUGCGUCCUGCGUAAUGAAGUCACCAUGCACGUACGAUGCAGCGCCGAAAAUGUCUACAAAGGCACGUUCCGUUCUUGGAAGUUUACACCGAAUCCAUGUCAACAGGAUGGUUAGGUACAGUACUAAUAGUAAUUAAAACACGCGAGAAAAAUGAUAAAAAGAAACUCGCAAUAGCAUUGACAACUGGGGGAUCGAUCUCGCAGCCGCGGUGAUGGUUGCAUGUCUAUAAAUACUUGCUAUGUUCGAUCCUUUUGAAGGCACACACUACGCAGUCAAGAAACAAUCCACAGCCUAGCUAGCCGCAUAGCAAAAUGGCCUUCAAAUCCAUAGCGUUCCCCACGCUCCUGCUCCUCGCUACUGCGCUCAUGCUCGCGGCUUCCGCCCACGCCCAGGCACCGGCCUCGACACCGACUCCGGCACCGGCGCCAUCCCAAUCUCUGUGCCCUAAUGUCUUGAGCGACAUUCAGGCCUUCGAAACGGCAGCUAGGGCGCUCGUGGACAAGAUCGAGAUGAUUUUUAUUCCUAAUAUCAUGGUGAAGCUCGAUACCACCCUCGCGAGGAUAGGUCUCCUGCACCCAGGUGUGAAAUUUUGUGUGUGCACCAAUAAUCCUAGCUCCCUCAUUCCCGGCUCGGGGCCCAAACUCAGAUGCGUUGGGGCCGGUAUCACUGUCUAAGCAUGCAUGCUGGCGCGCGCAACUUCAAAUUAAAUGGGCGCGUUGCCUGGUUGUUUACGUAUACUACUACUUACAUCAAUAAGGUGCCUUAUAAGGUGACCGAUGCAGAUGAGUCUGCACAUGUUUGUGUUGUUGUGCGUCCGGAGUUGAGAUCUGUUUAACUUAAUUGGUCAUCAUGUGUUGUUGUGCUUCUUGUACGUUGUCUGCUCAAAUGCCAUAUGUACUGGAAGCAUGUUGUAUUACUUGAUCAAGGAUAUUUGUUCAUUCUGCUUAAUAUAAUAAUGAUCGGUUACAGUAUCACAACUUGUUGCAGUGGCCAUUGUCAGAACGCCCCAUAUCACGCACAGUCAAUCUUUUAACGCGAAUUGCACAUGCAUAUAAUCUAUCAAUACUUCUAAAGAAUCUAUCAAACGCGUUCCCGUCCUGGCGGUGGCGGAAGCAAAGUUGUGAUGUGAUGUGACUGAGGACACCACUGGUUAUUGAUCCUAUAUAAUGGCAUAAAUAACUCGCAAUUCUAAUAAUGUAAAGCAAUUAAUAAAUCUAAACAAAAAGGAAAUUCUAAGGAACAUAUCUAUUUACAAAAUAAAUUAAAAGAAAUAAGAUGUUUGUUUUUUUGGAUCUCCCCCUUCGAUCAACACAUAUAAUAUAAGCUCCUUUACAUUGUGCUGAUCGAGUUGGUGCUAGACUGCUACUGCUAGUCGUGAGCAUUCUUCAUCGAGUGGUUGUGCCAUCACUGCAUCACAAAUUCAUAAUCGGCGUAGUUCAACCCGAGAAGAACAAAAUGUGCCAUCAUUGGUGCACCAAUUAAAGCCAUACUUGGCCAGUGUUUUGAUUAUUCACUCUGAGAGUGCUCCAUAAUAAUUAAAGUUUUCUAAGCAAUCAGCUUGGUACCAAACUGUAGGUCGUUUUAACUUUUUUUUAGUUCAUACAUAUUAUUAUGCAUCUAGAUAUAGUGUAUGUCUAGGUGUAUAAUAAUAUCUAUGAAACUAGAAAAGUCAAAAUGACCUACAAUUUAGGAGUAUAACAAGCUCCAUUCACCUUUCUAGUUACUGUUCUCUGUAAACGUGAGCACCAAAAUCGGUUAUGUAAUCUCAAAACAUAUAGAAAAUUAGAAAUAUGCCUAAUAGAGAUUACAGUGGAUAGUUACAACUUACAAGCCUACAACUUUUCUUUUGAUGUCUCAUCUUAUUUUUUCCUUUAUGAACGUGUUUGCUUAAAAAAAAUACAUGAAGGUCUCUGCACCUUUCACCUUUUCAAAAAUGGAGAGCAACUUUCAAGCACGCCCGGAAGGAUAAUGCACGCCUAACUUCCUAACUAGCUAGCUACUAAAAGUCUAAAACCGGCAUGCACGUAUUGACGUAUAUGUAUGUCAAAGUACAGGGUAUUUGCCCUUAAAAAGCACGUUCUUCUUAUUCAGAUACUCUUGAAGGCACACGCGAUCGAAAACACAUCCACACCUGCCUAGCAAAUUAGCAAUGCUGCUGAUGCUUGAGGCUUCUGCUCAGGCCCAGUAGGCGUCGGAGAACCAUCGGCUCUGAUAGUCUCGAGGGGCCCUAGCAAAGGAGACUAAAAAUCUUUGCAGGAAGUGUCUUUUUGACUCAGUCACCGUGUAAGCAUGCAAGCAACGCACACGCAUAUGCGUGUUGCUUGGCUGCAUUUUUAUGUGACACGGCAUAUCAGCCGAUGAUGGUCAAGGAUGCUGGAGUUCGGCCGGAGAGCUAGGCUGUACUCACUCGCUAUAGUUGGCUGGGCUGUUUGGCUUCUGUCAUAUGUGUGGGCUCACUCCAGUUUGUAAUAGAUUUUAGUUAGUAAUUAGUCUAUAAUGUUUUCAUCCACAUUUAUAAUUCUUAACUUUUCACCUUCGUAAGUAUUUGUUUGAAUUUGUUCAAAAGUUAUGUAUCUAGAAAAUCCAAAAUGAAUAAUAAUUUGGGACGGAGGGAGUAUAAUUUUAACACAAAAAUCUAUAUUCUCACCACUUUCACUAUAUCUUUAUAAAUAGUAGCACACAUGAUGUUUAUAUACCUUAAUUGUUAUAUCAUAUACUAAUAGUGUAAGAAAUAGAUGGUUUAGAAUCAUAUAUUGGUGUAUAUUUUUAAUUAAGGUGAUUUGGAUUCAAAUGUAGUUACCUCAUGUUAUUUUUAAUAAUGGCAUAUGCGGGUAAUAUAGAUGCAAAUUUCAGAGGUUACUUUAGGUAAUUUUUUAAGUAUUAGUGGUGGAAAAUUUAGUUGCAAAUUUAGGGAUUAUUUUAAAUAUUAUUUAUAAUGGCAUAAGUGGGUAAUUUUGAUGAAGAUUAGGGAGUUACUUUAGUUUAUUUUAUAUAAUGUCAGAGGUGGGUAAUUUAGAUAUAAAUUUAAGGGUUAGUUUAGGUUAUUUUCAUAAUGGUAUAUGUGGGUAGUUUUUUUCAAAACAUAAUAGAUCCAAUGGUUGUGAUGAUUCGAGUUUAAGAUUGAGGGUCAGAUGUUUUGCUUUUUUGGAGAAUUUCUAGUAUUUCUCUCUUUUUCUAAAGUGUCCAUUUAGGAUCCUAGGUGGCUUCGCCAAGAGACUUCAAAAAGAACAAUAAUAGUAAGAUGGUCAAUCUACAUCCUUCCGAAAUAAACCCUUAUCUAUAUCCUUUUUCGAAAUAAUCCACGAGAACAUUCCUCUCAAUCGAUCGGCAUAAACAUAUACACACACCUGCAGAGUACCGUUAAGCAGAUCCUUAACGAUCCUCUCAGUUACCAUGCAAUCUUUAAGCUAUAAGUUGCUAUCGUUAGGUGGCUGCUCCCCAAUGAUUUCAAAUAAAUAUAUUCAGGCUAAAGUAUCACUAUCCGUUCUAAAAGAUAACAAAGCGAUUGAAGUGGGACAUGAUCUGAGAUAUACCAUCGCAUAAGGCUGAUUUGAGGUCCUAUCUCACAAGGCUGAUUGCAUCCAUGAGUAGCAGUAAAGUGUCCUACACCUAGCCAUAAGAUGUGGGUCUUAUCUGCACCAAAGGGAAAGUUUAAGCGGCGACUUUGUCUUUGCAAAAAGGAAACUGAACGUGUGUCUUUUAGGAUCUCCCUUCAGUCACAAUCAUCAGCCCAUCAUCUUUAACUGGUUGCCUGUGGCAUGGGCCAGAUCUACUCUGCUGCCUCAGCCAAAUUGUAAAAAAACAAAGAUCAUCAGCCCAUCAUUGAAACAGCCAGUGGAGUUGGUUCAGUUUCGAUUUAAUAGUCUGAAAAAAAACAAAGCGAUGACGCAUGACAAUAGAUUUUGACAUCGUAAAAAACAUGCACGAUCUGUGGACAGUUGGUUUUACGGCUGAUCUGAUAGUGAGACAAGUUGCGAAAUUCAGAGCCUGCUUCAAUGUGGGGUGGGAACCGAAUUCUUUAUAACUUAAUUGAAGCGGAAAUCCUGCACCCAUGUUGAUUUAGGAAGCGGAAAUCCUGCCUUGGUUCUAAGUUCUAACCUGCAUCACGAAAUUAAUCGAGGCGCUACUCUAAGUUGUUUAGAAAGGUUCAGGUUCAUCAGAAUCAUAUCCACAGCUUGUAUCUGCUCAGUCUGUGUUUUGGUGCGUUAGGCUAUGCUUUGGUGGGUAAGAAUGAAGAGGCUAAAUUGAACUGCAACUGAUGGUAAGAAGAGCCUAAAUUGAACUGAAACUGAUGGUGGAGUAUGCUAUCUUCGCCGAUUUGGUCAAAGAUUGGAAUACGUAACGGGUCCCAUACAUGAUAACAUAGAUAACCUCGCACAAAUUGUAUACUAGUUUAACACAAAGAUUGUUUGUGUUUGGAUUGAAAAGGAUGCAGUGGUGGAGUUCUCAUCGGCCUGAUUGUAUACUCUGCUCUUCUGAUUGUCAGGUUUCAGUAUCCCCCUGAAGACCUCAACAUAGCUUGACAGUAGGGAAUUGUAUAUCUGCAUUAUUCUGCAAAUUAAAGCUGGUACAAGAUCGUCGUUGCUUGUUUGCAUGAUGGAGAUAUAAUAAUGGCAAUUAUGAUAGUAGAGAUGCGCUAGUUAGGUUCGGUUGCUGUGACAUAAGAACAGACCAGGCAUCUAAAUGCUGAUGAAACACGUCGAUUGCGAUGCUUUCUAUGACGUUAGUGACUGGUCACUAAACCACCUGUCCCCUCACCUACCAUGGAAUUAUGAUCCCAAAGACCCGUGUCAACAAGCAGAUCGAUGAGCGAGCAUCUCAACGAGUCGAGACAGGGAAAAGAACAAGGAAAGCGAACAGAGAGAUCUAUCGACGAGCGAAAGAGCACAGAUGAGUUCCUAGUUUUAUGCUAAUGCAUUGCAGAUGAAAUGCCGUACGAACGAGUGUACAGUACUUGCAGGUCUCUUCAUCAGGAAUGUCACGGCCACACAGAUUCUUGUAUGGCGGCAACUUGUGAAUUAUACAUGAGACAAAAGGGAAGACAGGAGUACGUGUACUAUUGCGGUCAUAUAUGAUACAUGUCACAUGUGGGUAUAGGAGAACAUGGGUACCAUAUCCUGACAGAUACACAGGCGCAUACGCUCAUCAAUAACUAGAAGAAAGUUAAGCAGCCGAGGCUACCAGACGAAAAAGAGCCCCAAAUAAAGUUAAGCUAGAUUUAGCUUUGAAGGAAUCAAUCUACCCUCCACCCAUGCAUGGCAAUCACGUGACACCAGCUUAAAGCUGAGACGUGCUCACGUGCACGCCCAUCUGCACCAAAUAAUCCUUGGCUUUAGCUUCCAGACUAGAGCACCAUGCGUGAUGUACCUAGUAGAGCUGCAUCAUUGUAAUGUAGAAUACCACCACUGUGUUGACGACCUACACACAUGGUGAAAUCUAAAAAAAAAAGGGUGCAGAGCUGCUACUAGCCAGCACUACUGCAUUUUUUCGUGAUUUCACUCACACAUGAACACGUGUAUAUAUAGAGUAUCCCAUGACAGUUUGGGAAACCAAAUACCGGUACAAGCGUGGUACGUGCACGUAUAAUUAAGUUGCGUGCGUCGGGUCCGAUCGGCGAUUGGUGAGACGUGCACAUGCAUGCACAGGGAGCAGCUAGCAGCUAGGGCCAUAGGCUCCGCCACCUUGCGAUUUGGACGCAGGCCAGUGGUCACGUCCCUCCCUCCCCGGCCGCGGCCGGGCCAAAGAAAGUUUUUACGUGCGACAGAGAAAGGAAAGGCCGGGACGCUCAGAUCCGAUCAGAGCGCACCCAUGGGUCCAAUGCCCCUCGCAUCCACCAACCCCUGCGCCUCCGAUCCCCGCUGCUCCAUGCUAUGGAUCCUACGGCUGUCGUUGUGCGUUAACCACAUCUGCCUCCCACCCUACCCACUUUAACUACUCUGCCACUUCAAGCCGUGAGCUGCCACACGGACCACAAGAAAAUGCACCUCGAUCAGUCGUGUCGUCGUCGUACGAGUUGAGGAUGCUAGCUUCACGGUUUCUUGAUCUCGGAGCUAGCGUACUCCUAAGUUAUCAGAGAGGCAUCAAUAGUGUAGCCUUUUUAUAGCUCUGUAACCCAAACGAAAAAUCACAAGAUGGCAAUAUGUGGUAUCAAGUAGCAUGAUUGCGAUGAAAGAAAGUUAGAUAUCAUGAUCAUUCAGAUCCCAACUAGAGACAGAGAUGUAAUGUUAGGGUCACAUCCCAAAGAUCCAGAAAAUGAUUCAUAGACAAUCAUUAAAAAUGGAUGAAGAAACAUGAUUUUUACCAUUAGGCAUCAUAUGCACCAACUAGUUAAGCUACGCGCCCAGUAGGAGAGGAUUGUGUUAGUUGGGUUUGUCAUUGCCUCUUGUUGGCUCAGGUAAAUCUAGUGCAACACCCAUUUCAGUGAAAAGCUUAAAUAAUUAUUGAAGAAAAAUGUGGGUACCAAGCUUAAAUCAUUAUUGAGGAGAAAUGUGGGUACCAUCUCUGUUCGUUUUUAUUUGAUCGCUGACGUCCAGCGGUAUCAGAGUGUGAUAUUGAUCACUUUUUUUUUAUAGGUUCCAGGUCAACAUGUUGAUAGAAGUAUACAUAUAUAAAAGCAUUUGUAAAGACAAAUCUACUAAACACAAAUAUUACUAUUUUAAGUCCCUAUUUUUUGGGUAGCGCAGAAAACCAUUCCACACCCUUGUUUAGAAAGUAUUUAAAUACAAUUCUUAUAUACUAAAUUUUGAUAAUACUAAACAUAUUAAAAACAUAAGACAUAUUAAAUAAAUCAUAAAGCACAAGUAAAAGAAGAACCAACUGGGUGUGGUAAAAAGCUUCCAUGCUAGGAAGUUUGCAAAGCAAUUUCCAUGGCUGAGGCAGGCCUACAGUUGGAUAAGGGAAGGAAUGUGUAUGCCACAGUAUAAAAUAAAGCGUUGAAUAAAAUAUUUUUCUCCUUGCCCAAGGUCACUAGAGAGGGACAGGUGCAUUUAUAGUUGGCAAAAGAAAUGUUGUCGGGCACUCCCAUGGUUGAAGGCAGUCGGGUUGGUUCGAGUUUGAGCUGACGGCGGACGUGCUCGCCUCUCCUCCGGCUCUCCCUCCGCAUUCCAUUCCACCGCAUUACCGGUAUUUUUAGCCGCGGCCAGGAGAGGGAGGUAGCGUGGAGAGGGGGGAAACCGGAGCUCCUGGCCGUUCCUCUCCCCUCACGGGCGGCCUCCGUCUGUUCCAUCCAGCCACCGCCCCGCCCCGGUCGCCCCCCGUCCAGAUCCCUCUCCUGCAAAACUUCUUUGCGGUAUGCUCGGUUUCCUGUAGUUUCGCUUCGAAAUGUGUCGGUGCGGUGAUGGUGUUUUGAUUCAUGUUCUCUUUGGUGGAUCUGGUCGUGCGCAGGAAGGCCGGAGAAGAUGAUGGGCGGGUUCCUCUCCAGGGUCCUUCUGUAAGCGCUCUCUUGCUCCGAAUCUUAAAUGUGUUCUUUGCAGAUUGCAUUUUGAGUUUGGAGAUUCCUCAGGGGCAUGCAUGUUGGGGGUUAAAUUUGAUUUGAAAUGAAAUGAGUUCGGUAUUUCUCUUGGUUUGUUUCACCUGUAGUAUAUUGUUUUGUUUUAAAAAAAUGGGAGAUGCGCUCCUUCCUGUCGAUUUGUCCACCUUCUUCUUCGCCGGGAAAUGGGGCUGAGAGCACGCAAGCCAUUCAAAAAUAUUUUAUCGUUCUCGAGGAGCAUAGGAGCAAGUUUUCAAUGCAUUGCACAACGGUCAAAGGUUCUGUUCGUUUUUAUUCUUCCGGUCCGGCUUAUUCUUUUUCCUAUGUUUUCCAAUCCUAUGUUUUGAGAGUGCAUUCCUAUAAAAUUCCUACGUUUUUCCUAUUCCUAUAUUUUUGCAAUCCUGUGUUCCAAAGGGGCCCUUAAGGUUGUUGUCUAGUAACCACAUUUCUUGAAAUGCUUGAGAUCGCAUAAUACUACUGUAUGAGCUUAGAUAUGUCCAAUACUGUGCUCUUUGACCUGCUUCAUAAAAAAAAAUACCUUGGAUUUUAUCCCGUUCAUUUGUAUGUUGGUGAAUUAUCUACCUUUGUGGUGUAAGUGCAUCGAAAAAUUCUAUUCUCUUGAACGAUGUUGAGAUACCAAAACCGUGCAUCUUUAAACUGGCAAUUGCUCCUUUUAUGGUUUAUUGUGGAAUAAAUGGGAAAAGGUGGAAUAAAUAUUUUUUUACUGAAAUAUUAAAAAAUUUGGUGAAAAACAACAGCCAUUUUUUUCUAUGGUGAUCGGAAUAAAUAUAGCACUAACAUUUCAUUUAUCUUCUGGUGUUUGAUAUGCCAAUGUCCUGUAGGUUGGCCUUUGGCUACGCCUAUCCUGCCUAUGAAUGCUACAAGACUGUUGAACUGAACAAACCAGAGAUUGAGCAGCUCAUAUUUUGGUGUCAGUAUUGGUAAGGUGGUUCAAUAAUUUUUGUGUUCACAACAUUGGCUUCCAUAAGCAAUCUGCAAAAUUCAGUUUUGUUUCCUCUGUGUAGGAUUUUAGUUGCACUGUUGACUGUUCUUGAGAGAUUCGGAGAUUUUACAAUAUCAUGGUGAGACUGCUUAAGGUUGUGAUUUCCUUCAGUUCUUUGAUGAGUCUCUAACAUUGUUUGCACUCAUGUUGAAGGCUACCAUUUUACUCAGAAGCAAAGCUGAUGUUCUUUGUAUACUUGUGGUACCCAAAGACAAAGGUACUUAGUUUGUCCCAUGCAUCUUCUACCUUACAUGUUUUUGGUACAUAGGAUUGAUAUGCUCUUUCAUUGCAGGGAACUACAUACAUUUAUGGUACUUUCUUUAGGCCAUAUAUUUCUCAGCAUGAGAAUGAAAUCGAUCGCAAUCUGCUUGAGUUGAGAGCUCGAGCCACCGAUACGGUUGUCCUUUAUUUCCAGAAGGCUGCUUCUAAAGGACAGAAUACUUUCUUUGAUGUUUUGAAAUAUGUUGCCGCCCAGUCACCUUCUCAGAAAUCAAGGCAGCCCCCUCACCAGGUGUGGAUCAAAUGCACUAUUAUGCUUUUUCUGUCAAAUUUGGCCAUUGAAUCAAUAUAUAUUUCCCAGACUUAAGGAUGAUAAACACCGUCAUAUUUACACAGAUACUAAAGAUUUGUUUUCCUGUUCUCUGAAGCAAAUUUGACAGUGUUGUUAUACUAGUUUCUUAGCUAUAUUGUGUCAAGAUGCAUUCACUACUACUGCCACACGUUAUAGUUUAAGUAUCAUAUGCAGAGGUGUUUUCAGUUUCUUUAGUUGCUAGAGAAAUAAUCAAUAUUAAAUAGCUUUUUACUAGGUCCUGAAAAAUCUGCUUCAAAAGCUGACCUUGCUGUAAUUGAAAAAACUAAAGCAAGAUGUAUGCUCCGCAUCUUCAACCUGACUUUGAUGUCAUGAAAGAUGGAACACCCAGGGGUGGAGCCAGGUAGUUUCGUCAGGGUCAGCUGACCCCGAUAGAAUUUUCAGUUUCAGUGAGAAAUCAGUGAUUUGAACUAGCCUACGAUGAAGAAAAACCCAGCCUACAGUGGUGUUGACCCCAACACCGUUCUCUGCUGGCUUCGGCCCCGAACACCUUAACAAAUUUUCUGAGUUCUGGCUCCUGGACAUCCCUUCCAAGAAUAUUUGAACCAUAUACAUUUUCUGGAUAGUGGAUAUGCUUAUCAAUUAUCAUGCAGCUCAACCAAAAAAAAUGCGUGUAUAAUCUUUCUUUUCGAAGAACAUUCAAAAAAGGCCAAAGGAGUUCCUGCUGCUGACUAUAGGAGAAAAGAAGUGGCCCACUUUAGGGAAAUUGGGCCCGAAAACCACAGUCACACGGUUGAUUCAAGGCAACCAGUGAAAACCCACAGUGGCAUAAGGUCUGGAAAGUAACACAAAUGGAGUCCUCCGUAGGACAUCAUUGCAAUAGCAACACAUCAGCUCCAACCUCCUACAACGGACCUCAGCCCUGCUCAAAGUUGCAAGCAUGUUAUCUUUGAAAAGCCACUUUUGUCUUGUUUAGUAACCUAGUCUGCAAUCUGGAUCGUAGGUUUCUUUCACCAUCUUGGAAACAGGGACAUUUCUAUGAAUUAUCAUGCCUUGUCCCUUUUGUUUUGUCAAUUUGCUUGAUAAAAAUAGCAGUUACUUAUGUGUAUCACCAUAAAAAAGUGUUGAUAUGUGUAUCACCAUAAAUAGCACUAAACUUUUCUCUAACAAUUGAUAUGAAUUUUAGUCUAUGUCCGUUGAUAAUACAAUGCUAGCUUCCCAAGUGUUUUGUCACCCCUCCUCGCAAAAAAAAGUGUUUUGUCACCCCUCCUCGCAAAAAAAAGUGUUUUUUCACCCCUCCUCGCAAAAAAAGUGUUUUGUCACCCCAAGUGCAUUUGUAGAUUAGGAACAUUUUUUGUUUUUAUUUUAGAAAUUUGUAAGACACUUGUCUUUUUGGACCAGUAGCAGUGAGUUUGAAGUAGUGUGACUUGUAUUUAGAAGAUUGCAAAAACAUACGAGAGUAUUAUGAGAUUGUUUGUUUGUCUUACAAUGCUCAUUGCCCAAGUGAGCAAGAGCAUAUAGCAUUUGACAUAUGAAUGUGUACUGAAAAACUUUUCUAUGCACAAUAACCUGUGACAGUGCAUGAGUAUUUUCUCAAGCCAUAGCAUGAACCUGUUAAGUCUCCUUUUGAGACCCUGCCAGUAACUUUCAAGCUUUUUUGUUAUCUGUUUCAUGAAGUUUUAUGUAAUUAUGGUAUCAGAAGCUGACCAUUAUUCCUAAACAAAUAUAAAUCGGUAGCAGGUAACUGGUAAAUAAGUAAGUAUGGACUUAUUGACCUCCUCUUUAAUUUUUAGGAAAAAGUCCAUUUUACUCUCUUCACCUAUCCACCUUGUCUGCUUAACCCCCUUAACAAAAUUUAGGCUCACUUUACUCCCCUGAACUAUUUCAUUUGGUCCAAUCAACCCCCUAAUUACAUUUCUCUUUUUUUUUCUCUGUGUACGAGUUGAAUUUUGAGUUCAAAUUUUGUGAGCAGAUACAAAACACGAUGCCUUAUGUUAAAAAAUUAUACUAAGAAUUUUUCAUGGUUAUUUUUAUAGGUUAGGAAUAUUUAAUACAAAAUUGAUCUUAAAUAUACAAAAAUGUCAAAAAGUAAUCAUGAAAAAAUGAUAAUGUAUUUUUCUAACGUAGAGAAUCAUGGUAUAAGUCAACUGGUAAAAUUUGAACUCAAAACUCAACUUGCACGCAAAGAAACAAAAAAGAGAAAUUUAAUUAGGGGUAGAUUGGACCAAAUGAAAUAGUUCGAGAGAGUAAAGUGAGCCUAAAUUUUGCUUAGGGGGUUAAGUGGACAAAGUAAAUAGGUGAGGGGAGUAAAAUGGACUUUAUACUACUCUAAUUUUUGAUCCCCUGGAUAGUGAAUACAAAUAUAUGUCCAUAUGCUUAGGACAAAUUCAGAAAUUUGCUCCGUGUAGGCAUUCCAUUUGCAUUCUGCACAAAGAGGUGCACAAUAAACAAGGUUGCAUACUUGCAUGGUGUGUGGUUGUUAGUAGCAGUAGUUUUGGUGUAUCCUCGAAUUUUCAGUCUAAGAAAGUGAUGGAAAUGUGUGCUCAGCUCUAUCUGAUCCUUAUGUUAUUAUCAUGGUACCCAUGUUGAAAUGAUGCUCUAAUUUCCUUCAGGAACCACAACAGCCACAACAGCAUCAACCACAAGUGCAGCAGCAGCAACCACAAAAACAAGCAGCACCUGUUAUGCGCAGAGCAGCAUCAAUCGCUGCUCGGCAAGCAGCAAUGGCACAGCAAUCUCAGGAGACCAAACCCGUUCCAUCUUCCCCGAAGAUCAAGCGUCAAGCAUCAGCGAAAUCUAGUUCAGUGGCAUCGACAAAGCCCGUCACAUCUGCAUCCACACCAAAAUCUGGUGGUAGCCCAAAGAAAAGUGAGUCGAAACCUGCCAUUGAGCCUGUGCGAACUCCAGCCACAAGCGCUGAUUCACCAAAAUCCGAGCCUAGUGCCAAACUACUCCCUGAAGCCGAAGAGGUGGACAAGAUGGCCAUCGAUGAGGCCGGUGGUGACGCUGCUGAGGGCACAGAUGAGCUCGACCCUUCGCUCGAUGAGUCGCCAAUGGAGGAGACGAUCCGUGUUACGCGUGCCAAGCUAAGGAGGCGCACCACCCCUGAGGACCCUGCUGGGAAUUAGCUGCAAGCCAUUGUUCUCCUUGCACAUUGUGUUGGUCCUUCACGAGGUUUAGGUUGUCCUGUUUGGUGGAGUGACAAUGUGUUGUAGUUCACCUGGUUAUUCUGUUCCAGAGUUGAUUAUCAUCUUUUCUGUGCUGUUUUGGUGGUUUUUCAUGUGCGCUUUAAGCUGUAAAUAGCGCUGUCUCCCGGCAUGUGUACAUAGAUUGGUGGCGUGGGCAAGGAAUGCCUGUAUUUCAAACAAGUUUUCAUCUGCUGGCCAUUCCCUAUGUGUCUUCAGAUGUCUCGUUUAGCGCAGUUUUCAUCUGCUGGGGCAAACAAGAGCAGUUGUGUCUCUUCUCUGACAGAAGUUCCAUCUACCAGUACUUGUUUGAAUCCCUGAUACCUUCUCCGGUCAGUUUUGCGGAGAAACUUCUUUUUACCAUAACUGGAAGGCACCAUCGAAUUUUAACAUUUGUGGACUGUAAAAACACUUCGCAGAAGCACAUUGGCCGAUCACAAACAUCCAUGUCCUUGUAGUUGAUUUUUCGCAGAGGUACAUGGUAGACGGCGCUAUUCAGGAUAUUCCCUCUGUUUCUUUGUGCAUGUCCUAUCCUGUUAAACAACGUAGUUGAUUUGUGCAGAUGGAGAGCACGCAAGUGGCUGAACUGAAACCCAGCGUAGUGCCACACUAUUUCUUUGGGUUCCCUAUGUCUUUCGUGUCUUUUGAGUCGGUGUGGUGGCCCAGUGCUCCUUGGCACCACACACGGAAGGACAAAAAGUGCGUGACACCAACUACACUCGGAUGCUUCUGGAGCAAGCGAAGCAUAUGAGGCAGAGACCAACGGGCUCACCUCAAUUAGGUCAAGCACUUCGUAUUUUUCUGAACCUGAUGGCCGGCAUCAGGAUCCUCCACGUGUACAGGUUUACCUGUGGGAAAUAUUGGUCAGGAAUAGAAUAACUUGGGACCUGAUGAUCGGUGGGUGGCUUGCUGAUGGGGUGGUUUGCACUGCACUUGCACCAUAGUCAUUCGUACCAUCAGCAGCAGCGUCAAAAAAGAAGAAGAAGAAGAAGCAUCCACAGUCAGAUACCAAACUACCAAUACCUCAACACCCAACCGUGUUCAUACAAAUUUUCUCAGCUGCUGCCGCUGAGUAAAGUUGGAGUUAGACGUGCAUUUCAACUCUCCUGUUUAUUUUGCGAAGAAAAGGUAGGUACGGAUCGAGUUAAGAUGCACUGCAGAAGAGAAAACAUGUUCCUUUUAUUCCUUGUUUGGCCUGGCCUGUCCCUCGUCAAGCCCUUUUGUUAUCGUAGCAAUCCAAGAAAGCUUCAAUCGCCGGCCGCAGCUGUGCCAGGACGACACGGCCGGGCCAUCCUUCCGCCGUCGCUUUCCCGACCGGCAACCCGCCCAGCUGCCAAUCAUCGCGAGCGCGACGCGCGCCGACCAUGACAUAUGCCUUCACCCGCCGGAGACGCAAACCGAUCGAUCGAAACACCCCCAAACGCUACGCCGCUUUCACGUACAGAGCCCAGUUGCGUGACGGGCACAGCGGGGUCCCGCGGCGGACACCCCCGCUCCGCUCAUCCACAUCGUUCGAUUCGUCGCCGUCGCCACGAUCGCCGCGCGAUCCCCGUCGUCGUGCGAGAUCGCGUCGCGUGCGGUCGUGCGGGGCGGGCGGGCUCGGGUGGGCGCCGCAGCCGGAACAUGCGGGCGACCAAGUGGGCGCCGUCCCACACGUGUCUCCCGCCGCGGGCGUUAUCCGGCCGCCGACACCCCCCCGGCCCAGCCAACCCUUUCCCCCCCGGCCGGCUGGCUCGUCGUCUCCUUCCCCAUCCUGCUUUUUAUUCUCCACGCGCCGCGGACAAAUCAAACGCCGAGACGCAAGCAAAGCCACCGGCCAGGCGGCCAUGCUGCUACAGGCUACAGCCAGCUAGCUAGUGGGAAAGGGGAGAAAGGCGAGCAAGAGGCGUCACGAGAGGCACGUCCACCGCCCGAGCUCACCUCACCGGUGCAACUUUUCCAUACGCGACGCGGCCUGGCCGGCCUGCGUCCUAGUGCUGUGUGCUAGUCUUGUAUAUAAAAGGCGGGGAGGGUCGGGAGCGCUAUGGAGAGGAGCAGCAGCUGGUUCAGGUGGUGGAGAAGGAGGAAGGCGCGGGAGGGGCAGGCGGCCGGCGCCGGGGAGGAGGAGGGCCACGACGACCACCACAAGGUGGUGGUGGACGGGUCGGAGAUCCGGGAGCUGGUGGAGGACCGGGAGGCGUUCGGGAUGCUCGUGGACAGCAAGUUCCGGCAGCUCGACGCCGACGGGGACGGCAGGCUCUCCGUGCGGGAGCUGCGGCCAGCCGUGGCAGACAUCGGCGCCGCGCUCGGCCUGCCCGCGGAGGGGGCCUCGCCCAACACCAACCACAUCUGCUCAGAGGUACGUACGCGUUCGCCGUGAAUCGUGCUCGCAGCGUGCUGGUUUUGCUGAUCAUGUGUGGUUAUUACUUCAUGAGACAAAGCUUAAAAGCUAGUAGUAACCAUGGUAGUAGGCUAGUAGCUGACAACGUGAGACGAUCAUUAUUGUCGGUUUCAAGUAUCAUGUGGUUAUGCCCCUGUUUCCUGGUUUCUUUGGAGGUUUUACAUGUUAUUUAGUUUGAUAUCAACGAAUCACAAGCCUCAAAGGCAUGCGUGUGUAUUUAAUCUGUACAGUUUGAAACCUUAACUGAACCAGAAUUGAGUACUUGCCACCGAUCUAUAUAUACUUCUCUCCUUUUGGGACGUAUUAAGAUUUGAAAAGGUCAAACUUUAUAAGUACUAACAAUUAUGUUAGAUGCAGGCUUAGAGUCUAAAAGUUGUGUAUCAGAUUCAUAUGUCAUAUAUCUUUAAUAUUUUUGAGCAAUUGAUAACAUGUUCAAAGAUAUAUUAACGACCAAAAGUUUAUUUUCGAAAACUUAUUUAGAUCCUAAUACUUGAAUCAUACAGUACUUUUACACCGGAUUCGAAAAAAAGCAUAUACAUUUAUCACAUGGCAGCGACUUUAGCAUAGGACAUAGGACAACAAAAUAUAAGGACACGAAAAGUAUUGCCCGUGCGUUUUAUCAGAUGAUGACCGCAUACUACUAGUAGCUGAGAUCCAUUUAGCUAUCUAAUCUGCUCCACUACUAGCCUAUCAACGCGUGACACGCCGCGCGCAUGCUUCACGCCUGGCUAAACUGAAUUAUCAACCAUGGGAAUGUUAAUCAUGAGUUCCUAAUUAAUCAGCAGCAAAAGGCAGAUUAUAAAACGCAGUGCAGGAUGCAGGUUUGCCCGCGGGACCAUGUCAAGAUGCCAUAGCCCCGAGGGCAUAUCCCAUUGGAGCAGAACCUGAAACAUCACAAUCCACACUUCAACGUCUUAUCCUGAGCCAUUGACAUUUGAGGCACUGUCGAUGCAUCUUUCCAGUGAAAUUCAAAGCUUAUCGCUCGCAAUCGGUAUAGAAAAUGUCGAUCGAGGGAUAAGCAGACGGUUCGUUCUCUGUCUCAACACGGCCGAUGCUGCAUCCCUGAUGGCUACGAAUACGAUGCCUCUGGAAUCAUCCUCUGGCAGCAAACACCUGCUGCCGACCACUGGCUACGAAGAAAUUCAAGAUUAUUUGCAGGCUCGCUUGUUUUCUGGAUCUGCACCCAUCAGGACCGGUGCCUGGUGCGAGUUUGUCUCUCUCACGCUGCAGACUGCACAAAACCCUGACUGCUGGCUGGCGUGCAUGCAGGUGGUGAGCGAGCUGACUCAUGGGACGUCCCAGGGCGAGGUGAGCAAGGCCGAGUUCCAGGAGGCCCUGUCCGACAUCCUCCUCGGCAUGGCGGCCGGGCUCAAGAGGGACCCCAUCGUCAUACUGCGCAUGGACGGCGAGGACCUCAGGGACUUCGCCGCCGGCAGCCGAUACGAGCCCUCAGCCGCCGCCAUUUUCCCACAGGUGGGCUCCGAAGGCGUGCCCCUGCGCCAGUGCCUGCUGGCCGCUCUCCAGGAGCUGAGCGUCGACCACGGAGUGCCACCGGCUUCGGACGCCUGGGUUGUCGAGAACAUCGUGGAGCCGGCGCUGCAGCAGCUUCCUGCCGAUCGGCUCGAGCAGCCGGCGGCUUCCCGAGACGGCUUCUUGCAGCAGCUCAAGAUGCUGCUGGGUGCCGUCGCCGAACGGCUCCAGGAGCAGCCCGUGAUCGUCGCGCACACCGAGAACACCUACGACGGGAGUGGCGUCAAGAGGCUGCUGGCCAACAAAUUCGAGCUGGACAAGGUACAUCAAACUUCCUCUCUCUUUUUAAAACUUGGUUGUUUUUCAGGCAGUUUGUUAGUUGUGCAAUCGCCAAUGCGGCAAUGCCGUUUUAUGUGAAAUAACCUUUGUUCUGUGCACCAGCUGUUGGAUUCUGUUUGGAGAGGCGUACCAUCAGAACAUAAGAACAAGGCAUCAAAGGAGUGCCUCGUAGCUGCACUUGAUAAGAUGGCCGAUGCUGCAAGCCUGCCACAUUAUGGUGCAGUUAAACAGGUAACAUCUCCACAUCGCCUUUACAUUCAGUCCUGCAGCAGAUCUCAACUUUGGUACCAAUGCUGAGGUGUUUUCAGUCUGAACUUAGACUUGAUGCUUUCAACUAUCCCUCAGGUGGAUGCUGUGGUGGACGAGGCCAUCAAGACGGCAAACGCCGGCGACGGAAAGACGGUAGACGAAGCCCAGUUCAAGAAAUUUCUCACAGAUACCCUCGGGGCAAUCAUGCGGCAACUGAACAGCAACCCCGUCUUCGUCUCCACCAACACCGUCGUGCACGAGCCAUUGUCCUCCGGUGCAUCCUCCGCCCUGUUCUCCUCGCCGCAGCUGGUGACGUCAUCGCCAAGUAAAUAAAGUUACAUACAUGGCAGUUACAUGGAGGGAACAGAAUUUCAGUAUUCGAGCGGGGCCUGUGGUGUUGCUUUUUGUCUGAUCACAGGCACCGCGGCAGCAUGUUAUGCUGCCUCGGUUGCAACCUGAUGAAGUGCAAAGAUGCAGGUCGUCAGGUUUGUUAACCCGAUUGAUGUAUACGUUUGGAAUAAGGUGUUCAAGCCAGACACAUUGGUCAAUGGGAAAUGCAACUAUUUUGCAGUUCAUAUCCUCUGGGGAUGCAGAGUUCGAAGGAACAUGUUUGGUUUCUAUGUGCGUAAGCAUUCAAAUGUUAGAUACUCAUGACAAAUGGUACCAAAGUAACAGGUUGCAACAUGCCCCUUUUGUUCUGGAUCUGAGAAGACAUGGAGUUCAACAACAAUUGGUAACUCUAGAGACUGGAUCGACAUACUUCACACCGGAUGCCUGAUAGCAUUACUAGGUGGAAGCAACAAUUCUCUCAUCAUUUCCCAAGGUUAUCCUGAUCUAGCAUAUUGUCUGAAAAACACUUCUCAUUGCUAAAAAUGAGAUUCUAAGACUAGGCCUUUUGCCUUUUGGUUUUUGCCUUAGGAGCCACGAAAUCGUCGUCGUCAUCAUCUGACUCGCUACUUGCCUUCCUCUUCUUUUGAGAUGUCGGUUUUCCAGCACUUUUCUUAGCUGAAACGGACUUCAUAGCAGAUGAAGCCGGUGUCUUGGUUGGAGAAGUAGGCUUUCUCUUGGAAACAGUUGUUUUAACUGGUGACUUCAACUUUUGGCCCUGUUUCUUCUCAAAAACUUUUCUAGCCACAUCCAAUGGGAGCAAACCCCAUUCCAUCAACCUAUGCAAGAGUCAUUAAAGAUAUUAGGUUGCUUUAACAAGAAUGUUGAUGCAUGCUUGAAUUCUUGACACUGAAUGACUGAAUGAUAAAUAAAUUAACACAAGCUGCAGAACCAACAAGAUUCACACAAGCAUGUUUAUUCAGGUUCAGAAGCUGUCACUUCGCCAGUUAUCAGUGCACUUGGCAAAUUAGUAUGGGUCGAACAUUAUUCCGAGGGAAUGAUCUAUUCAGGAACAGAAACUAACUGAAACCAAGUUAAAGCAACUACAAAAAGACUUAUUUUUUUUUCUGUGGCCAGAGGAUUAUUUUCAUGACUAACAGUAACUCAUGCUAGACAACUCUAAAUAGGAAACUACAGUUGUCGAGUUUUGAAAAUUCAGACCAAGAAAGAUCUCCAGCCUAUAGCAAGCAACCAUUUAUCUGUGCAAGAAAUUAAUGCUUGAGAUUUGAUAUUUAACACUGCAUGAAUUUUCUUUAAGGAAUUCACAUCAGGAUGGUAUGGCUUCAAAUGAAAGGUGUAAUUUCGACCAAUCUUAGUUUGCCUUUCCACAUUUUGCAUAUCUUAAAAACCAAACAGAACAUAAUGCUACAUGUUAUUUUAAGCACAACAAGAUAUUUAUUAAGAACCACAAAACAAAUCCAGUAUGUACAGAAGGCAUGGCUCAUAUAUUAGACAACAAAGGAUCAUCCAUUUUGAGGUAAUGGCAUUCAGAUUGGUCUUUGCAUCAAAGAACUUCAGAUAUUGUAAAGUUUAGAGCUCCACAACUACUGCAGCCAACUAUCAGGUAUAAAUAUGUGCAGCCCACCUACAUGAUAGAAUUAACACAGAAGUAUAUAUCGAGUUAAAAUUGCCAUGAAAAAAGAGUAAACUUAUAGUUAAAGACUACGAGUGUGGUCGGCAUAACGCUACAUAUCACCACUGAUUUUCUUGCCAAAGUGUGGCAUAACCGCUUGACAAAUUUCUUUGUGAAGAAUUAUUCUCCAAAAAUCAUGAAAGAUUUGGCAAGAAUUUAUUUAACACAGAUUUUUUAUACCAUUGGUUCUCGGGCAUCAGAUUGGUCUGUAUUGAUCCCAGAAAAGAUAUGGGCUACUAUAGCUACAUCUAGUUUGCUUGUAACACAAAUCUUUCAAGCUAAUGUAUAUGUUGUAUCUCACCAGGUUGCAGCCAUGUCACUAGUAGGCACCUGCUCAUAGAGCGAUUCAUAGAAAAUCCUCAAUGGAUCCCUCUGCAGCAAAAUAAAAUUAGUAGUUUUACAAAUGAAUACCAGAUUGAAGAAAAUAGAAAGGUCAUACUUCCGUAGGAGGAUCAUGCUUCUGCCCUGGCAAGUCAUACACUUUCCUCUCUCUCUUCGCUUUCUCACCCUUUACAACGAUCAUCCUUGCCCCUUCUUUGACACCCGCUCUUUUCUUUCUUUUCUUGUCCUCCUUCAAGUCAACAAACUAAUAAGCAGAUGAACAACAACACAGUAUAAACCAAGGAGAUAGCAUACCUUGAGAUCUUCCAAAUCUUCAUCUUUUAGUUUCUUGACCUUGGAUGCCUUGGCAUUACUGUUUUUCUUCUGCGAAGUUGGCUGAAAGGUGCACAAUUGUUAAUCCCAAAAUGAGAACCAAGGAAAAUAUAGAAGUGAAUAAAAAUGAUGUUAAUAUUGCAACCAUGAAAUCAUCAUCGUCAGACUCGACUUCUUGUUUCUUAACUUUAGAGGCCUUUGUGCUGCUAUUCAUGGUGCCUUUCUGCUUCUCGUUUCCCUACAGAAUACAACGAUAUUAGCUUUCUAGAAGACAUAAGAAAGAUUAAGACAGUUCAGUUAACUAGGGUCAUUUUAUGUCACUGGAAAAACAAAACAGACUGAAAACAAAAAUAACAGUGCACAAAACACAAUUGCGGUUCGCAAUCGAUUAAUUAACAAGCCUUAAUUUGAACUAAACCCCCAAAAUUCCAAUGAAAUGCCCUGCAAUCCAGAUAAGCUCCAGGUUAUCCCGACUGACAACAUCGCGUGGGCGCAUUUCACAAAUUCUCAAUAUUCACAAACGAAGUUGAUAAAAAGAGCUGACUGAAGACAACAACAAACGAAUUAUCCACAAAAAACAAUCAAGUAAAUGUCUCAAAAUCUAGAUUUGCUCACACCGCCCGCACCGCAAGCAGGCUGAAGAAUAAGAUCUGGAUGAACGGAAGGCAAACAAACCUUCUUAGCUCGGGAAUGCGAGAUCGGAAGGUUGUCUUCCUCGUCGUCGUCCUCCUCCUCCUUCUGGACUUUGGAGGCGCUCGCAUUGCCCGCCUUUUUGGCCCUAGACAGUGCGAUUGGAACAUUGUCCAACUCGUCAUCGUCUUCCUCGUCCUCCUCCUCCUUCCGGGGCCUCUUUACCGCCGCAGUACCGGCCACGGUGGCGUCCUCUCCGGCCAUCGCUAGGUCACCGCGGCGCAGCGAGUGUUUGCGGCUGAGGGUUUGCCACCACCGGCCGUGGAGGAGGCCGGGACUGGCGUGGCAGCGGCGUGGCCGGCCGUUGACGAGGCGUGGUGGCGCGUGGGCGAGGCGGAGGUGUGACUGCGGCGGUGACGGCGGCGCGCGAGGCAGAGGCGUGGCGGCGGGGGGAGGGAGGCGAGGCGUGAGCCCUCGAGGGGAUAGCCGGCCGGAUGGAGGGUCUCACGAGAGUACGAGACGGCCUGCUAACGAACGCCCAACGGGUUGUAACCCACGGGCUGAAAGGCCUUCGGACCCGAAACAAUACAGCACGCUCCAAAUAUCCUCCAUACUCCCCCAAAUCGAACCAAGUCAUCUAAUGGGCCAGUCUAUUAAAAACCAACUAGAAGGAGCUCAAAAUAAAAAUGUACCCAUUACAACUAAUAAAACCAAUCCAAUUAUCAGGGCUACGGAGAAAGGGAAGGCACCACCGCCUGAGAGGGUCGCAGGUGUAAAAACCAACUAGAAGGAGCCCAAAAUAAAAAUCCACCCAUUACAACCAAUAAAACCAAUCUGAUUAUCAAGGCUGCGGGGAAGGGGAAGGCACCAUCGCACGAGAGGGCCGCGGGUGAAAUUUUAGGGCUAAUUUGGAAGCCGGUGGCUAAUUAAUCAGUGGAAGAAAAGCCCCGGCAAGGAUUCCACCGGCCACUGGAUUCCUCAGGUGGCGCUCCCCUAGGCCUCCCCCGCCACCCGGCGUUGUUUGGAGAUGGAGGAGGUCGGCAAGGGGCACGUUUGCCCUGUCCGACUACUCAGGCUAACGUGUCAAAUACCUGCCGCUGCCCUACCCGACUGCUCUUGUAAAUACAUAAUAAAAUUUACAGACUAUACUUAAGUACUCCUUUAGUCCUUUGGGACCCACCAAAUUUCAUCAUGUGUUCUAAAUUUUUAAACCAGCAAUGUACAUCAUUAAGCACAAGCAUUACAUGAGAAAUAAUUAUAUUAUCUGUAUCAAUAAUCUAUGAUAAAUAGCUAAAAUUUGCACCAAUAUUCAUAUUAUAGGCCUUCCAUCCACACAUUCACAAUUGUUCAUAUUAUAGGCAUCCGCACAUUCACAAUAAUUUGAUAUAGAAUAAGACAGGAGAGUCCAGUUCAUGCUAGAAUUAAAAAUGAAGCUAAUCUAUGGCAUAUGGUCGACUCCAUCCGGCAAGCUUGUUGGCUCGAUCAUCUGCAAAUGUGGCUCUUGAUAUCCGCAGUGCCAGUUAGAUCAACAGUAAGCAAUACGAACAAGCUAGAAAAUAUGGUCUAACAAGACAUACAUUGGAAUUUCAAGUGCUCAGUAGUCUAUCAGAUAUGAACUCCCACUUUCAACAUCCUGCCAUGAUUAUUUGCCAUGCUAGAUUAUCCUUGUAUCUUAAUUGCAGUUGCAAAGAAGAUGGAAUGAUAUGGUAUGAUCAAACAGGGUAUUCACAAAGAUAAUGUGUAGAAGAAUGUCAUAGCUAGAAAGAAGGCUAGGAGAAGAAUAAUUUAGAGGUCCAUCCUAACCAGCAAAGCAAGCACUUAGUUAAAAAAACGGAAUGCGAGCAUGAAUGAUAAAAUAAUAAAAUAAAUAUGUUGCAGAUAAGAUAUGUAAUAUGAGAUUAUUUUCACUUUUGUCCUGUUUUAACAUUUCUACAGAAAGAUAUACACACUAAGAAGCAGAGCUACUCAGGAUGCUCCUUGGAGGUGAGAAAACUAAAUCUGAUACAUUUUCAUCUGUGUGUUACAUAAUGUUACAUGCAUAAAUAUUGAUAUUACAAAAUGGUGGAUUUGGAGAUGAGAUAUUUCUUCACUAUAAUGGUGAUGCGCAACUAAACAAAGUCAUGGUUGACAAAGUAAACUGAUUAACAAAGAUGAUCUAACAAAGCAUGUUCUGCACUGCAAGCUUCGCAAAAAUUACUAUUACACUACCAAUAGUUCCAACAACUUUGGUACUUAGCCUAAUAUUAGAAGGUUCUUGCACAGGAAAAUAGUAUUAGCAACCAAGUAAAUCUUGACACUUCCCAGCUAACAAAAAUUUCACAAAAGAUCUGGUAGCAAAGCAUACUAUGGAAAACCUAGCUCAGAAACAAGGAGCACGUGAUCUUUAAUAGGUGAAUCGAGAUGCUAUUGAGCUAUUCCAGGAACUGAAACACAAGAAAAAAAUUAUCCUAAUCUAGAUCCAAGAAUUUUUGAAUCCGGUAUAGCGGAAAAAAAAAAUCAAGCAAAUUAAGGGAACAAAUAGUGAUGGGAUGGGGGAAGAAGGUCGCAGAAGAGGACAAGACCAACUUGGACGGAGCUCAUCUGCCAGUCGGUGGGAGCAAUGCAGCUGCCGAGGCGAUUCCCAAAGGUGGAGGUGAUAGCUACGGGUACCCCUGCUCCCUCACGGAGGAGGAGACUGAGGUGGAGACGCUGGUGGAUGCGGACGAGGAUGAGUUGGAGUCGUCGCCGCAUAGGAUCAAGGAGCCGCCGCCGGUAGCACACAACCUCGCGUCGCGUCGGGGAGAAUAGUGGGAGCGGAUGAGAUGACGGGGAACAACGCCCGAUGGGUCGAGGUGGGGUGUGUUUGCCCGGGGCAAAUGCAGGGGUCGGGCUGGAGAGGCCCGUCGUGGACGUUUCCAAAUGCCGGGGAAAAUUUCUGGGUGGGCUUCUAGCCCAGGGAAAGUGCAGGAAUCUCUGUAGGGAUUUGAGUUCCCAAAGUGGCCCGUAGGGUUGGGCUGGACGCCCAAAACGGGAAAGGAGGAGUGGUCCUCGAAUUAUAUUAUGUUGAAUUUGGGCUGAUGAAAAGGAGGCUACCUGGGCUGUGGUGGGCUGGACAACAAAAGAGGCUUUUAUGAUUUCCUUCCAUCAUUACCAACGUUCUCUUUCUCUCUCAAAAAUACUCAUUUAUAUCCUUAAAAAACUAUCAUUUAUGUAAGAAGUAGUAACCUUUCUCCUUCAUUAGUCUUUUGGGAAGAAGAAAAUAAAGAGGAAUCUCGUCAUACUCCUAUCUACUCCGUCCGUCCCAAAUUAUAAUUUAUUUUACUUUUUCUGGAUUAUAGUUUUUGCUAAGCACCUAGAUAUAUGAUAUGUCUAUACUAGUAAAAAUCAUGCAUCUAGAAAAAUUAAAACGAAUAAUAAUUUAGAACGGAGCGAGUACAAGACUACAAUCCUCUAAAAAGGAAACAUACAAUGUCUGUGGCGAAAACCUUUUUUUUUUGUUGAAACUAUGACGGAAACGUGAAGGAAAAAAAUACAAUUUGUACGAAAGCAGCUGACAUAUCCCGUCAAACGUCAGAGGAGCUAUGGUAGCUUUUUUACUAGAAAUUUUCUUGCCCACGAUUCAGGGGGCAAGUGUCCAUCAAUUUGCCUGUAGAAAUAUACGCAAGUACGGCUACAGAAGAUCCUUUCAGUCUAGCUUUCCCUCGUCUUCAGGCAAACAUCCAGGACCAUACACAAGCUCUAGUAAGUCCCGAUCACAAUUUGCGAUCCAAUUAUUGGACAGUGCCUUCUUUAGACCAGAAUUCGGACCUUCCACGGAUCCUGUACCAGCGCGACGGCAUCCAGAUCGAAACCGAUCAGGAAUUCAGAGAAUUUAACGCUCAAAUGUUUCGACGAUGACUGAUUCAUCCGCUGAACUAUCACCAGGGAGUCUCAAGGAAGCAUAUCAGCACGCAUCACACAAAGAAGGCGGAAAAAAAAAAAAGAACGCGACCGUGCUGCCGGCCUCCACGCGUCUCUGCACCAGACGUCGCGCACCGACCCCCCUCGUCGAUUACUCUAAUCCGAAUCUGCUUCUGUCGCUCAUAUCAUACCAGACGCACGCUGGGGUCGCUCUAGUGCGAAUCCUCCACAAAUCACACACGAGGAGUAUUUGAGUGAGCUUCCGAGUGUCAAAUCAGUCGUCAGCAGGACGAGGCGUCCUCUGCUACGCUCCCACGAUCUCUCCACACGUCAGCAGGAGCCCUUCGGGCCGUUACACGCACCCAUCCCCGCGCCGCGCGCACGACACGAUCCGUGGUUGGUUGCACGCCCCUUCUAUAUCCCUACUAUCGCGCCGGUUCCGCCACCACCUCCGUCCGCGUGUUUCCCCUUCCUUCCCUCCCUCGCUUUCCCCUCUCAUCGACCUCCCAAGCCAAGAAUCACCAGAGGGCCCGAACCAAACCAAGGCAGCCAUGUCGUACUACGGCGACCGGCGGCCGGAGUCGUCGAUCGUGGAGGCGUUCACGCUGUCGCCGCUGCCGUACCCGGUGAUCCUGAUCCUGCUCAUGGUGACGCUCCUGCUGGGGGUGUCGUGGUUCUUCACCUACGAGGACUUCAUCGAGGAGGCGGCCGAGCAGUUCAGCUGGGCGCUGCUGGCCGUGCCCAUCGCGCUCGUGCUACUCAUCCGCUGGAUCUCCUCCGUCGAGUCCUUCGACGGCUACUUCUUCGGCUUCUACCCCAGCGAGAGACGCUGGAGGCCGGGCUACGACAGCGGGCCCGCCGAGGGGAGCUCGCCAUGGGGCGUCGCCAUGCUCGUCGUGCUCCUCCUCGUGCUCGCAAGCUUCCACGAGACCAUCAGGGACAUGUGGAGGCCAUGAUGGAUGAAUCCCUCCUCAAUCCUGAUAUAUUCAUGUAUACACGUAAUUAAUUCGGUCUUUGCUCGAUCGAUUCCAUGCUUUUCUGGUGCUGCUUGAUGAUCCAUCCAUGUACAUAUAUAAUACGGAUUCUGCAACUGGCUAGAUUAUAGAGUAUGAGGAUGAUACUCGAUUAGCUGCAUGUAAGCCUGGUUCUGGUUUUCUGUUAAUCAAAAGUUCUAGUUUUGUUUAUGUUUCGGAAUUUGCUGCUUUUCAAGAUUCUUUUGCUUUGCUUCCCUGUCUUGGAAUUGACUGGAACCAUCUCCAGCUUUCUUCCCUCUCUCCACCAAACUCGGGAACUGCAUGGACACUCCUGUGAGAGAUUCUUUGCUUAGCCCGGUCUCAUCUGCAGAUGAAAAAUAUGCAGUACUUUGGUAUGCUUUAGGCCUUCCAUUGAUUAUCUUUUGCUCUGGACUUUCUGCGUAUUGCUUUCCAUUUUUCUGGCCUGUUGGCUGCUUCCACCGGUGACGGCAGUUGGUGGGAGCAAUCAUACGUGCCACUACAAGAGAUAUACCAGCACUUCAACGUGGAAGUACAGGUUCACUACUUACUCGGAUCAGGUCAGAGUGACUAAACGGGCAUGUACGCACAGGAAAAUAGAGUAGAUGCGACAAGAGUGGAUUAUGGAUACUGGAUUCGGCGCAGGCAAUUCAAUCAUGGCACUUGCUCCCUCCUCUAUCGUUCCAUCUGGCCAUGCCUGAAUGGUUCAGACUUCAGACCGCUGCUGGGAGUCGUGCGUCUCCAUUCUCAGCCCAUGCUUGUCCUGUUGUCGGUCCAGCUCUCGUCUGUGUUUUUUUAAAAAGAAAAAUAAAGCUUAUCGUGUUCAAGAAGCGGACAGCACUUGGAUGAAUACACGGAGGAAGACAAGGAGUGGUGGUUGGGCCGUCGCCCGUCAAGAGGGGGGGACCUUUUAUGCGGGAAAUCCAAUUUAAUUUUUGAGCUAGCAGCAGUAGCUGAAGCUUCCAGUGGAUUGCAGCGCUGUGGCGGUCUGAAACCGGUGUCCACUGUCCAGUCGUUUUGUUCGGAAAACUUCCGAUCAGUUUCACUCUCCGGACCUCAUUUUCCGCGGUCAUCCGUCGCACUCGGAAGUCGGAACCCAUCGAUCAGUUCGUAUCUCGCCUGUCACGGUGCCACCGCCACCUAGCCAUCCUUUGUGGCUCGCCAAGAACCACCGCACCACCACCACCGCCCACCGGCCGUCCAUCCAUCCCGUCGGACGACGGACGGUGAGUCGGCGACGCGGUUUUUCUGCGGCGUCGCGUCACGGACUCGCCGUCGGCAGAGCGGCCUGCAACGGCAAGGCACAGAGCUGAACAACAGCGAUCGCCAAGCGAACUCUAGUGCUCUGCUUAAUGAACGUUAAGUUCCGCUGCAAUGAUUCAGACUUUCAGAGGGGCACGGCAAUUAACGGCGACAGCGUCCGCGGCACCAAUCAUGGGAGCAGCCGAGCGGGGCAUUUCGAAAUGGAAAGACAGUGAAGUGGUCGCCGAAGGCCCGGGCAGCGCGCAUCCCCUCCGCAGGUGCGCGCGGUUGGUGCUGUACUGCUGCGCCCGUCACCACGAACGCUCACGCGAAUUCCGCGAAUCCUUUGCUGCCGGACCGGAGGGCGGAGGCGCAAAGCCUGCCGGGGGUUGCCUUUCUCUGCUCGGGAUGCCUUUCGCUGAAGCCGCCGCGUGCGCCCUGUGCGAAGUUACGCUCCGGCUAGCUGUAAGGAUUCCUCGCUCGCUUUGCCACCGACGCAACGCUAACUGCCUAACUUAAUUACUUCCGUUAAACAAAUGAUGAAGAAAGAAAGAAAAAGGUAGGCGUGGCUUGCAGCUUGCCAGGUGCACCAACUUGUGGGGGGCGUGCGUCAAUGGUUGAUUUUGAUUAUUUUUUUUCAGUGGCACCUCCUGGCUUGCAAAUACCAUUCGAGUGAGUAGCCUGUGACUUGUGAAAGGAACGGAACUACGGGAGACAGCUCCUCCGGCCACUGGCCAACCCAGCGCCCUGCGGCCUUUAGGCUUCAGAAAUCCGGAACGGCGUCGCGCGUGGUGUGGGCGCGUGGUGGUGUCGAGACUGGAUCACUGGAGGAGAGGCGGCCGGUGUGUCCGUGACGUGAGGAGUGGGCUCGCGUGGCACACUCCCACAAAGCAAGAAGGCAGGUAAUUGUUGGCAGGCCGCUAAGGGGUCUAGAGCCGAGCUACGGCCUACGAGGGCUCAUGGGCUCAUGGCCGCGUUGCGUGCCGCGGCUGGCAGGCCGCCGGUUGAGCGGGCCAUGCAGUACUUGGCCCAAGGAUCGAGUAUGGCCACGAUCUGGUGGUAUUCUGGUGCUGCUCACCAGUCCACCAGUGUGUUGCCGUGAACAACUAAGGCCCUGUUUUGGUUUGCCCCGCUGAACUUCAGGGACUAAAGUUUAGUCACUUUUAGUCCCUGAAUUGCUAAAUAGGUGACUAAAAGUUACUAAACUUUAGUCUUUUAGUCCUCAAGGGUUACUUAUAGAGAUUAAAAGGGACCUUGGACAGGGUGUAUUCCUCAUUAAUACCCCGUACCUCCCUCAGAACCCCACCCGCCCCGUCGCCAGCCCCCACCCUCCCUGGCACCUGCCCCGCCCCCGACCCCCACCCCGCUACCACCGCCCUGGCCCCGCCUUGUCGCUGGCCCCUACCACCCCCGACCACCCGCCCGCCGAGAGGGCUAGCAGAGGGGUGGUGAAGGACCUUGGCCAUAGGAGGGUGGCGAUUCGACAGCGGCGGCCUCAAAUUGUAGGCGAGCUACCCCAAAUGAAGAGGAGGACGGUGCCCGCCAACAAACUUCCUACCUCGGCAAGGGCGCAAGGAGGACGGCUGCCGAAGCUCGAGUAGGGCCAAAUCGAGGGGCGCGAAGGGUGAGGAGGAUGGUGGCGAGCUUGUCGGUGGGGUCCCAUUGUUGGACAAUGGCCGGCGGCGAGGGAGGCGGAGGUAGCACAAGGGCGGAGGGGCUACCUAGGCACGAAAGUCUCCGCUGGUUCUGGGAGGAGGGAAGGAGGGCAGGGUAGGCAAUGAUUAAGGGUAGUUUAGCCUUUGUUCAACUUAUUUAAUCACUGCAACCAAAUAAUUUAGCAAAUAAUUUAGUUUAGUCCUAAAGGAACCAAACGUACUUAAAAACGUCAGUAAAACUUCGACGAUGAGUUCUUUCAUCUCAAGGGGGACCCAGUGAGCUGCUGUGGACCUGCGGCGGCGACUCGAUGCUUGAUACUUCCAAGGUUUGCAGACGGGUAGCACUUCAGCUUGGCUUGGUCGAGUGCAAUGUCAUCCGAUUGCUACGGACACCCGACAUCGCGCCUCCCUCAGGCCAUGCCCAUCCCAAACCUCCUUAUCUCUUCGGUGACCUGAUGGAGCCAUCCGAUCCAACUGCAGUAAACAUUCGACGGCGCCGAACAUCUGUGCCGGCUGUCCAUGUACAGAAACAGGGAGACGGGCAACAACAACUCAACAAGCACUGGAGCUCAAAGAAGUACGCUGCUUCCUACAUCACAGAACGAUGACCUUAGAUGGAAAUUUCGCGUUCCGGAACGGAGCAUUGCCACUUCAACGACGUGGCUGAGGAUCGCGGAUACACAAUUCGUGGCCGGCGAUAAGAGAGCACAUGCAUGUCAAUCACAAUCCAGGAAAGGAGGCCGCACAUGGACGGACGGGCGGAAGCAGAAGGAAGGACGCGCAAGAAAUAAGAGUUCAGUAAGCAGUCUAUUCUGGUGGUCAACCAGUCAAGAUGAAACUUUGCAUUGGGCACGACGUUCAGAUCUGCAGCUCCGCCAGAUACAUCAUUCCUGCACACGCACCUGUAUAACGCUGCUUAUAAAAAGGCCACUGGAUUUGUUUCCCAAAAAGGACAAAUGAUGGAGCCUUCCACAGGCUAGACAAGCUGCUACCCAUCUACUAUUACCACUUGAAUACUCCAGUCCCCAGUUAAACUAAGAUAUACUGAACAAAAGUUCCUCCUUACGCACGCACCUUAGCAUAAUGAAUUCCGCUUCACUUUAAAGCAUCAAUAUAAUCAUGCAGACUGAAGCCUACAGUUAUGCUUAUGCAGAUUGAAAAAAAAGCACUACAAUCAUAGAGCAACAACAAUCAUGUAAUUGCAGAAUCAUCAGCAAGCUUCAUCAUGACUAAGUGCUUUAUCUAGGAAAUGCCACAUCCAAUACAACAUGGUCAAUUGGAGUAGCUUGACCACCACGUGAGCAACUGUAAGUGCACGCAACAAUAGGCUGGAAUUUUAACAUUUUCUGAUGCAAUAUGGCUCCAACCUGUGCUUCUGCAAGGCCUUUUGAUCUGUUAAAUGGAUUCUUUGUUUCUACAUCAUUCCUCACAAAUGGCUGCUAGCAUGAAUGCAUGAUACAAUGUAUCAUCAAGCAGUAGUGCUGGAACAGGUAUUCAACAGUUCUAUCUCAUCCUAUUGUGUCCAUGUGCAACAAAUUGAAUCAAAAAACAAUCAAGGGGUAGCAUAAGAUCUUAAAAGAUGCAAAGCACAUAUUGCUAUUUAUUUACUAUAUCAAACAUAGAUAAUUAUCACCUUAGUACUCCUUAGUUCCCACAAAGCACAAUCAUAUAUACCUUCGAACCCCCUCCAAUUGUCACUUUGUGUUUCCCUAACAAUUGUAGAUCCAUACUGUUAUAUUCAGCCCAUACACAUUUAAAAUGCAUAAGCAUUGUUUGGUUUACACAAUUUCUUUUGAAGGAUCUUUGAUUUACACAAUAAAAUGCUAACUACAUAUUGGAAAAUUUCUAACACCGUUAUAAAGCUUUCAUAACUCUAGCAAUGGCAAUCACAACUAACCAAAAAUUAAUACACUAACAAGCCCACAAAAGGCAAGUGACAUUAAUUCAAUGACGGGAUGGUUUAUAAUUGUAUGACCUGAAAACAUACUUCACGACAUAAAAUUUCAGACCCAAAACGGAUUUAGUAGAAUUAAAGACUCUCAUGGCAAAAAUAAUUUUGCAACCUAUCUGCUCAGCCACACCACCUUACAGAUAAAGAGGACGCACAGCAGCAAAAGAUGGAGCAUAGGAAAAUCGUAGAUCAUCACUAAUUAAAUUGAACAAGAGCAGGUCAUGAUAUACUUAGUUCUCUCCCGUGGUACAAAAUGUUACUAAAAGAAUCUAUUGUAGUCUUUGCAACAGAAUGCCUUCCCCCAUAACCCAUGAAACACCUUCCAAACAGUGUCAUCCUAAGAACCAACUAAUGGACCUAGGAAUUAAAUGCCCAGCUACAAGGUAGCAAAGAGAAGCAACAGGCUUUUGAAUUAUGACUACCUAAUGAUUGUUCCUUAACUUCUGUUCCACUUUCAGAAUGUGCUGAGCAAAAUGAGCCUCUCAAUCUGAUGAAGUAAGCAAUGGAGGUAGAAUUCUGAUACACACCGUCAGGAGAGGCCACAAAGACACUGAAUAGACAGUCAUCUUGCACUGCUCGAGCUGCCGUUAUGACCACGUGAACCCUUGCCCUUGCUACCGGCAUACUGCUUCUGCUUCUCAGCCAAUUCAGGAUGGUAGUACUCAAGAUACCACCGCACAAACUUCUUGAGCCCUGUUUGGAGAUCUGUGGACGGCCGGUAGCCAAGCUCCCGCUGUGCAAGGCUUACAUUAGCAUGCGUAUACGGCACAUCUCCAUUCCUUGGCAUCUUGACAACCUUCCUCACAGCCUUCACUUUGAGCAGCUUCUCCAGCAAAUCCACUAGCUGUGUAACAGGCACAGGAGAAGUGUUCCCCAAAUUGUAUGUCCUGAAUGGUGCCGGGCCUCGCUUCUUGCCACCACUGCCUGUACUCCGACCAGCUGUAUCCAAUGCCGCGACACACCCCUUCACAAUAUCAUCAAUGUAGGUGAAAUCCCUGGAAAUGGUAGUCUGGUGUGAGCCUCCACCUGCACUCUCAUACACCGUGAUCGGCCGACCAGCAAGGAUGUCCCGGGUGAAGAAAAAGUAUGCCAUGUCUGGACGCCCCCAAGGCCCAUAGACAGUGAAGAAUCGGAGAGCGGUGAGUGAAAGCCCAUAGAUGUGGUUGUAGACAUGAGCGAUCUCCUCGCCAGCCUUUUUGGUGGCUGCAUAGAGAGAGGCUGGUCGAUCCGUCCUGUCAUGCUCGGAGAAAGGCACAUGGGAGUUGAGCCCGUACACUGAAGACGACGACGCCCAGACGAUCGCCGGCUGAGGGUUCGCCGAGCGCGCCGCCUCGAGCAGCGCGACGAGACCAGCGACGUUGGCGCGCACGUAGGACAUGGGGUCCACGAGCGCGUGGCGCACGCCCGCCUGCGCGGCGAGGUGGAGGACGUGCGUGAACGGGACGACGUCGAACAGCUUGGCCAGCAGCUCGGCGUCCGCGAUGUCGCCGUCGACGACGUAGACUCCCGAGCGGGCGAGGAGCGCGGCACGGCCGCGCUUGAGGGCCGUGUCGUAGUAGUCGUUGAAGUUGUCGAGGCCGAGCACGCCGUCCCCGCGGCGGCGCAGCGCGGCGGCCGCGUGGCAGCCGACGAACCCGGCCGCUCCCGUGACGAGGACGGAGUAGCCCCGGGGGCGCCUGACGCGCGCCGACGCCCGCACCUUCUUCUCCCAGGCGGCGCCGCCCCAGGAGGCGGUGGGCGAGGGGGAGGCGUGGAGCGAGCGGCGCGGGGACUCGGGCGCGGCGCGCGGGGCGGGCGCCGAGGAGGGGGAGAGGAGGAGGAAGGCGAUGAGGAGCGAGAGGGAGCAGACGGACCAGAAGGCGAGCUUGGAGAGGAGCGAGGCCGGGGCCGGGUGGUGGUGGCGCGGGGGCAGGCGGUGGUGGUGGUAGUGGUGGAACUGCGGCUUGACGGCCGCCGCGCCGCCCGCCGCGGCCGCCGAGCCCGGCGCGCCGGUCAGCUGCGGCGCCAUCCCCUCCUCGAUCCGCGGCAAUGCGGCUGGCCCCCGGAUCUCGGCUCGCGGGGGAUUGGGGGCGAUUGGGUCCGCGCGGCGGCGCUUGGGCUGCUGCUGCCGUUUUUUCGAGGAGCGGAUGGUUUCGAUUUGGUUCCGAGGGGGCCUGCUUCCUCAGAUUUGGUUUGCGGGGGCGCUACAUCUGGGGAGAAAUUCCGAGGAUUUUUCGCAUCUCCCUUUUAUUUACUUUCUCGUUUUAGAUUUUUUUUUAGGAGCACCACGAGUUCCCACGAGCGCGCGUGUGGGGUCAGCGCGAAUGACCCUCCUUUUUAUUUUUAUACUAUAUUUCUUCAUUUAAUUUAAUUUUAUUUCUUUACUAGUAUAAGCGAGCUGUACUGACUACCGACUACCGACUGCCCAUAAAAGAAACAGUAGUGCCCAUGACGAGGAUACGACGUUGUCCUUGAGAAAAAGAGAUCGCAAAUCGCAUAUAUACGUGUCCAAAGCCUCAAGGCUAUCACGUGUGUACAUUUGAUGCAAUCCUUAAACGUUCGGUAUAUCUUGAAACUUUAAAAUGCUUGCAAAAUCACAAAGGCAAAGAUCUUUCCUUUCAAAAAAACAAAGGCAAAGAUGCUGUUGCAGCGAAAUUUUCUCUUUUUUGAUUUUGAUUGAUUGAGAAUCCGUGGGGGGGGCGCAGCGUGGGGGCCGGACGUGCCAGGUGCCGCCGGGGUUUCGCUUCGUUUUCGGUUGUUGGGGGUGCCUGCUUCGGUUAGGGCUCAAAAAUCUUUUGGUUCAUCGUUAUCGUUUGGUUGGAUUUCAUUUCACACGAGCCCAAGGGCAUCGAGUGGCCGGUGGGGUCGCUCGCGCGCGCGCGGCGCCGGUGGCAUUUCAUCACGGGAUAAGGAUCGGAAAUUUCCUUUUCAAAAAAAAAAGAAAAGAAAGGAUCGGAAAUCGGAUCUUGGACUGUCGGUACGCUUCUUCCUCUCCCCAUCAGCGUGUCCCAUUUUGCCCAUUCGUGUCUCGCUUCGCCUCUGCAUUCCAUGAUGCGAACGAGGCAGAUUGUCAUGGUCCGUAUAAAUCGCGUGAUCGUGUUGCCCUUCAGGUCCUAGGAAUAGACAAAUAGUACCAUCUCGUAAUGGCGGUGUGAUUAUGGGCUCUUUUUGAAGGAAAAAAAAAUAGUAUGGUGAUUAUGGCCGUUCUCUCAACUGUGCAGUCCUUGACGCUAGCGAGCUGUUACAGGCUGACGGCUGGGGCGUGAGCAUGCGCACUCGCAUCACAUGUGCGUUGAGUGACUUCCAAGUCGUCGUCCUACCCGUAAGCAAUAGUGUUUCUCAUACGGCACAGACCUGGCACUAAAACACGGCUCAUCUACUCCUGUUGACGGUUGACAAUGCGAACCUAGUGCACUAGUGAGGAUGUACCUAUUUAUUUCGUGGCAAAACGAGCGAGACGGAAUCGUUUGUUUCCUUUCUUUUCGCUUGAGUACGUGACAGGGUUUAGCAUAGAGGAUGCCUUAGCCGUUAAGCGUCGUCGGUCCAAUAGGCUGGGAUUCCAGGUGGCGGUGACAGAGUUGAACACCAAGUUCCACACCGGAUCUCCUCUGAUCACACGUCGAACAACGAUUCCCUGAACAAGUCGGCAUUUCCUUUUGUUUUUUGUUCUGUGACGGUGGCACGCAUCUCGAAGCCUCUUGUUCUAGGUAUGACUUGGUGAGUCUACCUCCUUGACAAUCUACCGUAACAAACGUCACGGACUCAUGGUGAUGUGAUACUAUCCUGUAACUGAACUACGGUAAUUCAGAAGGAUGUCAGGCAAUAGCCAAUGCCCAAUGGAGAAGGCCACUGCGGUCUGCCUCGGUAUUUCCUGCUGGAGAGGCUUCCUGCCCGUUCGUUGAACGGCAAACGUCGCUGCCGUGCGUCCAUGUCGUUGUCGGCAGCGCGAACGGGGCAUGGCGCCAUGGCGGUGGGCGCACGAAGGCGGCGUGCAGCGGCCGGGAGGGGUUGCAUUCCCUCUAGCUGUCCAAGAACGCGCCCAUGGUGCACUAUGCCACUAUUGCAGAAAAAAAAAAGCGAAAUGGUGGCACAACACGCCAGAUCACUGUUGAAAACAGACCCCAUUCCGCAAAGGAAAAAUACAGUACUGGCCGGAACAGUCAUGUUAAGACUUUAAAAGCACAGUAAGCCUUAAAAACAAAAGGUGCGACAUUGGGAAACAAAUCGCUGAGAAAACAGACUGAAUCAAAAUUUCGAGUUGCACAUCCCUUAUAUCAGAUCAGACAAACAGCUACGAUAGACAAACAAAAUUUCAAGUUGCACAGCCCAGAUCAGACAGACAGCUACGAUAGGAUUAUAGGCGGCGAAAAUACAGUCUUGGGUGCUAACAAUCACUCGAUGUCCUCUUACAAGCACACAAAUGGAGCACAAAGCUAAUGCAACACAAGAUAUAAAUAGUUUAUGACAGCUGAACUGCACGUCAUUACACAUCGGCAAUGGUCACCUCGACCUCAACACCAGGCUCAAUGGUGAUGGAAGUGAUCUGCUUCACCACAUCAGGGGAGCUGAUCAGAUCAAUCACCCUCUUGUGGAUGCGGAACUCAAAGCGAUCCCAUGUGUUUGUUCCUGAUCAACAAAUUACAAUAUGGUUAGUCAAUUUCAUCAGGACAUAAUAAACAACAAAAUAGUAUCAGAGAGUUAUCAAUAACAAAAAUGUACUCAAAAGGGUCAAACAGGAAUAGGCGUGAGCACCCAGGUGAAGUCAAAAGUUACUCAAGGUUAUCACAAGUUCACAACCGGAAAUGACAAAAGACCUAUCAAGGUAUAGACUAGAUAUAUCAAAUCAGAUCCAUGGGUCCACGUACAGAUCACAAUAGUGAAAAGAAAGAUAAAUCUAGCAGUAGUACAAAAAAGAGACCCUACCAAUUAAAGCACCUACUGUAUAAAAUUAGCACCUUAACAGUAUUAGCAUCUUAGCACUUAAAAAUAGCUUGAUGACACAAUAAAACUCAAUUUGUCAAAUCAUCCAAAGCCAUGACACCAGUUUAACAGCAGAUGAUUUAAAACAACUCAUUACCUUCACCACAAGGAGACUUGCGGGUGGUGAUGUGGAGAACCUUAGUAGGGAUCCUGACAGGUCCCUUAACCCUCAGCUGCUUGUCCUUGGCUCCCUUCACCAAAUCCGCACAAACUGAUAUGUACCAGCAGAACACAAUAAUCAUCAGUUUGGUAAACUUCGUGAAUAUGAUUCUACUACAACACAAUGGUGCAACUUGCAGCUUAUGUGACAAAAAUACAUUUUAGUAUAAAAGAUACGGAAUUCUAAAGCAGCACAUCACAUACAGCAUACUUGAUCAGAACACAAAAUACAAGAAAGGCCCACAGAGAUCAACCAUUAAAAGAUUUGUCAUUGCCCAGUUACUCCUGGAAAUAAUGACAGGCAAAGAUUAUUUCAGCUUGCAUCAAGGAAAAAGAGCCAACAGAGACUACACAAAGAUGUGGGUAUUGACCCAUUGAAUAGGUUCAUGAUAAGAUCCAUGAACUCCAGAUUCUGCAGACCUCCCCAGGCAUCUAGAAGCUAACCAGAAAAACGCCACAACCAUUGCAAUUGAGACAAACAAAUAAUUGCAAUGACUUGACUUAGCAGUGACGCAUAAUCAGUAUCAUUUGCGAAAAUCUUCCUACUGUAGGACCAAACAGAAUCAGAAAUAGCACGUUGGCUGCACACUUGUGCACAAGCGCACAGUACAUGAAAUUGGGCACCAGCAAAACAAUAUGAAAUGGAUUCACGCACCCCGCAAUCCUAACCAACGGGAAAUUGUAAAAGAGCAGCGGAAAAUUACAAUACUACAUCAAAUUUCUGCAUGUUCUCGAGACUCCAAUUAGACGUUAGAAUACCGCAGGCCACGAGUUCGACAGAUAGAUCUAAUGCGUAAUCAUAAACUAUAUACAAAUCAGCAGGAAAAGGAAGCUUGUAUACACAUCAUCACGUUUUAUACUUUAUACAAUCAAGCCUAGCUAAAAGACUAUAUAAGACCAGAUCAGGAAAUAGGGGUCUGGAUUCUUGAGGUUCAGUUAUACCUUUCUCCAAGUUCUUGACGUUCUUGGAGGACAGGGUGAUGCGGAUGCGGUUGAGCUGCAGCUCGGGGGCAUCCUCGACGCCAAGCUUCCCCUUGAGACCGCCGUAAACUGCCGCCGCCGCCAUGGUGCUCUUGCGCUGGGGGGAAGGGGUCUUCGCUUCCUCGCUCGGCUGCUUGGGGUAGGCGGCGCUGCAGGCUAGGGUUUUCGCCCGGGGGUGGGUUCGAGGCUACUUAUAUGAGAAGUGGACGGGUCGGCCCAACUGGAACCAGGCUUAAGACGGCCCAUCUAGUUCUACCAUUUGCUUGUCCUCUAGUGUCCUCUUCUAUUCAGAUAAAAGUAGGCGGUUUUAGAGCCAGAACAGACGGUUUAUGAGAAGAAAAUUUUGUCCUCCAGUAUUUUCAGGUUUAUCCCCCGAUCGACAGUACUGUACUAUUGAAAGAAUACAACCUGAAACUUAUACAAAAGCACGACCGCAAAGAUAAUAAAAAACAAAUUUUCUGAAUAAUUUCAUAUUUUCAGUUAUUUUCAACCCUUAUUGGAGAGUGCCAUUACGAAAAUCGAACUGCAAAUUUGCCCAAGAAACUUCAAUGCGAAGGCAGAGCCUUGAGCACAGCAAAACAAAUACUCUUUGUAGUUGCAAAAUUACUCUGGAUUCACCUAAAGAAUACUCUGAGUACAAACCCUAUAUAUGUGAUUUAUGCUCGAAAAUUGAGUCAUAAAAAAACUCAAAAGAAAUUUCACCUGUAUUCAUGAUUAUUUUGCUCGAUACCUAAAAAAUACCCUAAAUCCUGUUUCAUUUGUUGGAACUCAGGUGGAAACGAGAUUGGGAUAUUGAGGCAUGUUUCGCACAACUCCAGCUCAAAGAUAAAGUAUUUAUAUCUGUAUUUAAUCUAAACUAUGAACAGAAUGAUUCAACUAAAUGCUUUGAGUAGUUGCAGUUCCAAGAUUUUUUAGAGCUGUUAAUAAUUAACUCCAAGUGAUUCAAAAAAUUUCUAGAACUGAAGCUGGCCUUGCUUUUUGAACAAAGAUAAACACAUCGUAGCCCUUUAGCUAAUUAUAUGUUUCUGAUUUUCAUGAAGCACGUACCAUUAAGCAAUGGCUCCUGGCAAUACCUACUCUGAAUUUUGACGAAGUGACAAAAAGCCUCCAGGUGACAUCCAAAAUGACUGAGAACAGCGAUUGCAAACAGACGCAAUAUAGCUGUGCCACGAUAUACAAGGGAAAAGAUAAUAUAUUUCUUUUCCCAAUCUCACCUUCUAUUUGUUAGAUCAAAAGUACCGAACUAAUUUCACACGAUUUUCCAUCAUGCUCUACAAGUUACAUUCUUGACCAGCAGCAAGACCUUUUCUCACCAAAAGUAACCAUCGAUGCAACUCCAGAAAGUUGCUCAGUGAUGUUAAUCCUAUAACAUCGAGGAAGGAAAGAGGAAGAGAAAGUGUAGACGAAACAGUAGGCAACCAAGACGCAUCGGUAGUGAUCUACAACAAAAUAAAUCGCAUGGUGCCUUAGAGCAACAUAUCCCUGUUUCUAAUCUCCAUUUUCAUGGCUCUCCUGUUCCUCCUCUGCAUCCUCAAAACGCUGGUCGUUGAUUUGAAGCUGUGAGAAAAAAGACAUCAACAGAUGUUAGCUGAGAAUUCUGAAACAUAAAUGCAGCAGCACAGAUAAUUUAUGCCAACUUUUGCAGAUAAAUUUUAUUCACUUCAGUUAAAUUUACUAACUGAGCACAAGAACUUGAUUAAUUUAAUUUUAAUAUUGCAUCAAACUCACGUACUAUUUCUAAAUCUAAUAACCAUGUAACUCAGACAAAUACUUGCCAGGGCCACUAUAGACUCAUAUGUGUUACAUUAUUGUCCCCAUUGGAUGUGCAACGCCAAUAGAAGACUUCAAGAAUCAACUGAGUCUAAACCAGAGUUCUACAGCAGUCAUUAAAAGCAAACUUAUAAGAGUGUAAUAACAAACAAAUUUGUCGUGUACCUCAAAUACUGAAUGACUGAGGUCGAAUCCACCAUUUUGACCUAUCGGAUUGGCAUUGAAGAACUGGGGAACAUUUUCUGCAUGGAAGGUAAGAUAUCAAAAUGUUGCUCACACGCACAUUAGCGCAAAAAUAUUGAAGAAAACUUACCAUCAACCAUGUCUUCAUCGCCAUGAACCCAGCCAACAUCAGUCAUAUCUUCACCAUUGAACCAACCAUUCUCCCCAUGGCGCUCUGGAAAUUCAAAAGAUUACAUAGCUUUGCGACAGAAUUGUUUUAAGUAUCAACUGUAAAGAUAUCUUACCAGCAUUAGGAUCAGGAUUCAGUUCAGCACAAUGACAGAAGACAUCAAAAAGUGCCUCCACUGAAGCACUGUCAAGGAUACAAGUCAUGCAAUGCCAACAAUGGAACUAGAUAAAUUUCUCAUGAACUCAAAAGACAAGAAAAUUUUGUAGUCUGCCAACUUCAGUUUUUCAAUUAAAUAUCCAAGGGUUGACUGAGAGGAUUAUUUGCAUAAUGGAAUUAGAAGCGUCUUGAAUCAGUUCAAUAGAUCACAAGUCAUAAAAACUAAAUCAGGAAGCACUUGAACUCCAAGAUCAAGCAAACAAGGAAAUAUUUGAAUAUGGCAUGCUAAUUUAAAAGGAUACGUUGAGCAGGGUCCCCCAGUAUAAUGCGCACUUCAGAGACUCUUGAUAGCUCUAAUUCAUCAUUUGCUUCAGGAUUUGAUUCACCAGCCUCCUCGUCUGUGCCAACUUCUGCCUCAAUCUUCAAAUUACAUAGACCAAACGUCAGACAUUUAUACCAGAGAAUAUUAUAUUAAAAAUAAAACAACAGAGAGAAACAGACACAUUAAUUCACUGCACACCUAUUAAACACCAAAAUGGGAUCUACUCUUGUCAGGAUCAGGAUAUGCAGCUAUGAUAUAGUUCAAUAGGGUUCUCAUUCACAAAUUUUAACCAACACGGCAAGAGUACCAUAUAUUUGUAUGCAAAUGAGGGCUUGCUUUGUUCAAGAACUCUAUAGCAUCAUCUGGUAACUGGUGAUUUAUUGGUGAGUAGCAAUGAAGAAACCUAUCUCCAAAUGAGACAAAACCACCCCUCAUAUACAUAGAGAGAAACUCUGUUCAUCUGUGGAAAUGCAUGAGCUACAAGCAAUUUCGAACAUUGUGAGUAUCCACUGUGAACAAUUGAUCACAAACGCCCAAGAAAACCAAGCAAAUCACCAAUCUAUGCAAAGCUAUAAACGCCAGAAGUUGUUCCAGCUGCAAUUUUCACCACAGCUCAACUGCAAUAGUCAGGAAAAGAACAACGGCGCAUCAUGUGACAGAAGUCCUACACUCAAUAACCCAUACAACUAUUCUAUGAUCUGUCAAUCAAAGCUCACCGUUCUCUAGAAGCUGUGAGGUAUUCUCAAAACAUCAAUCAAAAUAGAAGCCGAACGUUUCUGUAAUUCCAAGAACAAAGGGAUCUCUCAGUAAGUGCAUCUCACAAUGGAAUGUACAGCCUACCCCACUAGGCCUCUACCACCAAGAAGCUUACAGCUAAAAACACUCCUGGAUCCUAGACCAUGGUCCAAGACACUUCAAGGUAGAGUAUACCCCACACUUUAAGCACUCAACUGUUAGGACAUCAGAGCUACACCUGAUCAAUCUUUCAUCUUAUUGGACCUCAAGACUCAAGAGGGAGUAAUUCCACAACGAGCACUACAGUAUCAGCGGAAGGAGAGUUUGCUUGUCCAAUCACCUGCGUGUAGAGGCAGGGCGAGGGAUACGCCUCCAGGUCGCGCGACACAGCGUGCAGCGUGAUGUCAAGGAAGUCCACGGCGUAGCCCUUGCCCUUCUCCACCUCGCUGAGCCAAAUCACCCUCCUAGUUGAGGCGAGCAAGCCAACGGUUAGCGAAACAUUAGGCAUCGGAAGAGGUGUUGGAGGAGUAGCCGUGUAAGCUGAGCUUUAUUAACUACCUGGUGGUGACGAACAGGGUCCCCGGGGGCUCCGGCGAGCGGCGGCCGAGGGCGACGGAGGCGGCGCGGUCGACGCGGACCAGCUCCUCGCCGUCGGCGGCGUCGAGGCGGGGCGCUCCGUCGGCGGCAAUGUCGGUGAAGCGCUGGAGUCCGGGAGCCAUGGGGGGGGCGGCGGCGGGGAGGCCGAGGUGCUAGGGUUUCGGGCCUUGAAGGCUUCGGGGCGUGCGAGAUUUGGGGAUUCUUUCGGAAGGGUUUAGCGGUGGUGGUGGAGGACCGUGCGUCGUGCCCGUGCCGUGCGUACGGCGCUGUGUGUUGGGAAAUGUAUUGCGCGUGGGCGUGGCUUUGGCCCAAGUUGACGAAGGGUACAAGUAGCUCUUCCACACCAAGGAGUAGUCAUGUACAUUUGCAACCAAAAAUACCGCUACGCCAUUUUUGAUAUGCAAUAAUCUCAUUAGGAAAUAGGAAACUGCUCGUGUAAUCCUUCAAACAUGUGACGCAUGCCUCAAUUCCAAGCAAAUCUUAAGUACCUUCAAAUCUUCAUUCUGCAACCCCAAGUACGUCAGUUUUUUCCCCUUAUCCCGAACGGAGCCUCAUCUCGUCACGGGACAAAUCCAUGUAGGCCGCAUGUCAGUACAGACGCACAGCGGCACAGGUACAGUCACCGCAAAUCCGCAAUGCCUACCGUUGGGUUCAAUGCCUUUGUCACGAGCAAGAGCGGCGUCCUGCGCCGCUGUGCACGGCGACGCUUGUACAGUUACAACGUACACCAACGCUUGAAAAAAGUGUGAGAUACCCACGGCCCCAGGCUCCCAGCUAAAAGAUUUUACUGUUUGCCUAAGCGGCCGUGAGCGGCAGCGACGACGAGCAAAGAUACAGCACGGGCGCUGUGCUCGGCGACGACAGCGCACCACCAGCCAGCCACCAGUUUCACUGACCAAAGCAGGCAGAACAGUAGUCGCGCGGAGAGCAGCAACGCCCUUGUGGCCCGCGGGCGGCCGAGCCCCACGCCCCCGCCGCGCCCCCACGCCCGGGCCCUCGGCGCGGAGGGCAGGCAGACCGGACGCACACGGCACGGACCGCGCCCGUGCGCGCGGCACCCAGCGGCCGGCACCGCGGCGCGAGUCCACAUGCGCCCGUCGCGUCCGUGGCAGCACGCCGCGGUCGGCUCGGCUCUGCCGCGCCCGCGGGUUUUCCGCUCUUCUCCACGUCUUGCCGGUGGAGGAGCGACGAGACGUCCAACCGCCCGGUUAUAAAUUGGCCGCUGGGCGCUGGCCAGUGCGAGCACGCCGUCGUGACCCGGCAGUCAAAGCCUGGCGCCAGCCCACGACUUGGGCCUGGGCGCGCGGUGGUGGCAGCGUGACGGGCGCUCCGUCCCUGACACGGCCGGCGCGGACGACGAGGGAAUGGCGAUGGCAGGUGCUGCCUCGGGGGUCGCGAACAGACCAGGUCGUCGGGUCAGGCCUGGCCGGCUGGCGAGCUCUGGCGCGCAUGCCGGCGUGCGUCCGGACGUCUGACCCGCGUGCACGGUGUACCCAGUAGGCGUCACUGUGACCGCAUGACGCCUUCCUGCCUACCAGGGGACACGACUCGCAGGUAGGAUGGCAACGGGGAAUUCCCCGUCGGGGGAUAGCUCCCCAUCCCGUCCCCGUCCCCGUCCCCGUCCCCGUCCCCGUGAACGCUGUCGGGGAGAAGUUUUGCCCCGCCCCGCGCGGGGAAUUAAUCCCCGCGGGGACCCAUCUCAAUGCAGACUGAUUUCUUUCUCUGUUCAAUCUCGUUUUACAAAGAAAGCUUUCAAGCAUCCGGGAUUAAAUGAGGACGAAAAAGAAUAACAAAACAAGACCAAUCACAUCCAUAUACAACUCUGUACAAUUAUCACAUCCAUAUACAACUCUGUACAAUUAUCACAUCCAUAUACAAUUCUGUACAAUUUGCAAGACUUCUCACCGAGCAAACAAAAAUCAAAAGGAAAAAAUACGAUAUAAAAUUCCCUACUAGCUUCUUGCUCCUCUCGCCAGCUAGCACAUCACGGCACUCAGCACUUGACCCCGAUCUUCAGGAAGACCUGGGGGCCUCCCCGUGCGAUCGUCUGGCACGGGAGCGUGGGGUCAUGGCUCGAGCCGUGAGGGGAGGUCGCUGACUCGCCGUCGCUCCUGAGUCUGGCCUUGAUUUAUAUGCACAUCUGUUGUUGAGCUAUGUUGUUUCGUAGGCUGCUGGGUCAGAUCUCGCGACAAACCGCUGCUUGCUGCUGGUUUUAACCGGGGACGCAGGGAUACGGGGACGGGGGUUGCACUAUCAUCCCCGCCCCCGCCAGCCCCGACGGGGACCAAUUUUCCCCCGUUUGAUUCCCCGUGGAGAUUAAACUGCUACCAUUCCCGUCCCCUGAUGGAAGAAUUCCCGGGAGGAAUCGGCGAACGGGCCCGUUGCCAUCCCUACUCGCAGGGCUACUGCAUUUGAUCUCGGUCCAUGGCCGAGUGGCCUAGGCCUGCAGCAGAUGUAGGGUGUAUCAGUAUACUGUACUAUAUUGAUGAACAGGCAAUGGCGAUACACGGUGAAUUCUGGUAGCAGUUCGAACUGGCAAUAACGGUCGAUCAGUAAUUCAGUACAGGCGUAGCCUGUUAGCAUGGUGUAUGACCACUGCACCGUUGCAGGCUUGCAGCCCAUUGCCUGGUGCCUGUAACGUGUCCUAAUUUUCAAUAUACACAGCAAUUCAGUCAUGCCCCGUGCUCAUAGUCAUUGAUACUGUACGACGGGCGUCGAUGACGUUGACAGCGAAACAAUAAAAAUAGAAUAAAAAAUCAGCUACUACUUCCUUCGCUUUAAAUUAUAAGUCAUUCUAACUUUUUUGGAGAAUCAAACCAUUUUAUAUUUAACCAAAAUUACAGAGAGAAUCACACAAAAUUUAUGGCACGAAUAGAUAUACUAUGAAAAUAUAUUUAAUGAAGAAACUAAUGGUACUUAUUUGGUAUCAUGAAUGUUAGUACUUUAUUGUAUAAAUUUGAUCAAACUUGAGAUGCUUUGAGAAAGUCAUCACUAACCUUUAAAUUCGCCAAAUUCAAGUCCUCAAAGAAAGAAAUCGUUACAGUUUUACAGACGAGUUCUCAGUUACACGUGAGUACUACCUAUCUGAUGAGUUCAGGGAGCAGCGACUACUGGUGUAUACAGUGCGUUUUAGGACAAAAAAACAGCCCCUCAGAGAGCCGGUCCCCAAUGGACGAAACAAAAACUGGCAACGCCUAUGAAACAUAGCUUUCUUCUUCACCAAGAUGCCUUCAGCAAGUCUGACCCUUGUUUUUUUUUUUGUCGGUUUAUGUACACCGCUGAAUGAACAAGCUGAGCAAAUGACAUUUGUCAUACACUUGCAGCAUCUGAAUCCAUAAGGUAUCAUAGUAGAGUAACUUUUUAAAACCAGCAAGAAAGAGAGACUGGGAAGAAAACUCCGGUAGUUACCACGCUGAAAUGUUGUUAACGUCCGCUGGGGAAUGGCAGGAAACGGAGACGUUUUGUACAAGAUAGGUUGCAUCAAUCCCAGCUAGUUCUGUUCCGCCUAAAUUCCUUCUUCUGUGAAAGCACUUUCUUAUUCUGAAGUCUCUUCCUUUCAGCAACUGCAGCACUGUAAUGACCAACAGAACAAACAAAUUAUCACUCUAUGGAACAUUCGGUCUUUGCAAUAGAGAAAGAUCCUAUAAUGAAUUUUGAGUUAAGAGUGAAACAAUAAGGAUUUAGACAUAACAGCAACAUGAGGUUUCUAAUAUAUCCUGAGAAGAAGCAACACAAGGGCUUAAAUUAGCUACUGAAGGGCCAACCUCAACUGCAACUAAUAUUGGCAUUUAUGCAUUUUACCUUACAAAAUGAAAUAUCAAAGCACAGCUUAGUAUGACCACGUAAUAACGGUCGUCAACAUGUUAUGGAAAUGAAGGGAACUCAUAAAAUACGAAAAUUUUAAGAAAAUAGGAUACAGUAUCUUGUUAAUUCACUUGCUGAGAAAUUAUUGAACACUUUGGAGUGGUCUAUACCUAUUCCAUAGAGAACCACUGAUUGGCACGGUGACGAGAAAGAAACCGAAGAAAUAAAAAAGAAACUUACAUUUUUUCAAUCUUUUUCUUCUGCUCUUCUGUGGGGGGCGGAGGAACAUAUGAUGCAGCAUCAAUGAUUGCCUGCUCAAUGCAAAAUCGUGGAGUAAGAGUAAGUCAACUGAAUUGGUCCUAGAAAAACAUCUGAAAGGGAGGAAGCAUACCUGUAUCUUCUGCAGAGCAUCUUCAAUGUUGCCCCUAGAACGAUAAAUCAUGUCAGUUGCUAUCCAAAAAAUUACUAAAAAGAAAAAUAACAUAAUACUUACUUCUGUGUUCUAGUUUUUGUAGAAGAUAUCACAAGCUCUCCAUCUUUAUUAAUCCUGUUCUUUUCCUGUGCAUAAAGAGAGCAUAAAAUGUAAACAAAAUGUCCAAAGGAUUAGACAAGACAUGAAAAUAAGUAAAAAAAAUACACAUAAGAGCAGAAGAUUAGAAAACAUAAAUAAUAAGCAUGAUCCUGAAACAUGUUAAAAACAAAUGUAAGAAAAACAGGUGCUAAAUAAGGACAUUUGUUUUACCGCUUGUAAUAUCCUUUCCUUUAUUCUCUCUCCAAGCCAGUGAGCUUCCUUAACAUUGAAUCGCAUGUCAACCUUUGUAUUGACUGUAAAAUGGCACAUCAUUUUAGAACAAGAGACAAAACGUAAAAAGGUAAAAACAGCACACUGAAUAUGAGCAUUAAUUUACAUAAGUAAUUAUUAUUUGGAAAUCUCUGAGUUCAACUACGUGUACUUAUGGACAAACAACAAUUAUCCAAUAAUUACGAAUGACAAAAGGUAUUUAUAUGCUACUGAGUGAUUAAGGGAUGCUGAACGAAGCAGGAACCCAUUAAAUUCUUAAUGCAGGAGGAAGAAUAGAAAAUACAAAUGAAAAAAAAAACAAUGCAAUGAAAGAACAUAAUGAACUGACAGCAGGGGUUUAUAUGCAAAAGAGAAAAAUGAGAACAGGGCAAAAAACAAACCUUUAUUAACAUUCUGACCACCAGGGCCACCACUUCUUGCAAAAUUAACAGUAACAUGUUCUGCAGAUAUAAAACAGAGUUAGAACAGGUUUUGGCAAUUUUAAACAAUAAAUAGACAUGCUCAUCGCAUGAAACAGAGAUAAAGCACGUUGAACUCAUGCAGAUAAUAACGAGAGAAAGUCGCUGCAGGUUUUAUCUACACGACUUGCACUUUAGUGCUCUCAGGUUCUUUUGUCUUCCAGUCCAUCUACACAUAUUGUGUUUAAUACAAACACCAAAUUUACUCAGGUCUAUAUCUGUGCUUGCCUUCAACUAUGUGUUUCAUGACACUAUAUGAAUUGUCCUUAAUUUGGAUACUAUUUGUGUAUGACACACAUAAAACAAAUUGGAUACUUGUGUCAACUAUUUGUGUUUCUCAAUCAAUAACCUCAGAAGUCAGGGCAUUGAUGAAGUGUCCUUAAUUUGGAUACUAACUUAUUAUGAACACAAACUACUAAUACAUCAAUCACUUACCAAAACUUCAAUAUCAUAUCACAACCAUCCCGACACUUUCCACAUUCUUAUUCGCAGGGCAGCAAGACUAGGUGAUUUUAAUACACUUGAUUAACUUGUAUUCUGACACUACCAGUUUCUACCCAAGUAAAACUAUACUUUCCCAAUCUUAUUCACAGCUUGCUUCCAUUGCAUGGAUUCCAAGUCAUGGGCCAUGUUAGUAGGCACAGAGUGCAAUGAAAUUAGUAUGAGAUGAUUAAUUAGUAGCAGAUACGCUUGCAUCUGCAGAAAAAUUUCAUGUGGCUAGCCAUUUCGGUCAAAUGAACUUACCACGUACGCCCAUUUUUUGCUCUGCAAGUAGGAUUUCUACAGCAGAUUCAGUGCAAGCCCAUUAACAGUUUGCCCACACAGUACCUCGUGACCUAUUAACCCCGGAUUCUAAGUGGUGCAUAAGCUACAGACAACACCUGGACCGAUGCUAGGGUGUGACAUUGGUAUUCAGAAAUCAAUAAGGGUUCAGGAACCGAUUUAAGACAAAUUGGGGAUUCAGACAGUUGUGUUUAGCUACCCAGGGUGAUCUUGGGGGCGGGGUCGGAGCCUGCCGACGCGGCACGCUCCUCGGCGUCGCGCAGCACCUGCUGCGUUAGCGCCAGCCGCGCCGAUACCUUCUUGCCCCCGUCGUCGCCGGCUGCGGCCGCCGAGCAGCGGAUGCGUACCAGCCCGGCACGGCCAACGGCCAGGCUCGGGGCUGGGCACGGGGGGACCUGGAACAGAAGGGAGGAGACCUGGCGGAAGCCAACACGUAGGAGGCUGCCACUCCGCAUGGCGGCCGCCAUUGGCUAGCGUGUGGAGGGAGGCGAGCGGCGGAACUAGCGGGCACGGCCGCACGGCGAACGGGUGAAGGGCAAGCGGAAGAAGAGAGUAGGCAGCGACCAAAUGCUCUGGGCUUUUUUGUGGUCUCAUUUGUUUUGCUAACUGGACCGGUUUGAGAUCUAGCCCAAUCUGGUGGAGUUUUGCUAAUUCGGCCAGAAACGCCUUUUUUUUUUGCAAUGUAAGAUGUUGAUUUAGCUUCUAUCUAGUCUCCACAAAGUCAAACUAUGGUCACGUUACAUGAAACACUCAAUAAAAUCAGCACUCCCUCUACUAACAAUUUAGAUCUUCCCAAUCUGGAGGACUAUUGCUAAUUUGGUUGAAUUUCUUUUUUUUUUUGAACAAGUUGUUGAUUUAGCUUGUAUCUAGUCUCUACAAAGUGCCUUGUUUCCACUUCUUUCAGCCAAGCUUGUAUUAUAAUCUAAGCGAAAAUUUUCUCACUUAUCGCUUUUCAAUUCUUGUAGUUCAAAUCUCUGAAGCUGCUUACCACAUAAGUGAGAAUAAGAAAAAGUAAGCAAGGUGUUUAGUGGAAUCUCGCUUAUUUUUACCGAUAAGCUGCUUAUAAGCAGAAACAAACAGGGUCAAAGACAAAGCAUGAUCACAAUACACGAAACACCGAAAAGUUCAGCAUUUCGUUAAUAAAAUAAAAUAAAGUUAGCAUUUCGUCAUAGAUUCAUACACUUAUCUAUUUUUCUGAGCUCAAUUUCCUCAGAUACGCACCAAUUAACAAGAAGAUAAAUGGACAAAUAUGGGAUGAAAGAGAAAUAAGCAACCAAAAGCGCGUGCCUUGACGGUUAACAUCGUUGGAGUGUCAAAUCAAUCAAUUCCCAUACGCCUUUGUGAUGGGAGGGUUUCCAGUCUCCUAGGUUAUUAGUCGCCUCAUGGACUCAUGGCGCCCUCUUGCUCUUCAAAAAGCAGCAAGCGAGGAAUCAAAGUUACAGAGGCAACGCUAAAAGGAACUGUUCAUGAUCAAUUCACCCAUAUUCACACAAACAGAACAUCGGUAAAAUGCAUAUCGUGCUUUUACCAAACAAAGUAAAAUCCCCGUGUUCUCUUUACCUAUGCAACUACCCUACCCUACUGCUCUUACAGCUAUCCACCACAUCUGUAGCACUCCCAUUCAUGUCACUACAGCUACUCCCCAACCCCACGCUGCCGUUGGUGCUGCUCCCGCCAUCUCUGUGGCCGCCGGUGCGGCCGUUGCUGCCGCUGCUGUAGAAGCACACGACCCUGCACUUCACCACGCCCGCGCCGGCCAGGUACACGUGGAACCCCGGCGCCACCAUCAUCUUCACGCUGGCCGGCUCCAGCCUCCCCGCCCGCCCGGCGGCGGCGUCCUCCAUGAACCGCGGGUCGAAGCGCGCCCCUCGGUCCGCGCGCACCACGGGCAGCGGCGGGUGGACGGACCGGGCCAGGAGGCGGACGCCCCACACGCCCUUGGCGGCCAGGAAGAACGCCUGCAGCAGCGGCUCCGGCCACGCCCGUGCGCGGGCCCAGCCGAGGUUGGACACCACCUCGCUCAUCUUGGCGUCACAGAACCGGCUGAGCCCCUCGCUGUAGUGCUUGGUGCCGUGCAGCAGGACCUCCUCCCACGUCAGCACGGCGACGGCGUGGUACGCGGCGAGGUUGGCCUCGCACCGGCCCGCGGGAUCCGGGGUGUGGACGUCGGCGUCGGUGUCCAGCUCGAAGUCGGCGUGGAACGCGCGGUUGAGGAAGCUCUCAAGGCUCGGGCCGGGGCUCGCGGGGCUGCGGAGGUGCGUGGACAGCGCGCGGGCGAGGUUUCGCACGGCGGCGCGCGCGGUGGAGACGGCGCGGAGGAAGGAGUCGACGGGGAAGGCGGCGGCGACCGUGGGCACCGCCGGGACCACGCGGGCCUCGAGGCGCGCGAGCUUGUGCUCCAGCUCGGCGAGCGAGUGCUUCAGGCGCGUGGUCUCCUCCAGCGCCUCGUCCCGCGUGCGCGUGGCCGCGGCGAGCCUCCGGGAGAGGUCGGCCGCGGCAAGGCGCCACUGCUCGCCGUCCCCCGCGUCGCCGGCCCCUCCCGAGGCCGACGUCGCCGACGGCGACGAGCGCGGGGUGGAGCGGCGCGUGAGGGAGACGAACAGCGAGCGGAUGACCGCGCCGGGCGACGCCGGCGCGAGGGCGCGCUGCUUGAAGCGGCAGUCGGAGCAGGACACCGCCGCGACGUAAGCCGCUGCGUCGGCGCCGCCGUCGCCGCCCUUGGCCCCGCGGGGCGUUUUCUUGCUGGCGCCGCCGCCGUGGCCGUGGUGGAGCGGCGUCGGGACGUGGGCGAACUUCUUCUCCGCCUUCUCCGGCGCCGCCUUCGUGCCGCCCCGCUGCUGCUUCGGCUCGGAGGCCUGACGGCGCAUUGCGCAGCGAACAGCUCAACCGCCACUCAAGCACGGCAAAAACCGUCGUAAUAGACGAGACGAGACGAGACUAGGCGAGGGAAGGGAGGCGGCGCACACUUACAACGGUGGGGAAGGGAGGGGGAGGCGAAGGCGACGAGACCAUGGCCACCACGGAUGGAGCGCGUUGCCUGCGUGAUACGUACAGCUCUGCCGCGAUGCCCCCCCUCUUCUGAUGGGGAUCUGACUAGGGGUUUUCUUGGGUUCUGACGACCUUGUUGAGGCCGGGGCUAUGGGCGGGCGGUGCUGGUACUGGUGCCCGUCCCGUCCCCGUGCCCUGUAGCUGGUGGCGACGUCGCGAGAUAGUGCUGCGGGCUGUGGGGCGGCUGGUGCUCCCGCGUGCGACGUCGUUUUUGGCAGCUCACUUCGGCCUCACGGGGAUGAGGUGAGGGGGAUGGGGCGCGGCGCGGCGCGGGACUUGAAUGCCGGUCAGGUCGGGUCGGUGGGGCGUGGUUAAUGCGCUGCUCCCCGGCCUCCCCUCUCCGCCCGGACGUCCUCUCCGCCCGUCCUCUCUCUGAAUCUUGAUUAGUACUCUAAGUACUGCUCGCUAAAUGGAGUCAGAGGAAGUAAUCUGGUUUUGAUUCCUCUGCCCUUGUGAUCCGGAUCGCGAAUUCCCGAUCCCCUCGGCUCCUGGCUUCUUGGAGGGCUCUAGGCAUGGGCAAAAGCAAGGCUGUUGCUCGUACACGUACGCUUCCUGCUCCCUCGUACCCUCUGUCGCACAGUGUCACACCGAAGCAUCUGUCGGGACACGAGUACUUGAAGCACUCUACGGCCUACGGUCAUACUUGUACGUAACUAGGUUUCGAGACCAUGCGCGAAAGAAGAAAAGCCGGUCGCUAAACACCUACAGUCAUCACGUUAAGAGCGGUUGGCAUGUCGCGUAGGGCAACAUGAGCCCGGAGCUCGAUCUGGACCGGCGCCUCGCCCGGCCUUGCUCGAACGAAUUCGGGAGUGGAGACACGAUCCGUAGCCUGUGCGACGAAGUGAAUGCCACCCUCUGUCCCCUACCGUGCUCGCGACGGCGGUAUCAGCCACACGGUGCCGACCGGGUUCUCUGUUGUCGCUCGCGGGCAGAUUUGCAGCGCGCAAGGAGCCAACGACGACGUCUGCGAAUGACUCGCGCAGGCUGAUUGCUUAUGCGACGAGAAUGCGAUUCCAACUUCCAAGUCAAAAGCAUGCAGUUCACACUUGAGCAGCUACCAGAGGUCAGAGGGAGCCAGGGAGCUCAGAAACGCGAACUGUGGGGCUAGAUGGUAAAACUCGCUGUUUUCUACAAGAGGGGUGCUGAGCUGGAAGCUCUUACUUCUUCCUUCUUGGUGAUGUAUCAGAAUCAGAUGAUGCGUACACUUGACGACGUAGAGGCUGGAAUUGUUGUUUUCAUUAUAUAUGGAUACAUCGUUAGGAUUAAUUAGUAGCAUGUCGGGGUACGCAACCUUACGUUCCACGCAUGAGCAGACGACUUUCGCGAGUGCCGUUCCUGUCACCGCUGUGAGUGAAGUUAAUGAACCAGCGCUGUCAUUUUCCAGCGGCUGCUAUUGAAAGGUCCUUAGGCCUUGUUUAGUUGCCCAACUUUGGGGUGCCAAAAUUACUCUAGCAACACUGUAGCGUUUCGUUUGUAUUUGUGAAUUAUUGUCCAAAUAUUGACUAAUUAGGCUCAAAAGAUUCAUCUCGCAAAGUACAACAAAACUGUGCAAUUAGUUUUUGAUUUCGUCUACAUUCAGUACUCCAUGCAUGUACCGCAAGUUUGAUGUGAUGGGGAAUCUUCUUUUUGCAUAGUGCCAAAGUUGGUAUUUUGGAGUGAACUAAACAUGACCUUAAUUUUGCGAAACUUGUACAUGACACUUGGGAGUCGCGAAUUGUUUAAUCUGUCAUCUUUCUUCGGCAGUUAUUGCAUUUGCCACUAUCUAGACUUCGUGAGUUCGUGACACACAAGACACGGGAGAAGUGAUCCAAAGGUUCUUUGAUUUUGAAGGAGAUAGGCAUUGCCUUGUUGUUGGAAAACUCGUUUGUAACGAACACUUGUAACAUGAGUUAUUGUGAUCAUGAGCUGGUUUAGUUGUAGAUAGAGUUGUUUAAACAACCAAAUCUCUUAUAACUAGGAGGCUGGUCAGAUCACAACAACCAUGGCGUGUAAGCUACGCUGAGGGCUAUUAUCAGCUCUAUAUAAACAUGCAGGGCGGCCCCUAUGUUAGGUACACGCUUUCAUCCAACUUACAUGGUACCUAGAUCCAACCUCAAACUCAUCUAGGCAAUGGCGAGCUCUUCAACCUCUUCCCUCGUCGCGGCGCCCAUUGGGCUCCCGGUCACGGAGAAGCUCACGCGCCACAACUUCUCCAUGUGGAAGGCGCAGAUCAUGCAUGCCAUCCGAGGCGCCCAGCUGGAAGGGUUCUUGGAUGGCAAGGCCAUCGAGCUUCCCAAGGAGAUUGAAGUGCUGAUUGACGCGAAGAAGGUUUCAACGUCGAACGAGGCAUACGCCAAGUGGAUAGCAGCCGAUCAAAAAGUGCUUGGCUACCUGCUCUCGACGGUCUCCAAGGAGAUCCUGACUUAGAUCGCUGACAAGAAGAUGGUGAUUGAAGCUUGGCACGGCAUCGAGGAGAUGCUAGCGUUGCAGACCCGCGCCAAGUCCGGGAGCACACGGAUCACCCUCGCCACGACACAGAAAGGCAACAUGUCGGUGGCGGACUACAUCGGCAAGAUGAAGUCCCUCUCAGAUGAGAUGGCGGCCUCCGACAAGCCUCUCGAUGAUGAGGAACUUGUCAGCUACAUCCUCACCGAGUUGGACGCUGAGUACAACCCGGUUGUUUCAGCCGUUCUGGCACGGUCGGAGUGGAUCACCGUGGGGGAGUUGUACACCCAACUCCUCAUGUUCGAGCAGCAGAUUGAUAUGUUGUACAGCGGGUCCAAGUCAUCCGCAAACGCCGCAAUGCGCGGUGAAAGAUGUGGUUGUGGUAGCAACAUGUGCGGUCGCGACAAUGGUGGCGGCCGUGGUCGUGGUAAUGGUGGUCGUGGCAGCUACAACACGAACAACAAUGGAGGAGGCAUGAAGGACAAGGUGAAGUGCCAAGUGUGCUUCAAGGGAGGACACACCACAACUGAGUGUUAGUACCGCUUUGAUCAGGAUUUUAUCCCUGAUGAAAGGAGCGCUGGAGUGGCCAUGAACACCUACAGCAUCAACACCAACUGGUAUGUCAACUCGGGCGCCACGGACCACAUCAUCGGUGAGCUGAACAAGCUUGUUGUCCACGAUGUCCACAACGGCAACAAGCAGAUCAGGGCAGCCAACGGUGCAGGUAUGAACAUCGAUCGUGUUGGUCAAGUUAUGGUGCAUACCCCUAGUCAUAAUCUUUACCUUGAUGAUGUUCUACAUGUUCCUGAUGCUCGCAAGAAUUUAAUCUCUUUUCAUAGACUCGCUUCCAAUAAUCAAGCUUUCUUAGAAUUCCAUCCUGAUUUUUUCUUAAUAAAGGAUCAGGCAACGAAGAGGGUUCUCCUUUGAGGCAAGUGUAGAGGAGGCCUCUACACCCUUCCUUCCAGUGCGCAUGAGCCGAGUAGCAAACAAGUCCUAGCUACAGCUAAGCCUUCAUCAACAAGGUGGCAUAGUCGACUAGGGCACCCAUCUUUUGAAAUUGUUCAUCGUGUCAUUAGUUAUAAUAAUCUUCCUUGGUCUAAUGAUGAGAAUAAAGACCUAGUCCGUGAUGCAUGUCAACAGGCUAAGAAUCAUCAGCUUCUACACCCAAAGUCAUCGAGUGUGUCUAAAUUUCCUUUAGAAUUGGUUUUUCUGAUGUAUGGGAUCCUACUCCAGAUUCUAUUGGAAGGAAGAAAUAUUAUGUUAGUUACAUUGAUGACUUCAGCAAAUUUACUUGGAUUUAUCUUUUAAAGCACAAAUCAGAAGUGUUUCAGUGCUUCCAUGAAUUUCAAAAUCUUGUUGAGCGUUUUUCAAUCGCAAGAUCAUAUCUAUGCAGACAGAUUGGGGUGGCGAGUAUGAAAAACUUAAUUCCUUCUUUCAACAAGUUGGGAUAUUCCAUCACGUCUCAUAUCCAUAUGCACACCGUCAAAAUGGCUCAGCAGAGUGCAAACAUCGGCACAUUGUAAAAGUAGACCUUGCACUCUUAUCUCAUGCGAGCAUGCCCCUCAAGUUCUGGGAUGAGGCAUUCCUUGUAGCUACAUACUUGAUUAAUCGCACAGCCACAAAAGUUCCUUGAUUUCUCUACACCUCUUGAGGUUCUACAUCAUGAAAGGCCAGAUUAUUCAGCCCUGCGAAUUUUUGGAUGUGCCUGUUGGUCUAAUAUUAGGCUCUACAAUGAUAGAAAAUUUGAAUUCCGUCUAAGAAGUGUGUGUUCCUAGGCUAUAGUAACCUUCACAAAGGGUUCAAAUGCCUUGACAUAUCUAUCAGGCGAGUUUACAUCUGGAUGUUGUGUUUGAUGAAUCUAUCUUUCUAUUCUCUGAACUUCAUCCAGAUGCUGGUGCCUUGCUUCGAUCUGAAAUUUUAUUGCUACCUCCUUCUCUUGUUGACAUGACUAGGGAUGCUACAGUAUUGAUCAUGUGCUCGAUAGUUCACCUGGUUCUACUAAUCGAUCUAUUGAUCCUGGAGAAAAUAAUGCUGCAGGGAACCUACAAGGGCGUUAUCACAUGGGAGGAGGCUUGGGCGUGGGACAUGGAGCAGAUUCAGGUGCUGCGGCACUGGAACCAGGCAGCGAAUCGGCUUCGAGAUCGCUACCGGACCCUCCAUCCCCUGCGCACGCUCCGGUCUAGCCACGGAGCGCCACGACGACAGUGUUGUCUCCUACUGCGGGACAAGCGGGGCAUUGUCCCCCACACUCCUACCACGCGGCCUCUCCCAAACCGCCACAUCGCCGCCUGCCGCGCCGCUGAGUUGCUUGCAGCACGGGGCAAAUCCGCCUCUGCUGUCGAGCCCAGAUCUUCUGCGAAGGUGGAUCCUGAUGCUGCCGUGAGCUCUCCAGCAGCACAUCCGGAUGUGCCAGUGCAACAAGACUUCGUUGCUGCUCCUCCGCGUGCAAUAACUCAAUCUCAAAGUGGAAUAAGCCAAAAGUAUACAGCGAUGGCUCAGUACGGUACGUACUUCUCACAGCCUUGGGUGAGCCUCAUAAUUUGGAUGAAGCACUUAGUGAUCCCAAUUGGAAACAUGCUAUGGAUUGUGAGUAUCAAACUCUUUAGAAAAACAAAACCUGGCACUUAGUACCUGCUAAUUGUGGUAAAAAUGUGAUUGAUUGUAAGUGGGUCUACAAGAUAAAAAGGCAUACUGAUGGAACAAUUGAUAGGUACAAGGCUAAGUUGGUAGCAAAGGGGUUUAAGCAAUGAUAUGGUAUUGACUACGAGGAUACAUUUAGUCCAGUCAUCAAAGCUGCAACUAUUCGGUUAAUCCUGUCCAUAACAGUAUCAAAAGGUUGGAGCGUUCGCCAACUAGAUGUACAGAACCCGUUUCUUCAUGGUGUUCUUGAGGAAGAAGUGUUUAUGAGGCAGCCACGAGGGUACGAGGAUAAGUCUAAACCAAGUCACAUAUGCAAGCUAGAUAAAGCUCUAUAGGGUCUCAAACAGGCAUCAUGGGCCUGGUAUGCUAGGCUAAGAAUGAAGCUGCAGGAUCUUGGUUUUAAACCUUCAAAGGCAGAUGUUUCUCUCUUCUAUUACCAUAAAGGAUCUAUAACCACUUUCUUGCUCAUAUAUGUUGAUGAUAUUAUUAUUGCUAGCUCUUUACAGGCAACAACCUGUGCCCUCCUAAAGGACCUUGGAGCUGAAUUUGCGUUAAAAGAUCUUGGUAAUUUUAGUUACUUCCUCGGUAUUGAAGUGAAGAAAACCAAAGAAGGCAUUUUACUCACUCAAGAAAAAUAUACUAAUGAUCUGUUGAAGCAUGUUGGCAUGAUACAGUGCAAGCCAGUUAAUACUCCUAUGUCUACAAUCGAAAAACUUAUUGCUCGUGAAGGAGAGUCCUUGGGACUUGAAGAUGCAACUAGGUAUAGAAGUAUUGUGGGGCGUGCUGCAGUACUUAACUCUCACACGGCCAGAUAUUUCUUUUGUUGUGAACAAGGUAUGUCAAUAUCUCAAUUCGCCUACAACUCUUCAUUGGACGGCAGCCAAGCAAAUUCUGAGGUACUUGAAGUUCCCAGUGGGAGUUGGUUUACAUAUACAAAGGUCGCUCUCUACAUAAGUGAGUGCAUUCUCUGAUGCGGAUUGGGCUGGUUGCUCUAAUGAUAGGCGGUCCAUAGGAGGCUUUGCAGAAUUUUUCGGUUCCAAUCUAGUGUCUUGGAAUGCUAGAAAACAGGCAACGGUCUCAAGGUCAUCGACUGAAGCUGAGUAUAAAUCGGUAGCAAAUGCUAUAGCUGAGGUCAUGUAGAUGUAGAAGCUACUUGAAGAACUAGGAGUACAAUCUGCUAAAGUUGCUCAAUUGUGGUGUGACAAUAUUGGUGCUACAUAUUUAGUGGCAAAUCCCGUGUUCCAUGCAAGAACUAAACACAUCGAGGUAGAUUAUCACUUUGUCAGAGAAAGGGUAGCACAAAAACUAUUGCCAAUACAAUUUGUGUCAAUUGGAGAUCAAGUAGCAGAUGGCUUCACUAAACCAUUGCCUGUUCGAUAGAUGGAGCUAUUCAAGAACAAUCUCAACUUGGGACGUUGUGAUUGAGGGAGAGUGUUGGAAAACACGUUUGUAACACUUGUAACAGAUAGAUUCUACCAUGAGUUGUUGUGAUCAUAAGCUGGUUUAGUUGUAGAUAGAGUUGUUUAAACAACCAGAUCUCUGGUAACUAGAAGGCCGGCCAGAUCACAACAACCAUGACAUCUAAGCCACACUAAGAGCUAUUCUUAGCUCUAUAUAAACAUACAGGAAGGCCUGGUACACGCUUUCAUCCGACUUACACUUGUGUCUUGAUCUCGAUCUCCUCUCCCGUCCCCACUGAGUGCCGGGAUGAUUUGUGCGUGGGGAGACGAAGGAUGAUUUGUGCACGCAGCGGCACAGCCAAGAGGUUGGAGGACGGUAGAGAGAAAUGGAAGCAAGAUGCUGUGGUGGCAAAAUAUGGAGCUGGACGAGAAAACCUUGUGGAAAUAUCGAUGCUUUUAAGAUCGAAACAAGGAUGGAUAUGUUGGAGAGUUUCAUGAUUCAACGCAGUACAUCGGCUCCAGCAGGAGGAAGUAAAAGGAUGCACCUCUGAUGUACCAAUGAAUGCCGUAGCACGUCCAGACAGGGAAGUCCUGUGAUAUGUGCAAGUCGGUGCUCGAAGAUCAACUGUGCCGUCUCCGUCUGUACGCUCUUUGCAAAAAGAAAGAAAGAAGAAAGAAGAAAGAAGAAAGGAAGAUCAGUUGUAUGCCUCCUGACCCCUGUACAUGAUUCAUGCAGCGUCGCCUGCACUGAGCGGAGUAAGCACUGCUGCCAAAGUGAUGGUCCCGGGCUCCCGGCUUCCACUACUAACUUCUAAGGACAAUCCCAUGCAACUCCCCGGUCCUGGAGCGUUGUUAUAUUGUUGAACCAUGAAGGAUACAGAAUUGAUGACUGAAACCGAAACUUAGCAACUACUGUAUAUCGAUAUCGCCUUGCCUCAUCCAGUGAACCGACACUGACUUCCCCUCCAUGUUUAGAAAAAAAAAUCAUUGACAUCUACUUCUUCAGAAUCUACCAGUUUGUUGCACACACCCGGUCACAGGCUCACAGCUCACCAUUUCUGACAUCCUUGUUCUAGUCCAGAUGUGGCAAAUGCAGCAAUAUAGCUAUAUGUGGAGGGAGACGCCACUAUAAGUUUUCAGUUCUGAAUCCGUCGUCGGCUGCGACUUGCAUCAUGACAAAAUUCAGUGCAGCCUCACACGCAGGAGAUGGUAACAGGUAGGUAGCGCUACACCGGCACACGCUGAUCAGCAACCGGCGGCAGGUCAAUCCAACUAUUGAAGGCCCCCCUCCGGUGUCUCAUCAUGGGCGAACCACUUUCCAGCCAGAACAGCACCUGACCUUUACUCGUUGAUGCAGACCGCUAACAGCUGAUGCGCCUCGCGGAACCGUGCAUGCGGCUGCACAUGCUUCAAUCGAACCGAGCCCGGCCUGACCGAUGAUGGGCCAGCCGCUGGCUCGCUCUCAGUCUCAUAUCGUGCAGGGAAAGCAAAGGUCGUCGUCAGCGCUGAGCCCAUGCAUGAAGAACUGGCAGAGGAAGCUCUAGCAGCAUGCCCAAUUCGUUCCCGGUUCCUUGUCAAGACCCAUGCUUCCGGCUUCCCCGAGUACACCGAUACGUACAGGCGUACAGCUAGAGCUAGCUAGACGAGUACAUGUGUACUGAAGAACUGGCACCUAACCUACGCCUGCGCCUGUACAUCGUUGCAUCGAUCGCAUUGAUGCCCGUAGGGACGGGUACAGUACCUGGCUACCCCGGGGGCCACCGCUAAAAGAACAGUGACAGCCCACCCUGAUCGAGGACCAGCAGAGGUCAGAUCGAUCAACGCGAACGCGAUUCAGAGCCGCAUGCAAUUCAACGAGCGAGAUCGGAAAAUCUAGAUGCGUGCACCGAUCCGUUUACAUGAUGGACGAUGCAUGGAUUCCAUCGUAGUCUCAUAACAGUACGUGGAUACUUUUAUGGAUCGGAACAGAGGAACGUGGCUAGCUCUGCGCUCAGGACUGUACCGUCUUUUACGUACCCACUCCAGCAGUGGGCCGUGUGCGCGUCGUACAAGGUGCACGGCCGUGUGAUCGUCCUAGUAGGCGUCGGCCCAACUACUGGAGUUAGUGUGUAGCUUGGACGGGCAUCCAGGUCGCUGCCAUUUGCUCUCAACGACCACCUACGAGGCGAUGACCGCUGGCCUGUGGUCGAUCGAUCCGAAUGCGGAUGUAAAUUUGAAUCCCGAUGUCGGAGUAGGUCGUAGAUCGUGUGUCGUAGACGUAGACCAGUACUGGUAUUUACAGAGGCUGGGGCCUGGGCGCUCGACCGGCGCGGUUGAUGGUCGGUUGGUUGUUGACUGUGGCGACCAUAAAGAACAAGUACCUUCUGUUUCCGAGUUAGGAAUUAGGCCGUGUUUAGUUUGGCGAAUUUGGGGGUGCUAAAUUACUGUUACAGCACUGUAGCACACUGUAGCGUUUCGUUUGUAUUUGUGAAUUAUUGUCCAAAUAUUGACUAAUUAGGCUCAAAAGAUUCGUCUCGCAAAGUACAACAAAACUGUGCAAUUAGUUUUUAAUUUCAUCUACAUUUAGUACUCCAUGCAUGUACCGCAAGUUUGAUGUGAUGGGGAAUCUUCUUUUUGCAUAGUGUCAAAGUUGGGAGUUGGGAGUAACUAAACAUGGCCUUAGUGUAAUCCGCUAAUACCCUGCCCUGCGCUGCAUGUGCACGUAGUCCUUGCUCCUUACAAUCUUUAGUACGAUCGACGUGUCACCAUCGCCGGAUGCAGAUCGGUCGCAGGGGGCCGGGCGACGAGCCGACGAUCAUAUGGCAUCCCGUGUCCCCUGGACCUGGAAUGAUGAAUGGAUUAAUGAUUCACCGCGACCGCGGUCCAGGCACCGCAAGUCCGCGUGGGCAAGGCAGCAGAGACCUCUCGCUUAGCUUGCUGGCCCCGGCCGUGCGUGGUCGAGGACAACCAGUGACCAGUCCACCACGGUCCACGGCUCGCACCACUGAUCGACCGCGGCAGGCGGCCGGCCUCCGCGCGCGAACAGGCAUGCACCACCUCGGUCGUCGCCGCCUGGUCUCGUGCUCCGAUCCCAAGGCUGAAGGCCCCCGACCCUUUGUUCGAGCAUGGCAAGGCAUGCGACGCAAACAGGCAGGGGCGGCUAGCAGAGCCCACCGAGCCGGUGCCGCGGUGCCGGCAGUUUAUCUGUUCUCUUUGCAUGCACACAGACUCGCAGAGGGAAACGGGGCAGAGGACUGGAGCGAUUUGUCAGCGGCGGUGACAGUGGCCUGUAGCCUGUAGGUAGUGGACUCGGCAGAGCGGACCGCCGCUGCUGCCGGCGAGUGGUGGUGUCGCUUGCGCGCGCGCUGGCUUUUCCUCGCCCCAGUCCAAACCGCCACCUCUUCGCUGUCGUCGUGAGUCCUGACGUUCCUGGUUUUUGUCCACGGGAUGACGGGGAUGCAGCCGUGUAGGGUGUAGCUGUAGGCCGGGUGGGAUCUCGCAUCUCGGCGUCUAGCAGCGUAGCUCAAAAUCGAGCUGCUUUUGCCGCCUCUAUCUUUUAGUCAGAUCAGAUCGUGUGUCGCUGCCAUGCAUGGACAUGGACAUGGGGGCAUCGAUCGGCAGGGGCCAGGGCAAUGUGCAACUCACGAGUCGACCACAUGACGCGUGACUCACAUCUGCAGUACAUCUCUCCGGGUGGGCAUGUGAUGCCCUGCGCUUUUGGAAGUACAGGGGCAGGGCCAAGGAAUUGCUGAUCGCGCUUCUGAAACAGAAAGCAUUUUGGCGAUGCCCACAUGGAUCGUGCUCCGAAAUGAUUGCGUCAAAGCAGGCUCUUUUGGGACGGCCUAAUAAUCAGGUCAACUGAAUGAUAGGAGAACUGGCACGUCAUGGUGCCGGGUGUGGUUUGUCACGUCAACAGACUGUCAGCACAGAUAAUGCAGCACUUUCAGUUCCUCGAUUGGUGGGCUACUGAUCUUGGUCGGGCUCCCGCCCUCCGAUACUGUUACUCGUGCGACAAAGAAAAUCAUUCUACUCGUGGGCCAAAAAAGAAAGUCAUUCUAGUAUUAUAUUAAGUCCGAUCAACUAAAAUUAAACUAAAUUCACGUAAAAAAGUAUCAAUAUUAAUUAUGGUACCAAAUCGAUAUCAUUACAUUCACCAUAAAUGUUAAUAUUUUCUAUAUCAAUUUGAUCAAACUUUUAAGAGGAAUUUCCCUAUAUGCUAUUGGAAAUUUAACUCAUCCUUUUAAUUCCAUUAAAAUUUAGUCCAUCCCUUCAGUGCCAUUGAAAAUUUAACUCCAUUCCUUAUGUGCCAUUGCUGUCAAAUAGCUGUUAAGUGAAGAUAGAAAACACAAUAUUACCCCUAAACAAGAAGAGAUGAAUGCUCUCUCCUGCCGUUGCAACCCAGAACAAUACUUUGUGAGCACAGAACAAGCAACGCACUUCAAUGCAUAUGCAGAUAUGCAUAGACCAUACAUGUUCUUGCUUCACUAAUAUCUGACCAAAUCAUUACAUUUGCUGAUAUGCAUAGACCAUACACUUUCGAGCGACGAUGUCAGCCUGCUGCCCAUCUCCUCAAUCCAUCUGUCGCCUUGCUUGCCUCCUCCUGUGUUGCCCCCUCCAGCGACGAAGACGGGACUCUAGCAGACGGACAGCGCUAGCAGACGCGACCCCCUCGUGGCACUGGUGGACGGACGGGAGAGGGGCGCGCCGACCCCUUCCUGACGCGGGCGCGCCGACCAGGGAGUCGAGCGACGCUCGCGGGCGCGCGAUGCGUCCUGCGCGCGCGACCCAGCAGGGCGCCGACCCGCGGGGGACGUGUGAUGCGAGCGGAGGGACCGCGAUGCGGUCAUGCUGCCCGCGCGCCUCCAGGAGCUCGAUGCGGAUGCGGAAUCGGUCCUGGGAUUUCCAGGGAGAACGAAGAGGGGCGUCGUUUCUGGAUGAGGCGUCCCGCGGGGGUAAGAGCAGGCAAAAUUAUGCAUCGGCCUCUUUAAAAUUUUCUUUCCCAAAUAUUAUCAUCCUACAACAAAUUUUCAAAAAUUAACUUUCCUAAUAUUUCAAAACAGCCACAUUAUCACAAGUGGACCCACUCUAGCUGGGCUGCCCUCACCUCCCCCUCACAAUCUCUCCCUCCCCUCACGACCUCCUAGAACAGAGCUCCUCGGCCAUGUUGUCGCCGUCCACCGACUGUCGAAGCCGAGCCCACACUUCCCUUCUCCUCUCCCUCCUUUUUAACCCUGUCGGCCUGCUCCCCCUCCAAAUCCAACACAAUGUGUUACUACUCCUCAAUUUAAUUGAGCCAGCUUGCAUCAUUAUCUCCUCCGUGGGCACCAAGACCUAUGCACAGAACUCAAGCACCAACAGUAGUUGCCGCCAUCUACGAGCACUCCUCGUCAGCCGCCUCACACCCACGGCACAGGCACAGGUGCCAGCACUGCAGCAGCAGCACACACCCCUCCUCCUGCGCUACACGCCUGAGCCCCCACCUGUCGUCGGCGCCCACUUGCUGGAGCCGCUCACCAAGCUCCGCGCCAUGUGCUAGGAUGCGCUCCAGGUCCACCUGCACCGCGCGCUCCACAGCCUGACACCAUGGUCACACGAUCCAGCGCCACGCCUCCUCCAACCCCUACUAUAGCGGUGCAGCCUCUCAUUAGCCAUCCAUCUUGCCGGAAUCGUGGGCGGCGAAGGCACGACAGAAGGCAGCGGCAGAGGAAUUGUGUGAUGGGGCUCCCGACGUCGCUCCCCGUCUAUCGGACCACCACCGCCACCGCCACGAGAAGGUGGCCCACCAGAUGCGUGGCAUAGGGGAGGCUGACAUAGUGUCGCACCGCCACUGCCACGAGAAGGUGGCCCACAAGAUGCGUGGCAUAGGGGAGGCUGACAUAGUGGUGACGACGACGUGCCUCGGCGUGGCGAACCUCGCGGGGGAGGGCAUCCAUCACAACGUGGGCUCGACCUCGGCACACGCCGUGGCGGUGGCAACGGAAAUGCAGGACACCCCUGAGAGACCGCCGCGGAGGCCGACGCCACGGCGGUCACCACGUUGACGACGACGAUGGCAAUGGUGGCAGCAUCCGCGGGAGGUCGGCGGGCCGCCGAGACGCGAUCCGCGGGAGGUGCGGCUGGACCACGUCGUCGACGCGAGCCGAGCGGGCUCCUCCCGGCGCAGGCCCUGGCCUGGAGCACGGCGAGGGAGGCCAGCGCGUCUUGAAAGCUACCGUGCGCGUCAGCAUGGCGGAGGAAAAACAAAGCGGCGCAAAGGAAUCUGCGCGCGAGAAAGGAGAAUGGGGGGUGAUUGGGGGAGGAGUGUCGACGCGGAAAUAUGCAGGGCAAUGGAGGAGUUUUUAGUGUCGCUAUAUUUUUUGGAAGAAUAGGGAUCUAUUGGAGCUUGAUUUCUUGUGUUUUUUUCCCUAAACAAGAUUUAGGAGUAAUAUAAGGGAGAUUUUGAAGUUGCUCUAAGAUUGGCAAUAGAAUACAAGAUGGAUGGCAUUUUGAUAGUGUGAACAUGUGGCUUGAUGGAAAAACACCUGCAGUGACAUCUAGGGAUGGAGUUAAAUUUUCAAUGGCAUUGAAGGGAUGGUCUAAAUUUCGAUGGUGUAGAAUGGAUGAGUUAAAUUUCCAAUGGCAUAGAAUUUUCUCAACUUUAAAUGGUUAGACUUAGAAAGGAACUAAAAUAACUUUAGUUUAGAGCACAUAUUCUUCCAGCAUCGUGCACUGUAAAGCUUUGGAUUUAGACCAUGUUUGAAUCCAUUAGCUCUAAGUUAGCUGAUAUAAAUUAGCUGAUGCACAGUUUACAUCUGAGCGCAACUAAUAGUUAGUGUAAGGCAUGUUAAUGGGACCGUUUUACGCAUCGUAAUUUAGUAGCUGGAGUCCAAAAAUUGCAACCGGGCUCGGCCCAACAGCCCCGUCAAGCUAAAAGCCAUGAGAUUUGCCAAUUGGGCUUCUUCAUUGCUGAAUCAGCAGAAGGGUACUAAAGGCCCAUAGUACCCACCCAAACAAGUUGGCCAUUUGACGGCACAUCUCUGUUAAAACUGGAAGAGACAAAAUUGUAAACUGAACUGACACUAUCCUUUCUACGCUUCAGCGUGGAAUAAACAAAUUGUCAAUUCCAGUUAGACACAAAGUUAGCAGGCGAUUGGCCUUGUGAGCUGUUCGCAACUACGAUCACGAAAUCCCCCGUAGCAUACGAACUGAUAUCCCCAUUUUUGAGGUCUCCAGCGGCGGUCUGCAGCUCUGCACGCGCCAGCCAAACCCAUUUUCCCCGCGAGGCCGCGACUGCCCUUCCCCGGCUUUCUUCCCCGGGAAGGCUCGCUGGUCUCCGCAUUCCACCCAUGACAUGGGAUUUUAGUCUAGAUAGUGGGAAAUGCAAUCACGAUGUGCGCCCUCCACUUGCAGCCUUUGGAGCUACCACGAUGACCGAUCGACCGUCUUCUUCUUCUUCUUUUUUGAAAAGUGAAUUUGACCGUCUUCCACCAAAUACUCUAAGUGCAGUGUUGACGCGCUUCAUCAGCUUGGAUGUCAAGAAAUUGUGUGGGAAGACCGCGACCCCAGGGUCCACGGGGCAGAAUCUUCCCCUGCACAAUUCAGGUGCUUCGAACUCCAGGGAUAUAAAGGCCCGAAGCGCCUAGAUCGUCACCACUCACCAUCCUCCACCCAAUCCAAGACCCAGCUGCAAACUUGCGAUCCUCCCAUUCCCAUCUGGCCCCCUCCAAGAACCACGAUCGCAUUAAAAAAAAAAUGCUGAACUCGACUGUGGAGCUGAUCGCCCUCUGGGCGUCGUCCAGCCCGUCGCUCCUGGCAUUCUGCUUCUCCCACCUCAUCAUCGCCGUCCUCCUCCUCGGCGGCCGCGGCUGCGCGUCAGGACUGGAUGCUGACGGCCGUGGAGACUGGAAUUCGGAAGCUGCCCGGGCUGAACCCCUGCAUGGUGUCCAAGUACAAGGGGGUAGAAAGAGCGAUGGAGGACAAGAGGAUGCAGCCGCCGCCAUGGACGUGGCCAACAGCCGCGGCCGCGGCGGCGAGGUCGACGCGGCUGCUGUCCAGUUGGGGGCUAUCGAAAAGAAGAGCGGAGCUGAGGGGGAGUCCAUCGUCGCUGCUGGCGCGUCGCAGGAGAGACGCGCCGGCGAUGCGGAGGAGGAUGAGCUCAUGGAGCGGGCCGAGGAGUUCAUCCAGAGGAUGAACCGAGCCUGGAGGACGGAGAACGUGAGCCUCUGCUGACGCGCUGCUGCUGUCUCUUGGCCUCUUGGGUGUUGCAGGUGCUCUGCCUGUGCGUUCUGAUUCAGAACGGGGAGGAAAGGCAGAGGAAAUUAUCGAACUUUUGACUUGCCCUGCUAUCUGCGGACGAAUUUUGAUGUCACUAAUUUCGGGAACCUUUUCUCUAACCUACGGAGUAUAACAUAAGAUGGAGUUUGAAAAUUGGCUCGUGUAGUAAACUGUAAACAAGCAGUGUAACAUAAGAUGGUAGCAUUACAAUUCCUCCUCAAUCAGUCGCGGUCAGGAGUAAGCUCACGCAGCUAGCAACAAUCCAAAGACAGCGAUGAAACGAAUCGCCCAGUGAACUCCGACCAGAAUAAACUCUCAGAAAACAUCCCAACAACAAGAAGAAAAACAUGACGUGGCUAAUGAACUUACCACACCGUCACACGUACAUAGGGUCUUCGCAACAGCACGUCGCCUAGCAAUCUACACGUGCUACGGCGCUUACCAUGGAGGCAUGGAGCUCCUUCUUGCCUACGCAACAUGCGCCAUCCUCGUCGUCUCCUCCCUGCGCCUCUUCGCCGGCGCCUGCAGCAACCUGCCCCCACCUCCUGGACCUCGACGCCCACCCGUACCGCUCCCUCGCGCGCCACAAUUCGCCCAUGGCGCUCCGCCUGGGCACGGUCACCACGCUCGUCACCUCCUUCGCGGACGCCGCCUGCUACGUUCUGCAGCUCCACGACGCCGCCCUCUCGGUGCGCUCCGUCCUGGACGCCGCCCGCGCGCGCGUGCACGGCGAUCACUCCGUGGGCUGGCUCGCCCUGCGCAAGGUGUGCUCCGCGGAGCUCUUGGCGUCGCGCCGCCUCGAUCGCCGCGACAAGGUGCGGCAGCUCGGGUCCCACGUGGCCCGCAGCCCGCUUGGCGCGCGAGGACACAGACGUCGCCUUCGGCCACGCGGCCUUCACGACCGUGCUGAACCUGCUCUCCUGCGCCAUCUUCUCUUCCGACCAUGAUCAGGGUAGCCGCCUUCCCCCGUCCCCCAAUGCCGGCCGACUUCUCCUGGCCUGGCAGCCGCACAGGAGAUCGGACAGCCACGCCGCCCCGGAGGGCCUCAGCCGCGGGCGGCUGCAUCCCCCAGUUCACGCAGCGUCCAGCUGAGAUGCGGCGGCGCCCUGGCUCCGGCCAGCGGUGGCUUGAAGCGUGCUGCGUGCACGGCGACGACCAGGGUGAAUACCGUCCGGGGUGGACGGUAAAUGAAAUACCGUCCCCUUGGGUCGUACUCGUCUGUUGGAUCCUGCAUGUGCGGUCACGAUUCACCCGGCCCAGACUUCCGCCUCCACCUCUCAAGACUCAGAGCGCCCUCCACAGCCGCGACCGCCAUCGCCGAGGAUAUCGGCGCUGCCGCCGGGAAGCCUCCGAGCACAGUAAAAAUCAGGAUUCCCUGACAUCCAAAUCGCCACCAAAGAAAUCUGCAAAACUUGAGCAUUCCGAUCGAGCAGAUCGAUCGCGGUCGCACACUCGCACGUAACCGCGCCAUCUUCUCCGCCGACCGCGGCGCGUCGGGGCGUUCAAGGGCGUGAUCGAGGAGUUCACGGUGGCCGUCGGCUUUCCGAACGUGUCCGCCUUCUUCCCCAUGCUAGCGCCGCUGGACCCGCUGCGCCUGAGGGCGCGCCUCGGUAGGUUGUUCGACAGGUUGUGCGCCAUUUUCGGUGAGCAGAUCGAGCGGCGCAUGCAGGAGCGCGCCGCCCGGGAGCCUCCCAAGAACGACUUCCUGGACUUGCUGCUCGACUACCGCGGCGCGGAGGAUGGCCAGGGCUUCGGUCGGCAAACGCUGCUCUCAUUGCUUACGGUGUAGUGUUUUUACAGUGCUGCAUCUUUGGAUACUCAUGGAGCUCGCCGCGUCAGAACUGGAUACUGACGGCCGUGGAGAGUCGACUUUGGAAGUUGCCCAGACUGAACCCCUGCAUGGCGUCGAAGUACACAGUGGGGGAAACAGCAAUGGAAGACAAGAGUAUGCAGCCUCCGCCAUGGACAUCGCCAGCCGCGCCCGCGCCGGCGAAGGCGUCGCCGAAGCGGGCGAGGUUGACGCGGCUGGUGUUCAGUUGGAGUUGUAGGCUAGCGAAAAGAACAGCGGAGCUGAGGGAGAGUCCGAUGCCACUCACGCGUCGCAAGAGAAACGCGCCGGCGAUGCGGAGGAGGAUGAGCUGGUGGUGCGGGCCGAGGAGUUCAUCCAGAGGAUGAACCGAGCGUCCGAGCCUGGAGGAUAGAGAGCGUGCGCCUCUGUUGACGCGCUGCUGUUGUCUUGGCCUCUUGGUUGGGUGUUGCCGUGUUGCAACUCGCAAGUGCUCUGCCUGUGCGUCCAAAUUCAGAACAGGGAGGAAAGUCAGAGGAAACUAUCCAUUUUUUGACUUCCCUGCUGUCUGCUGACGAAUUUUGGUGACUCAUUUUGGGAACUUUUUUUUUCUGGCGCAUAACAUAAGGUGGAGAUUUAAAUUUGGCUCGUGUAUUAAAACAAGUAGUGACAGGUUCUGCUGUUAAUGUGAUAGGUCAUGGCCGGAUUACACCCACAAACCUACUGUUUCGACGAGGUUCCAGGACCUUCGCGACGAAGAGGGCGAGAAUUUCUGGGUAGAUUUUGAGAUUGUUGGGUUCCGCCGUUCCGGCUUUAUUCGGCUCAAAAGAAUUAUGUGUGGCUGCCGUAUCUGCUAGCCCCCUUCGUCUUCAUUUAUGUGUGAUUGUAACAUUGCAUUCCUACUCAAUCAACUGCGGUCAGGAGUAAGCUCAUGAAGCUAGCAACAGUUCAAAGAUGGCUACGAAAGGAAUCACCCAACGAACUCCAACGAGAAAAACUCUCAGAAAACAUCCCAACAAGAAGAAGGAUACCACACCGGCACACCGUCACACGUGCAUAGGGCCUUUGCACCACCACGUCGUCCUGCGCCGCUGAGAACGCCAUGGAGCUCCUUCUUGUCUACGCAACAUGCGCCAUCUUCGUCGUCUCCUGCCUGUACCUCCUGCAUCUCUUCGCCGCCGUCGACCGCAACCUGCCCCCGGGACCUCGCCCGCUGCCGCUCGUCGGCAACCUCCUGGACCUCGGCGCCCACCCGCACCGCUCCCUCGCUCGCCUCGCGGCGCGCCACGGCCCGCUAAUGGCGCUCCGCCUCGGCGCGGUCACCACGGUCGUCGCCUCCUCCGCGGAUGCCGCCCGCGACGUGCUCCAGCGCCAUGACGCCGCCCUCUCGGCGCGCUCCGUCCCGGACGCCGCCCGCGCGCGCGCAUGAUGAGCACUCCGUGGGCUGGCUCCCGCCCGGGAGCCCCCGGUGGCGCGCUCUGCGCAAGGUGUGCUCCGCGGAGCUCUUCGCGCCGCGCCGCGUCGACGCGCACCGGUCGCUUCGCUGCGACAAGGUGCGGCGGCUCGCGUCCCACGUGGCCCGCCUGGCUCGCAAGGGCGUGGCCGUCGACGUCGGCCGCGCGGCCUUCACGACCGUGCUGAAUCUGCUCUCCUGCGCCAUUUUCUCCACGGACCUCGCGGACCUCGACGACCGCGGUGCGUCGGGAGCGUUGAAAGGUGUGAUCGAGGAGUUCACGGCGGCUGUCGGCGUGCCGAACGUCUCGGACUUCUUCCCCCUGCUCGCGCCGCUUGACCCGCAGCGGCUGAGGACGCGCGUCGGGAGGGUGUUCGACAGGUUGCACGCCAUCUUAGACGAGCAGAUCGAGCGGCGCAUGCAGGAGCGCGCCGCCGGGGAGCCCCCCAAGAACGACUUCCUGGACUUGCUGCUUGACUACCGCGGUGCGGAGGAUGGCCAGGGCUUCGGUCGGCAAACGCUCCUCUCAUUGCUUACGGUAUGGUGUUUUUACGGUGCAUCUUCGCAAUUUUGCGUGAUAUUUCUUCAGGAAAAACCCGUUCCACACAUUUUUCCAUAUUUUACUGCCACAAUAUAUUGAAACUACAUUUCUCACCUGAUUCUUGGGAUAUUUCUUCAGGAUUUGUUCAGCGCCGGCAGUGACACAAGCGCAGCAACGGUAGAGUGGGCGAUGGCCGAGCUGCUGCAGAACCCCUCGUCAAUGGUGAAGGCUCAGCAUGAGCUCGCGCAAGUGAUCGGCUCCAAGCAAGAGAUCGAGGAAAACGACAUCGGGCAGCUCAAGUACCUCCAGGCCAUCGUGAAGGAGACGUUCCGCCUCCACCCUCCGGUGCCGCUCCUGCUUCCCCACCAGGCCGAGACGGCGACGGAAAUCAGAGGCUACACGGUGCCCAGGGGCGCACGCGUCCUGGUGAACGUGUGGGCGAUCGGGCAGGACCCUGAGCUGUGGUCCGAGCCGGAGAAGUUCAUGCCGGAGAGGUUCUUGGAGAAGGAGAUGGACUUCCGCGGCAAGGACUUCGAGCUGCUGCCGUUUGGGUCCGGACGGAGGAUCUGCCCCGGGAUGCCACUGGCUGAUCGUAUGGUGCAUCUGAUGCUCGCGACCUUGCUGCACCGGUUCGAGUGGAGGCUUCCCGCGGAUGCUGGGAAGAACAGGGUGGACAUGUCGGAGAAUUUUGGGAUGAUCCUGGGGUUGGCUACGCCACUCCAGGCUAUAGCUAAGCCAAUUUGAGUCUUACCAAUAUGCUAGCAUUGCAAAAAAAAAAAUCUUCGUGGGGUGGCAGUUCUUAUUUGGGCUCUAUUUGGUGUAUGAGAAAAAACGUUUCAAUUCGUUUAUACAGCUCGUCUUCGGGGAGUAUAUUGGCUGCGAUUUUGAUCCCUGUUACAGCAUGAGGACACAAGGGAGACCAUCUGUUCGGCAAGCAAAGCACUGGAGAUCGUCGCUUUGGAUAUAUUCGCCAAGAAUGGAUGGAGAAACAAUAAUAGACUAUGCUUUUGAAUUAUUCAUGCUCUAUGUGUACUCAUUUCCUUAUUUUUUGUGUUUAGCUUCUAAGCUGAGAAUGAUGUAAUAACUUGUCUAUGUGCGGUCGCAAAGGUCGGAACUAUUUCCUUUUAUCUUAAAAAAUUAAGUCUUACCACGCACGCAUCAUGUACAGUAUGGAUUACUAAAUGUUUGACUUGGCUGUGAAGCACUUCCUACAUGCUAUUUUAGAAGGUGUAGUUUCAUCAUAGAAGCUCACACGGUGACCUCGAAUUAGUCCCAUGGUAUAAAAGUUAUGUGUCACAACACUAAUUUAAAAGUACUUGCUAAUGAUUCUGAUUUUUUAAAUAAAUAUUAUAGAGAGAAUUAUGCUCAAACUCAAACAUCAUUUUUUGUGCAAUCAAACUACCUCCGAUAAAAAUGAAUGGAGAGGGUAGAGGUAUGCAACUGCGUUGGAAAAUUUGUGAUGGUGAAGCCGUGAAGGUGAUGGCUUGCACUGCAGUUGCAGGCUUGCAGCCUUGCUUGUUUCCUAGUGCGACGCACCAUCUAAGAAAAGCUACCGCACCAUCAAAGAAAAGCUAUUGUUGCGUCACAGUAAUUCGACUUGCUCAACGUAUAGAACAGCAACUGCAAUAAAUUACUUAGCAAUGUUGGAACAUCCAAUGAAAAUCACUGCAAUAUAUAUCUAGGAAGAUCCAUGGUAACAAAUCAACUAACCAAUUGCAGGAUUUUUUCGGAAAAUGUAAAACUACAUGUAUACAUGACCACAUGACUUAUCUCAACAGUUAAUUUCUCUCCAUCCAACCGUUGAUCCACUACCUACCCUAUUUACUUCUCACCUACCCAUGAUCCAUGAAUGGCUUGGAUAGCUCAUGUGAUCACACGUGCAUGUGAAAAAUUCAUGUUCGGAUUGUUACAAGCUCCGAGAGGGAGGGAGUGCCUGGCCUAGAGACAUCAUCGGUUGACAGUACUCUCACAGGGAAAAAGGAGAAGCAUGUGGCUGCUCCAUGGAGCUUUGCAAUGGGGGGAAAAUGGCAGGACACGGAUGUUUUGGAGCUUGGAGAGGAAGAGAGGUAGUCGAACGAUCGAUCGCGUACUGAUUGGCAAGCCCCAUUGUCGGUGUGAAACCUUGCACCUACAAUGUGUGCCAUUAACAUUUAACAGAAUGGGCAUGUAGCAGAGUAGAAAAACACAUGAAGGUUGGAGAAAGAGAUCGGGCAGAGGAAAAGAACACCCAUUGCAUAGAGUUCACAAUACUCCUCUUUUAUUACUAUACAUGUAGUUAUUAAUGUCAACAGCUUAUAUAGUACAACAACAUGUCUUCAUAUGGACACUGAUUGCCUCUAGAAAUACUUUCUAAGCCAAUCGCCUAUGGAUAGUGGUAUUUCUAGAAGCGGUUCACAUAAGCAACUGUUGUCUCUAAAAAAAUCUCCUCAACCCGAGCUUCACAACGGCACUUGCCCAUUCCGAUCCAUGAAAAGGUGGAUGGAGAUGAGUUUAACUACGAACUCAAGGAUGCUAGAAAGGAUCUCUUUCCGGGCAAACACUCUCCUCGAGAGGCACUCUUCCUUCCCUGCUGGGAUAGAGGCAAAGUACAAGUAAUCGAAGAAAUCACUUCAAAAAAUAUAAAUAAAUCUGAUUUAAGAAAAAUCACAACUUUUCAUAUGAAGUUGAAUGGAGACAAACUAUAUAUUAAAAUUGUAUAGCUUGAUGAGAUCUAAGAUUUUGUAAUUGAUAAAAGUUUUCGUUUGAGAUGAUUUAUACGCCCAAAUAUUUAAGACCAUUUCUCAUGAUCUUUUUAAAUUCAAACAAACUCCAAUGGAAACGUCAUCAAUAUCAAAGUUAUACUGCUCAACAACCUUUUUCAUUAAAGAUCGUUUAGAGUUCUAGAUAUGUAAUAUAAGAUGUGAAGAGAUAAAGCUCAAAGAACAUAUAGUCGAAAUGUAUAGUCGAGAUGUAUUUUUUAGGUGAAAUUGUAAGAAAGGCUACAUGUGAAGAGAGGGCCUCGAUUCAAAUCUUAUAAAGGUAUUAGGCCACCCUCCACAGCACCGCUGAUAUGAAAAAAAUAUUUUACACUCUUUCCGACCAGGCCACCAUCAACACUACUAGUGGUGUGAAAAAUUAUUUUGGACUCUAUUCUACCACACCAAGCUAAACCCACCAUCUUUGCUACUUGCCUGUUUGGAACCACGUCAAAUCGUGGAAGCUGGUUUUUAAGUUUGCGAGGUUGUAAAUGCUAGAUAAAAGCUAUCCUGUUUGACCCCAUAGCUUUUAACAGACAAAAGCUGGUAAAAGUAUAGACAAAACUAGCUUAGAGUAGGUCGGAAAAACUGAAUCGUAAAAGCUUUCCGGUUAAAUCUCAAGCUGAAACGUGGAUGCUAGAUUGUGGAAAUUGGUGGGAUCCGAAAGGGGCUAGGCGGAGCGCGCGCUCUCUUCUCUCCUCGGCGUCGGAAGAGAGCCGAGUCAACUGGCGACUUCGCCCGCGUGGCCGCGUUGAGGCCUGGAGGGUGCCCUGGCCACGUGCUGGCACGCUCCUUUCCGUUUCAUUCACGCUUAGCUAAUUUUAGUAAAGUUUUAUUAAAAGUUUUAUGAUCAUUAAAUACAUGCCACAUUAGUAAUUUUACGAAUUUAGCAAUAUUUUUAUGAGGAGAGAGGAGAAUGAGUUCCAUCGUAUAUGAGAGGAGUUUCAUCCCCAUGAUAUUCAACUGGCACAGUUACCUAAUUUCCAAUUUUAGUAAUAGUGCAAUAAAAUUGUGCACUGAGACUAGGGGGUGUUUGUUUAAUAAAACUGUGCAAUAAAACUUUAGCCCCUAUCACAUUGGAUGUUUGGUACUAAUUAGAAGUAUUAAAUAUAGGCUAAUUACAAACUAAUUGCACAGAUGGAGGCUAAUUCGUGAGACGAAUCUAUUAAGCCUAAUUAAUCCAUGAUUUGACAAUGAUGCUACAAUAACUAUUUACUAAUGAUGGAUUAAUUAGAUUUAAUAGAUUCAUUUUGCAAAUUAGUUCAGUUCUACAAUUAAUUUUAUAAUUAGCUCAUGUUUAAUCGGAUGACAAUGGCUAAACAUCAAACACGCCCUAACCUUACAGCUCAUGGCAUCUCCAUGUCGACAUCAUAACGCUACACUUUGACACAGGUUCCAUUAUAGUAAUCGGAGUUCACGUCGCACCAUUUUAAAAAUACAAGACUGCAAUUAAGAUAGUAAGUCUAGGCCGUACACACAUCUCGGGAGCUGAAAAGAAGACAAUUCGUACGAACGUAGGCCAAUUCUCGCUAUAGUCAUCCAGGUCUGUACUAUGGGAUACUCUGGAGUCUGGACGAAUAACCCUAAAUCCUGGAGUAUAGUGUGUACUUAAAAGUUUCAAAACUUUUAUACACUUAUUAUAGAAUUAGCAAGGUUGCUAAAAACAACUAAACUUCUCCGUCCAAAUGUAAUACUAUGAUGACUAUGUGUCACUCAUCAGUCACUCUUCAGUUAAUGAUCUGCUAGUUUAUUAUAUGCGAGUCUUAAACACUACCAGUUCUUCGUUCACUAGCACAAGAUAAAAUAAACUAGAAAAAACAGGAACAGCCUCAAGAGUGCUAAGACUUAAAUUUGAUGAGGAGUAGAGAAGUACAUGUACUUGAAAAUACUUCGGAUUUGGAACAUAAAAAAUCAUACAUUUGUUUCAUAAAGCAACGGCAUAACUUUAUUUAAUUUUGCAUGUUUCCUCCGUUCCAAAUUAUAAGUUAUUCUAAUUUUUUUGGAGAGUCAAAGAAAGAUAAUGUUUUGACUCUCCAAAUUUUUUUUGACUCUCCAAAAACGUUAGAAUGACUUAUAAUUUGAAACGGAGGAAGUAUAUGUUAACCAAAUAGUGAUCAAAUCCAUGCUUUGAAGACAAUGUUGUUGUCCUAAAAUCUCAAGCAUUUGUGAUUAAGGCAAUAGGUAUCUAUAUCCUGCAUCACAUAAUGAAUUGUUUUUUUGGUAGGGGGAGUAAGUUAAAUCUGUUACACUUCCUUUGUUCCUGGAAAUUAAGAGUUGUCGACCUGUGCGGCAUUUCGAGAGGAUGCUUUCACUACCUCGACCCGAACAAGAUGUGAAAAUAGUCAUGAAACCCUUGAAAUACUGAAAAUAUACUCAAAGUUCUUCUAGUCGUUUGGAAUGCAAAUACAAAAUUAUGUUGAGAAAAAGGAAACACACAUACAGAUUUUAUUUCCUGGGUUUAUUACUCCUCAAGACAGCACUGCAUAAUAAUGGCCUCGACGAUUUUUCUCAUAUUGUAGCAAAGAAGCACUCUCUAAGGGUAGUGUAUGUUAACACUUAUGAAGCCACGGAUAAUAAUGGAUGAGACAUCAUAUGUUAUUUUGGGAUUCAUCACCCAUUUUUUCACUCCCAUAUGGCCAAUAAUGGUUCUACAUGUUAUUGAAUGCUUGAGCGAAAAAUCCCGUAGUGCCAGAAAAAGGGAGCAGCAAAUAUUAAAGGAUUCUACGGCAAAGGCAGCUUAUACCUAUCUAGUCGUGGAUACUGUCUCCUCAUAUACUAGAAGAGGCUAAUGUUGAUCACCAAUAUAAAGGGUAACGGAUGAGAUCAUUAUACAGAUACGCACAAUAUGGUAUAAGUUGGGAGACAUAUAUACUAUGUAUAUGUUUAUCUCUGUUUUUCUUUAAUUUCUUGAGUGGUUUGGUGUGUGUUGAUAUCUUUGUAGUUUGUUCUUCUCAAAUUUUCUGGUUUGAUUAUAUAUAUAUUUGUGCCUAAGUUAAUGUUGAUCAAUUGCAGUACACAAUCACAGUACAAUGUACGUGCAAAAGCACAUAUAGUAGGAGUAGUACAGUAGUACAAGGAGCGGAUGCACACAUUCGUGGAAUCGUAGCACAAGAAGCAAGGGCGAAAGAGUGUACUACUGAUUGUUGCCAUGACUUUUUUUUUAAAGGAGCCAUGAGGUAUCAUAUAAGAUAUAUAGUUUCCCAUCUCGCUUCGUCAGUUACAGUGUUACUGGUGGCGGUACAAGCAUAGCAAAUGCAUUCUUUCAUCUGGAAAUCUAACUAGCUACAAGAACGUACAAUUUUCUUUUUCGCGCCUCAGGAACUCUUUAAUUUCCUUGUAACACCUUCACUACUCUGAGCUUAUAUGUCGAUUUUUUUUAUGCAUUCAUUAGAGUUGGUGUUGGUUAGUUAAAAGAUUAGUUCAUAACUUAUGCGAUACUAAUGACAUUCACCAUCUCGCCGGCGACACCUGUGUACUAUGCCAUAGACUGACAGAUUGGGAAGUUAUCUCUUUGGAGCCAAUAAUAUAAGCCAACACGAUCGUAUCAAACUCUCCAUCAGCAUCAGGAAUUGUUCGUUAAUUUAGUGCUAGUAGUCAUCUCUAAAAAAACGGGAAUGGCGUCACCUCUUUUACCUUCUCCGGUUUCAGAAUAAAGAAUAAUGAUGCCAUCCAUAGACCAACCCAACGGAUGGAUGUCCACAAACAGCUAGCCAUAGGCAGCGGUAGCAGGUAGCAAAGCAACACACACCAUGGACCAGCAGGUGUUUGAUGGCGACCCGUUCGUGCGCAGCAUCUCGCCGCCGGAAGAGGACACCUUCUCCGGCCAGCUGCCAUGGCCGGACUUUGACUUCGACGACGUCCUUUACGAGCUCUCCAAGCCGGCCGCGAACGAGACCUCCUCGGGCGGCUCCAGCUCCCAGAGGAAGCGCAACCACAACGCGUACGAGCGCGACCGCCGGAAGCAUCUCAACGAGCUCUACUCCUCGCUCCACUCCCUCCUCCCUGACGCCGAUCACGCAGUAAACCAACACACGUCUUCAUAUACAUAUGUGCACACACGCAAGGGCAGUCACAGAUUCACAAGAAGCUUCUGUGUAAUCAUUCUGACAAGUGUAUUUUGCUUCUCGAUCGUCAUGCAGAAGAAGCCCAGCAUUGCCAUCACGGUGGCUCGAGUCCUCAAGUACAUUCCCGAGCUGCAGAAGCAGGUUGAGAAUCUAGAGGUGAGGAAGAAGAAGCUGAUGAAUGCCAACUGCAAACAAGGAGCGCUGAACCCGAGCGGGAGCAUAGCUCCCAUUGUUUCUGUUAAUUGCCUCAACGAGAUGGAAAUCAUGGUUCAGAUCAGCUUUUUGAGUAACUCGGCAGAAGCAACUCUUCCUUUCUCCGUGUUUAUAGAAGUACUGGAAAACGAGGGCCUUCGCCUGAUCAGUUCAUCCACUUUCUCCCCCACUGAGAACAGAACAUUUUAUAGCCUCCAUCUUCAGGUACAUGACUACUUCCCCAGAUGGUACCGUCCUAGCUAGAUUGAUGUUUAUUCGAUCAUGUAUAAUUUUAAAUCAGUCAUAUUUUAAGUUCAGUACUAAAGAUGGAAUGCACGGAAGUUAUUUUAAUCUUUUUUUUGUAUUUCCAAGAGUUUCGAUAAUUUACCAACAACACCAUUUCUAAGAAACAUGUUACCGACGAUUAUGGUAUAUAAUUAAUAUAAGACUAGAAACUGUUGGCCAAAAUAUUCUUUUGAGGAAAGAUUGUAAUCUUAUAGUCAACACAACAUUUGUCCAUGCCAUACAAUUAAUUAAAUUAAGAUCAUGCCAUACAACUAAGAAAAAAUCAAUUAUUUCAUCUUUAAAAGGUAAGAAAACCAAAGAAAAACAUUUGCAUGAUUCAAAUAUGUAAAUACGCAUUCACAUUCUUAUUAUUACUUAAUUAUCCCUUUACUCAAUUGUACAGCUUAAAAUACGAGCAUAAUUAGUUGGGAGAGCGUUUAUUUUUGCCGGAGUGCAACAGUAAUACUAUUUACCAAAGAAACAAUUCAUAAUAUGGUCCAAUAGCUACAGAUGUUCAUAAUAUAACACUAAUCGUCUUUCUGCCGCUUUUUGGUUUCAGGCUCCAUGUAGCCGCCUUACAUAUUCCGUGGCAGGUUGUGAAAUGUGCUGUUUGUUUAAUGGUGUGUUGUGUAUUCUCACAUUACUAGAGUUACACAGUCAACUCAUGGUGAUGUUAAUUAGCCCGAAAUAACUACAUAGCUACAUUCUGGUCUUCUAUAAGACAUGCUCCAAACCAGUCACACGAAGAUCUUUGGAUAAUGUUAUGGUAUCCAUAUUAACAUGAUGAAAGAAUCAUCGGGCACAUAGGAAAAACAUUGCAAGCAUGAAAAAAAAACUCAAAUUAAGCCAAAAAAAUAUAUGCAUGAAGCACAUUCCAAUAUGAUGUUUGAGGAGAGUUCCAAACAUAGAUUUAGAUGAAUUGAGCCUAAUACAAUUUCAUGAAAUAGUGUUCCAGCCUCUCUCUCUCGUAUGAACACACACACCUCAACCCCCACAACUUUAUGUAUAUAUACAUGUAUUAGUUAGAAAUCAAAUCAUAGAAUAGCAUAGUGGUAAAACUGCUUGGUACAUAUAAGCAAGAUGUACUGGCGGUUGAACUUGUGGUACAUAUUCAUGGUUAUGCAUCAAUAAAUUAGUUUUUCCAAAUACAAGUCACAAAAAAAUAUAUUAUUUCUCAAUAAAUAUAUAAUUUACUCCAAAUUCUAAAAAGGUCAUAGAUUUAGGAUCUCAGCAUUUUCACUUUUCAUGAGUUGGAAGACUAAAUUUCAAAUUUAAUGACACAUAUUAAAUAACCUGAUAUAACUUUAUAAUCCUACGGUUGGAAAAUAACUUACUUCCAUUGAUCCGUAUAUAAGCCCAUUAAAAGAACCUCUGCCAGUGCCCCCCAAAUCAAUAUAGCACAAAUGAGCUCAAGAUCAAACCAAACUUAAAGAGUGAGCUUGGAGGUGUUGAUCAACAAGUUAAUGAAGUCUCUGCACUCACAAACACCAAUAACUAAGUAGAUCAACCAAGUUCACAAAUACAAUAAUAAAUGUGUUAGUGCAAGGAAACCAACGAGGAGACAUAAGGAUUUAUUUCAUCGAAGUUCAGAUUCACCAAGGCGAAUCCUACAUCUCCGCUAAGAAACUCUUUAGGAUACGAGUCUUUUUCAACUCCCUUCCAAUGAAUCGAGUCUUUUUCAACCGCUUCCCCACUCCACUAGUUUCUUCCCUUGCGGAGGUGAAACAAAGCAUGCACAAACUUUCCCGGGGCUCGCCACAACCAUGGGAGGCCUCGGGCGACACCGCUAGCUACCUAGGAGGCAAAACCUUAAAGAGUAACAAAUGCUUCACUUGGGACCUGACAAGGCAAAACAGUGCUCAAAGGUUUGAGAGCUCUCUAAUGCUAAAAAAUUGGAUCCUCUCUACUACCCAACUCACUAGAUCUCACACUAAAAAAAAAACUCACUAGAUCUUACUGUGAUCAAACAACCUCACAAAAAUGGGUUGUGGAGAGCUAUAUCUUGGCUUUAGCUUAGCUUAGAAGAGGAAGGAAGCACACCAGCAACCUCAGUAACAGCAAUCAACUAUAGGAGUUGAGGUGGAGCAUAAAUACUCAACCGUACCCCACACAAAACUAGCCAUUAGAAACCAAAACCUCCAAUUUCCCAAGACCGAAAUCGCUGGUUUUUCAAACUAGUUAGCUGUUAGAGGCACGUGGCACCCAAAAUGGGACCUUAGAUUUUGCCCGGCCUAAAACAAUUCUAAGUGUUCCUGAAGCCUAGUGUUUCUCUCAUCAACUCGUAUAGCAUACUUGAGCAUUGAGGCUUUGUCAAAUGACCAUGUGAUGCAUCCCUCUUGAUAGUAUGGCAUAGCUACACUCAAGAUAAAAAAUAAAUACAAUUUCAUCCACUUGAGUUUCAUCACUUUGAUUCAUGCCAUACUUGAUCAUAUAUCAUUAUGAGAACUGCAUACAACUUUAUAUCUUGUUUCGAACACUUUAACCUUGAGCAAGUGACUUGGACCAACAUUCAACUUACAUAAGUGAAAUCCAUUUCUAGAUGACAAGUCACCCUCUUCCUUUUAAAUACAUCAAUGAUUUGAUGCUUCUAAUAUGAGAUUCCCCAUGACUUUUGACCCUUUGUUGUUGACCUCCUUUUUCGUUUCUUCACCCUAGCUAGAUUCUUUGGCGCCAAGCCUCGCUUUCCCUUCAUCUUGCUUAGUUCCUUGAAACAAAAUCUUUAAUCAACACCUCUCAACCAAAAGCCACAUUGAGUCUCAUACUAACUUGCAUCGUAAUUCUCCACUUUUGAAAGUCAUUCCGUUAUAUUUAACACCUUCUCCAAGCAUUCAUAUAAUUUGAGGUCUUCAUAGCCAAUGUGGCAUUCCUCAAAUAAUUUCUUCCAAUAACACUUGCAUUCUCAAAUUCUUCUAUUUCAAUUGAUCAACAUUUUGCUAUCUACUCACAAUGAUCAAUCCUUUUGUUAUUUUUUUCCUUUUCAAGCAAUCUUUUAACAUGAGGCCACUAGAUAGACAUAUUCCCAAGUCUCAUUUUAAUUUAUCCAAUAUUGCUUGUUUUUCUUUGCCAAAUAUACAUUGUCAUUGACCGUGCUUGUUUUCUUAUCACAUGAGCCUAUUUACUGAUACUUGAAAUGAAGUUGCUUGAAUUGAUAUCCGUCGAACAUAUAUAUACCUGUUCAUGAGCUUAUCAAGUUCAAUCGUGGUGUCAUUUAACUCACUAAAACCCAAUAGGGACCUAGAUGCACUUCAGUAUCAUUAUAAAUUAAAAUAAUUAUAUGUUAUGAAAGUAUUUUAUAUUAAAAUUAUUUUAUAAACAUCAAUCUUAGAUUGUCAAUUUAUAUUUUUUAAUAAAGUGAUAGGCAAAAUUUACAAUGUUUGACAAAAUCCCAUAUGGACUUAUAUUUGGGAUCAUGUAGUAGCUAAUAUGGUUAAUAACUUCCAAGUCACUUGUACAAUGAUUGAGAUAACUAUGUAUUAUGCAUAACUUCAAAGAAGAACAUAUACUAUGAUGCCCAAUACUAAUCCUAGGUUUUUUGAUCAUUUCUUUAAUUGCAUUAACGUGCCUUAGCCUCUACAAUAGAUGCACAAAUAGCAGAGGAUAGCGUAAAAUAGGUCAUAAGGAACAAAAUCUUGAAAUACAUUUGUAGCAUAAUCUAUCAGUAGACCUCCAUCCAUGAUUGUGGAGAAUGUCCAUAGUUGUAUGGUCUAAUGUGCAGCAUACAAAAUGAACAUGGUCUCGAUCCUCCAUUUUUGAAAUAUCCCAAAACUUUGUCAAUUUGUGUAGCCCUAAACCGUAACUGCAUAUAUGAAUGUACCUUUAUCUAUUAAACAUAAUAUCAUUAUGUGUAAGCCAUAUUGCUCGAGCACCUAACAUGCUUAACAUUAUUUGAAGCACAUCAACCAAACAAUAUAUAAACAAUUCUCCAGAGAAACUUAGCAUGGUGAUGGUAAAACAAAAGAUGCUGAACUGUGCCAUCAGCAUUAAAAACAAAAUGUCUUACUACCUCUCACCUUAGUUUAACCAAGUUAACUUUAGUGAGAACGAAACCCCUACGAAUGUACUAGAGGGAGACUUUAAUAUUUAAAGGCAAAUUUAAUUUCCAUAAAUCAUGUUUGUUUUGAUUUAAAUCAGUAUCAAGCAUAACCUUGUGACUAGAUAAUAAUGUAGUUCAUUUAUUGCUACAAUAAUUCUCAAGUCAACCACAAUCUAGGACCUGCUUAGAAAAUUUUCCUUAUCUGGCAUGGAGUUUGAUAUGACUACAUGAGUGAUAUAACAAAACUACACCUUUAAAUAAAAAUUUUAGAGAAACAAAUGAAACUCCUCGUUCUAUAAAACUUCACAAAGCAUAGAUAUGUUUAAGCAUUCCCACCACAUUAGAUGGCUCACCUUAUUAAUCGAACACAAGCAUACAUCAGACCAUUUUCAUUUGCUAACACGGAGGUAGCUCCCACAUUUUAUAAGAGCUAAUAACAUGUAAGCAUGAUUUCACCAUGUAAUCGCAUUGACUUCCUACUCUUACAUCCAGAGAAGAAAUAGAAACAUGAUAUGCUUGUGAGCUCGUCAUGUAGGCGUAUCUUGUUAGGCACUUCGAAAUGACAAUAGUGCUUAACUAUCUAUAUUUAUAAAAUAUAAUGAAAGAUGGAAACUUUGUAGGAAAUUAUUUCUUAAAAAUGGAUUUGUGAUAGUUUGAAUAAUGUGGUGUAACUUUGUGAAAUUUACUCUCACAAUACAAUUGACUUGAGAAUUUACUGUAACAUGUGGAUGCAUUCAAUUGCACAUGUCUGUACUAUGUGAUGGUAAACCUGAUAAAAAAAAGGUUAUCUCUUAAGUUUUCUCAAUACAGCCAAAGUGGUCUCUCUAGUCAUCUCCACAUGGUCACUUACUGAAGAAAUUAAACAUCCCUAUGCCCCACCACGAUGAAAGCCUCGUUUUCCUCUCUCCUCAACCUAAGAUUUUGCUGGUGUGGGAUGCGGCCUUACAUGUGAUUAAAGUUGCACCCAAUCUCCAUUUCCUUUUUAGGCUACGCAAUGGUGAAACUAAGAUGUAGUAUACUACUAUCAGUUUUCGUGGGCCUGCCAUAUGCAUCCAUUGAAGCAUUGUCUAGUAAGGUCACAUAGAUAAGACCAUCCGGAUGGCCAUCACCAAAUUUGACCAUUUUGCACAAAAAUGAGGCUCCAGCAGCUUGGCCAUCCGGAUGGCUAUCAUUCUGGCCAGUCCUUUGGCCAUCGCCAUCCAGUAGCUUGCGGGUUGAUGACAGAUAUAGGAAGGGAGGUGAGAGGCUAACAUGCGGUUCCCAUCAAAUAAAAUAUAGAUUAAUAGGAUUUGGAGAGUGAUAUUUAGCUAGUCUCUGUUGGAGUGCUAAAUAUGGAGGAUGAAUCUUUUGGAGUGAAUGGCCAAAUGAAGAUAUGGAGAGUGAAAUUUAGAGUAUUCGCUAGAGGUGCUCUAAGACUAGAGGCGGAGUGUCAUUAAGGUCAAAAGAGGCAUGGGUCACAUUUCCGAAGUUGCCAACGCACUGCAAGAAUAACAACAUUUCCCAACAGUUUCCUUUCAAGUGGGAAACGAUUUGUAAGAUAUUUGGUUAACUAACUACUAUAAUUGUGAUAGUGAGUUUGCACGGAAUUAUUUUGUUGGCAGUUUAAUAAAAUUAUUGGGAAAUAUGCUACUUUGUAUUAAAAAAGCUGUAGGCGACCCUAAGUUAAAAUACUAAACAGCACACAAACUAUAGUCUACUUGUAAAAAACUGUAGGGAAAAAUCGAGGAUCUUGUAGUGAUAUAUGAAUAAGAAGCCAUAUGAGUUUACAUGUCUAUAUAUGCAACAAAUGGGAAGAUAAGUUAUUAAUAACGACGAUAACGUAUUGAUAUACAUAGAAGACAAACUUGAAGAGGGGCAGGCGUUCAAUCUCCAUGAUUCAUUAACCCAUUUGUAUAUGUUCUUUUACAAGCAUACCGUUGGUAGCAAUUGCCCUUAAAAGGUAGCAAUUUCUCUGGUAUUUCUUUUUUGUUCUAACAGAUCAAACUGCACGUAUUUUUUCUAUAAAUCAUACAGUCGGCCCUUCAUUAACUUAGAACUUGCAUAAUGCUAGAACAGAAACAAACCGCAAAAAUAUGUAGUGGAAAAUACCUACCAAAUGAAAACACAAAACUAUUCCCACAAAAUUCUCACAUGUAGGAGAGAUUACAUUAUACGAGUUUGCUUGUGAGAUACAUAAUCAUACAAUAUUUGACAAUUUUCUCUUUUCUCUCUCUCCUUUUUCUGUGAAUUUUAUAUCUCAACAAGAAAUCUUGUUAUAUAUAGUAUGUCUUUUCGUUAAGAUUUCGGCAGAGCCUGUACAAAUGUUGAGGUUGUCAUAUUUCGACCUGCUAUUAAGCGGUUUUCACCGUAUACUCUCCUCGACAAAUUGACCCGUUUUGUUCUUCCUUCAUGCUCCAUUUAAAUUAACCAUUUUUCACUCCAGGGUAACGUCCUGUUAUAUGUACUGCUUUGACAGAGAAGUGAGGCAGCAAUCAGCAAGGAGUGCCCCGCGUUCUGUGACGAACUGAAGAAAGCCGUCAGGAGCAAAGCGGCGCCGUUGCAGCAGCAGUACGACGAGUACUCCGAUCCUGAACGCACGCUUAGCUGAGGCGUGCUGUUGAUUCGCAAACAUUGGACUGUGGUGUGUGCUGUGUGCUUAAUAAUGAGAUGGACCAAUUGCUAUCCAUCAGCGAUUCAUUCAGUGGCGACGUUCCGUGGCGUCUCUUACUGACACGGACGGAACCAGCAUAUAACUGUUGUUGUACAUGUUCUCGAGUCUGCCGCCCUGUGGCUAGGGCUUCUUGCUCAAACCGAAAAACAUAUAAGCUGGCAGUUUUUCCUUUUCUUUCUUUUUUUAAAGAAGAGUGUGAUCCGUGUGAUGAUGAGACGGCACUGUGCUUGAUGCAAGAUGCAUUCAGACAUAUUUGUUUGAGGCAUAAACAGGCCGAUAUGUUUCGUUUCAGACGGCCCCAAUAAAUCGGCCCAUAGGAGUGCUGCAUUAGUUGGGCUCUAGAGCCCAGCAACUCACUCACUGCUCUGUGCUUCUCGAUCCGCUCGCUCUGGCUGGGCCUCUCUCUCUGGUGGUGGUGGGCAGGGGGGCGAGGGCGGCGGAGGAAGCGGUUCCUGCCACCCGCUGGCGGCGACACGAGCAGACAGGUGCAUGCGUUUGGCCUUUUCGGGGGUGGAGUGGAUGCGUGGCUGGCCCGGAAGCAGCGCGCAAGGACACGUCUAGCCGUAUUGGCAGGCACGCGCGCACGCGUAUUAUAACACAGUAAUUAACCAGCUAACUCACCAUGCCGUAUGGUAGCUCGUACUCGGUUAAUAUUCGCAAUAUGAGCAGCAGUGUGUGUUAACCCACCACGCUACUUGGAAUUACAAAACCGUCGACGCAUCGUUAGCCUGUUCACCUGUUGCACGACCACACGCUGUCCAUCAAAUCUCUUUCGUAAAAAAAGGUGAACGUUGACGUGUACCAUUCUUUUUUCUCGCGAGGUGUUGACGUGCAAUCCGUACCUCCUCCUCGCAGCUUCUCUUUCUAAAACAAGAUAAACGCCCUGUGGCCGCAAAGGACAGUGAUUAACAUUUCGUUAACAGUGAAGAAAUAAACUAAUAAUCCGGCGGGGCCCGUUGCGCAAGCCAUUGCGAUUCCCGAUUUCUUGGCGAUUAACGCAACACGAACGAAACCCGCGGAUAAACGGAAGGAACAAAACGAUCCCCCUCCCCUACGAUUCCCCUUCCCGAUCCCGUCACGUCUCCUGAAACGCACGCCCUCUCUCCUCCGCCCCUGCUUUGCCUUCCCUGCCGUCUCUCUCCUCGUCUCCCUCCCCACCUCGUGCGAUUUCCCCACCCCAAACGCCCCCCCAAGCGCCGGCGCCGUAGUCCACCGCGCUAGUCACCUCCUCACGCGAAGCCUCCAGCCCCCGCGCGCCUCCCCCCCAACCCGCCGACCAUCGCGCUCGCGCCCGCCGAUCGCCGGCGCUCCCCAGGUCGGUGCAGCUUCUCUCUCCCUCUUCGCGUGGAUUUUAUUUUUGUGGCGAUUGGGUGGAUAGAUUGCGGAACUAGUUCAAUUUGGUCCCCGAGUUUGGCGAUGAUUGGCGGAGAACUCUGGUGGUUGAAUCGGUCUUGUGCUGCGUGGUGGUUUGGACGCUGGUGGGUUGGAUUAGAGAGUAGAGACUUCGCUGGAAGUUAGCUCGCGACCUGUUGGCUAGCUGCCGGACUUUGUGGUGCGGGACACCGAAUUGCUUUCCGUGGAUAUGACAUGGGCGUGUCAGGGGAGAUAGGUGUUUUGCAAUUACUUUGUGGAAGUUAGCUCGCGACCUGCUGGUUAGCUGCUGAACCUUGUGGUGCGGCAGUGGUACACCAAAUUGCUUUUCGUGGAUAUGAAUUAUGACGUGAGGGUGUGAAGGGACAUAGUUGAUGUGCAAUUACGUUUGGGCUAUUUUGUGUCAGUGGGGAUUUAAUUGAUCAAUAUAUCAAUACAAAGGAACUCGGGGAUUGUUUAGCUUGGUCUGCAACUAUUGCUGCUUGCAAUUACAGAGGAUAAACUGGUAGAUAUUUAGUGCUUAAUUAGGAAAAUCACAUCUUCUCCUAAAUGAUGGCUACUACUAGAAUUUUCAAUUUGGUUUUAAUGCUUUCCAAAUGUAGUUGCAUAUGCUCGUUCAGGACUUUGCUUUGGCUGUCUUCUGAUCCAAGUAGUAACGCUUUUUACAUUUUGCAUGGUUGUUGAGUUUAGUGAUUUUGUCGUAUUCUGAAGGUAUACUGAAUUUAUUGUACUUCUACUUCAUGGGAAAUGGUGGUAUGCAAAAUGUGGAUAAUUUGUUUUUGUGUGUAGGUGCAUACAUCUGGUAUGGCAAGGGAGUUAUCAACUGCCCCUGCCUUCUGUUUUCAUGAAUGAUGUCCUUCCUUUCGAAGGACACAAAUGCACAAACAAGAUUUAACUGGCCAUGGAGAAGUCAAUCUCCAUUAUCAGCUCAGCUGCUUGUUGAUAUUCCACCUGAAAUAGAGUUGUUGGACUACCGACGUUUGCCUGGUUCUGGAAGUGAGAGCCCGUCCGGACUUCUCCAUGGUGAAGGCUUCAAGGAUGAACCGAUUCCUGACUUGGAUAUUUUCUUUGAAAGGCUUUACGAAUAUUUCUGCGCAAAAGGGCUCAGGUGUAUUAUUACAAAAUGGAUAAUAGAGAUCCUUAAUGUACUUUUCAUGGUAUGCUGUAUUGGGUUCUUCUUCUUAUUUGUUGAUUGGGAUACCCUUAUUCAUUUGAAAUGCGGUGUGGAGGCACUUGAAUCUGGGAAGAAACCAUGUGACCUGAUGAAUGUCAUUAAGCAUGACCCAUUAGUUCCCUUCACAUUGCCCAAAAUGAUAACUGUUGGUUCUAUGGUCAUAUUAACAAGCUAUGGACUUACCAACUUCCUCAAGUUCUUUGUACAGUUAAGAAGUACACUCAAUGUUCGUCAAUUCUACUAUGAUAGGUAACUUUUCAGUGUAUUUCACGCUUAAGUUUCUUGUCUGCUUUUAGCUCAGAGCAAUGACUCUAUCCAUACUUUGUUUACCUUCAUGCAGCCUUAAGGUCGAUGAUCUUGAGAUCCAGACCAUAUCAUGGCCCAGAAUAAUCGAGAAGGUUGUCCUGCUCCAGAAAUCUCAGAAACUUUGUGUCGUGAGGGAUCUCUCAGAGCAUGAUAUUAUCAUGAGAAUCAUGAGAAAAGAAAAUUAUUUGAUUGGGAUGGUCAAUAAAGGCAUUCUUUCAUUUCCAAUUCGUUCUUGGGUGCCUGGUGCUGGCCCAACUGUCAGAUCACAUAAGCAUGGCAGGAGAAACCAUUUAAUACUUCCAAAAGCCCUUGAAUGGACCUUAAAUUGGUGCAUCUUCCAAAGUAUGUUUGAUAGGUAAGGAAUUCCGUAGUUCUCAUCUGUAACUACUUACUACCAUUGGAUCUUUUUUUUAACUAUAAUUGGCUAAAAUACUUAAGCCUCUACUCUACAUGCUCAAUCUAUGUGUUUGUUUUUACAUGCUGCUCUUUCUUUGGAUAUAAGCUCAACACAGAGCAAUUAGGCCCUUUAUGGAAGGGAAAGGGGGCAGCAACUAGGGAUUUAGCAGUAAGCAUGAUAGGCUGUUAAGAUGCUGCUUCAGCACAUAGCUGCAUUAGAAAGCUGACAUAAAUCAGCUAACUGUUUAUGCAAUCCUUAUUAUUUUGCCUUUUUUAGUUAAUAAUGGAGGCAUUGUAUAAAACAGAACUAGCGACAUAAGAAAUACUACUCCAGUGUGCAUUGCUAAAUUUUAACACAAUCUGUACUAUUACAUUUUCUAGGUUAGCAGAUAAGUUUCAUUAUAUUCUUCAUUAGGUUAAAUAGUCAAGCCAUAAAGAAAUCAUCGAGGGAUACCACUUCCUCAUAACUCUGAAUCUGCCUUACAUCCCCUUUUAAGCUUAGCCCAGGGUUUACAUAUUAGCACCUAGCUUAAAGGGUGAGAGCAAUGCUUAUCCUCACAUAAGUCUGAAUACCCCCCCUUUAAGCUCAGCCCGGGGUUUACAUGUUAGCACCUAGACUUCCCCAGUCUCCAAUGUGCAUACUGCAUACCAUCCAUGUAGCUUUCUACUGAGCAUUCAUAUAUUGUUUUGGGACGGUUCAAAUCAUGUAGCUUACUAAAUUGUUCUAUUUCUCUAGGGUUUGGUCCCUUCUCAUUGUAAUGUUUUUACUGAACAUCCAUUCUCCUUUUUCAGUAAAUUUUGCGUACGGAAAGAGUUUUUGACAAGCCCGGAUGUGUUGAAAAAACGACUUAUAUUUGUUGGCAUCGCAAUGCUUAUUCUGUCACCCUGCCUCAUGAUAUUUCCAUUGGUGUAUGUCAUUCUAAGACACGCUGAAGAAAUUUAUAAUCACCCCAGUGCAGCAUCAUCUAGACGAUGGUCAAACUUAUCGAGGUGGAUCUUCAGGGAAUAUAACGAGGUAGCUUCUCCUCAGAACUCUUUUUUUUUUGUAAUUGUAGCUGCAACAAAUGAUCUAAAUUGAUCUCUCCAGCUCCCCUUUCUUAAUUCCUGUCGUUCAAUCUCAUAGUAUCUGUAUUGUUUUCGUGAUCUAAAACUCAAGUGACUACAAACAUUGCAGGUCGAUCAUUUCUUCCGACACAGAAUGAACAACAGUGCUGUGCAUUCUUUAAAUUACUUGAAGCAAUUUCCAACCCCACUGGUUUCCAUCAUGGCAAAAUUUGUAUCUUUUGUUUCUGGUGGCUUGGCUGGUGCUCUAAUAAUCAUUGGAUUUGUGGGUGAAUCUAUUCUCGAGGGACAUGUAAGCUGCUAAGCCUAUGUUUUGAAUUGUUCCUUUGGCUAAGUUGUAAAUACCCCGCUGUAAGUCACUUCAAGUGCAAAUACCUCCCUGCAAGUAAAAUAGCUGUGUUUAUCACCUACAGAAGUAUAAUAAAAUGCAAAGGGUUUGGGAGGGUCUCACUUAAUAUUAGGUAGCACAUUUUGAUCUAGUGGAUUUGAGUGCACAGUUAUAACCUUCCUCAUCCCCACCUUCCUAUGCUGCCAACAUGCACGGAACACAUAUGGCGUUAAAUGCAACUAUUUACUUGUAGGGGCGUAUUUGCAACUUGACGUCACUUGUAGGGUGUGGUAUCUGCAGCUUGAUGUGACUUGCACUGGUUCUUCCAUUUUCCUUUGUAUUUGGGUAGUAAUCUUAUUCAUCUUAUAAAAUCUAUUAUUUUUGCAGAUUUUUGGAAGAAAUCUGCUCUGGUAUACUAUUGUUUUUGGAACAAUAGCAGCUAUAAGUCGAAAAGUAGUGGCUGAUGAGCUUCAAGUAAUUGACCCAGAAGGGGCCAUGUGCCUCGCUGUUCACCAAACGCAUCACAUGCCAAAGCGGUGGCGUGGUAAAGAGAGCAGCGAACUUGUGCGAAGAGAAUAUGAAACAUUAUUUCAGGUAACUAAUUCAGCUCUAGUAUUUCAUUUCCCGUAGCUGGCUUAGAAUUGUUCAUGCGCCAUAUUUAACCACAGGCCAAGGUAUUAAAAAUUAUUCUGCAUGCCAUACCAUCUGACUUUAAAAUGUGAAUGUUCCAAUCCAUCCAUUUGUUUGUAUCCAUCGACCCUUAAAUUCCACAUGCCACUGCAGUACUAGAAGAGGUUAUUCUCAACUUAUUUUUCUAUUACCUCCGUUCAAUUUUAUAAGGUGUAUUUUGAUUGGUUACACUUCCUAACUUUUGACCAAUGAUUAAUCUAAUUAUAUGCAAGUUCAGUGUACAUGACUCUAGAUUUGUAAUUCAAAAUAUUUUUAAUGGUAUAUUGAUUUGGUAAUAAUCGCUAUACUAUUCGAUAUUUAGUGAUCAAAUUAUGCUUAUGAAGAUUUUCCCAAAUCAAAAUAUGCCAUAUAAAAACUAAUUGAGGGGGUACUUUCUAUAUUUUUAUUACUGGAGUACUACUUCUAGUGGGGGAAAAGUCAGUUUGGAUCUGUGCUAGAAACUAUUUUAGAUAGCUAUGUAGAUUCAUAGGAUGCAGGUAAAAUGCUUUGCUUCAUAGUUAGAAAUCUGUAUCUUGCAUUAAGAUCUUGGUUGGUUCUACUUAUGCGGCUUAUGUCUUAAAUGAUGGGUAUAAGCAUAUCGGCUAUGUGGUUUAGUUCAAUUAUAUGGCACUAAGAAUUGACUCAACAAUUUGUGCAUGCAGUAUACUAUAAUUAUGCUACUUGAGGAGAUGGCCUCCAUUUUCAUCACGCCUUACUUGUUCAUUUUCGAGGUACCCAAGGUAAUGUUCUGAACUAACUCAACAAUGAUUUUCAUGUAAACCAAGCUUAUUGACAGUUGUGAAUACUUAUUAUCCCCAGAGAGUUGAUGACAUUCUGCGCUUCAUCUCAGACUUCACAGUUUAUGUAGACGGAGUGGGAGAUGUAUGCAGGUUCUCUGCUGCCAUUUCUUUUGUUAGUUUCUUAGCCCUUGUUUUUUCUUGGGCCUUUGCAAUACUUAACAUUGUUCUUUCUAUAUAUUUCAAUAGCCUAAGCUUGUUCGACUUCAAAAGACAUGGAAAUAGAAAUUAUGGGUCACCAUUCAAUGCUCCUAAAAGCCUCAGGAGCUCCCAAGGGAAAAUGGAGAAAUCAUUCUUAAGGUAAAUGCAUAUUUAAGCAUUGUUUAUGUUUUUUUACUAGGCAUGUAGUGUUGUUUACCCAAAUGCAUCAUAUGUUCUGUUAAGGGUUGAUUAGAUGGCUUGGAGUACUUCAAUGCUUGCUCUGAAGUUCUUGUCUUUUGCUGUAGUGUAGUUGAAUGUGAUGCUUGCAAAAUUAUGACUAACCACAUGAACUAGUGUCUUGGUUGCUUAGAUUGUUUGUCCCUGUAAAAUGCAUACCAUCUAAAAUGCACCGGUCAACAUAUUGGAAAAGGGGCUUUAUGAAGUAAAUCCUUGUUUUAGUUGAAAUGUGAACUGAAUUCUGAAAAUUCCUAUUACGUUCCACCUCUUCGAAUCCUGAAAAUUCCUAUUACGUUCCACCUUUUCGAAAAAGUCCUUAAUUGGAGCCACUAGGAAAAUAAAAGAUCCGGUAUUUUCAACUUUAAUUGGAGCCAGUAGUAUAUAAUAGAGCGCCUUAAUCCUAAGUAUAUGACUUGUUGACGCUAAUGAUGUAGUAGGCACUGACAGAUUUUUAGCAUCGAUCAGAUGAUAUUCCAAGAAAGAAGCACCAUUCUGUAGCCUGCUUCGUGUUCUAUAGAUGGAAUAUAAGCACUGAUUAAAAGAUAUAUCAAGCACCAUUUUAUCUACUCCAUUCUGCGUCUGCACACUUCAAUCAUGUCAUGGGUUUGGCUGCUGCCAAACAGGCCUGAACUGCACAAGUGCACAUUUAUAUUUUUUCCCUAUUCUUUGGAGGAUGACAUUGUUUGGGGGGUCGAAAUCGGAAUAGUUUACCUGUGCUCAGCUGUUCAAACCAGAUUUUGUGUAGGCACUGCAAAACCUGGAGCAGCAUAUGAAUUUCUAACUGUAAUACAUGGUUGCAUUCAGUUUUCAGAGUGUCUAUCCAUCAUGGGAGCCAGAUGCUGAUGGUAAGCAAUUCUUAUCCAAUCUCCAAAAAUUCAAGGAAAGGCAAUUACGUCAGCAAGCUCUUGCACAAUAUCAAGCAAUGGAGGCUUCAGGCUUUGUGGCAGGCACUAGAGGUCAAAUGGAUGAUACCUUCCAACAACACCAAAGUGCCACCCUGCCUCCCGUUUAUAACAUUGGCCCCUUGGGAUUGCUUGACACAGACCAAAGAACUCACCCAUAUAUCCUGGACUGGUAUUACAUGUGUCAUCCACCACACUCAGAUACAGUUGAGACUCCCCAAUUUGAGCAAGCAUUCCCUGAGACUGGUGUGAGCACAAGUCCACCAGCUAGGGAAACUUCUGAAAUUGAAGAAGUCGGAAACUGGGACUACGAGUUGUAUGAAAGAGUUCAGAGUCACUUAGGGGCAUCAACCUCAAGUGCUCUGUUCCAGAACACUCCAGUGAAGCACCAUGAUAUAGAAGAGAACUCUAAUAGCCCUUGGUGUGCUCAUGUCCCUGCAUAUUCUGGUGAUCCACAAGGCAGUUUCCUUGAGCCUCCAGAAUUUGGAAAUCGAUACAUGACAGACCCUCGUUCCAGUAGGCACAGCGGUGGUAUAUCAGAGGGAAGCACAGAGGAUCUGGAGCAGAGCAAUAGCAGAAGCAGCAGCGGCUGGAGGAGCCCCCAAGCCUUGUCCAAGACAAGGUACAUGGACGACUCUGACAUCGAGGAAGGCCUGAGCCUGCACUUUGCUGAUGCCCAUCAUAAAGAUGAAGAUCAUAGACACCUGGUUGCCGAUCAUCAGGAUCCCAUGCCAGGUGGCCUCCAUGUAAGAAUAAUACCUAGAAGCAGU